CUGAUUGAAUUUAAGUCCCAAAGUAAGCCUUGAUCAUUACAUAGACCAACCAAACCUGUAAUAGAAGCAGCACCAGUUUACCUUGCUUGAUAUAUUUCAAGACAACAUUUUGACUACUGGUAAUUUUAAGAAAGGCACACAUUCAUAUAUGACAGACUAGCCAAAACUACUUUAACAUUUCUUAAUCACCAACCAAAAAUACACCGAUUCUCGUUCAAGAAAAAGACCCUAUAUAAACUCCAUCCACACUAGAGACUCAGACAAACCUUUGAUCGAAAAUUUGCAUAAAAACAACUCAAUACUCCACUCCAGAACCCAGUACUUGAUUGAGAAUUUGCCAAGCGGUGCGAGCUCCAUGCAUCCACCUGAGCGAAUCUGGAAGGGGAAAAGUAAUGCUGCUCUUCAAGAAUGAACUGGUCUCUCUACUUGGUUUUAGGUAUGAAAAUGUACAUGGUUGUGUCUCUUCUGCUUUUAGAUUCAUGCUUAAAUAAAUCAAUAUGACCAAAGCAAUUGCAAAAUGCCUACAUAUGAAUUUUCCAACGUAACCAGCCUAGAGAGAUCAUUUUACACUAAUGAACGCCUGUAUUUUGUGUUCUAAGUUCUUCCAAAUGAGAAACUAUUGUCUUCUUGAAAACCUUUAAUUUGAAACUCUUGGCUACAAUUGACAGAUUAUUUGCUGAUUCCACGGCAUUUGCUUUUUCAAGAAAAAAGCCUCUCCCAGUCUCAAAACUGCAGCUUGAAGUGGACAUCUAGAUGGUACUCUUGUUAACAAAUCUCAAUUUUUGCUUGACUUCACAUAUAGAACCACUUGCACAUGCGGUCUUCCUCCAAGCAAUUAGUGAUGGGGCCUUAGUUAAAGAAUAGCACGAUUUCAAAGCUUGCAAAGGACUAAUACACCACAUGAGAAGAGGUUGCCUUUAUCAAGAAUCAUUCGAGGAGUAUUAACAACAUGAAGCAAAUGAUAAACGCCAAUUGCAAAUAACUUUGGAAUGCCUUUCCAUACUGACAUAGCUCAUUCUUGCCCAUACCUCCAACCUGCAGUGUUUGGGGAGUUUCUCUGAGUUUCAUCAAAUGUAGCUUUCAUCUGCAUAAGAAGGAUAGCACCGACUAAUUAUAAUUAAAUGAAGAUAUCCAAGAUCAUAGCAUCAGAAUUUACCCCAUAACAGAUAAGGUAAAAAUGUGUAAACAUUGACACCAAUCGGAGUUGGACCACAAUGAAGAGCAUUAGCUGGCCAAUGACAAAGAAACCAACAGACUUAAAAGAAGUAAACAUUUAGCAACACUUUCCCUGUUUGUGUUUAGGAACAGAAUUGAAGCUAAAAAAAUUAUGCUGAAAAUGUGAAGUGCCUAAACUAUAGAACAGAAAGAUGCAUUUGCUACCGGGUUAUUUUGCAAGUUCCAAUUAGCAAAAUCAGCAAAGCGGAAUAGUUUGCGAGGAGAUCAAUUUCAACUUUACAAAUCCAAUGCCACAUACUUCAGAACUGAGCUUAUCAAAUCAGAAACCUAUAUUACAACAUUCAAAGGAUAUCAUCACACGAAUAAACUAAUAGAAAUGGAGGAGCCUAGCAAUGCAUACCUCCCUCUGCAGAGCCUCAUCAAUUCCGAAGUGAUAUAAUUAGAAUGCAACCACGUCGAACAACUGUGCAUCAGGGUAACAUGCAAAAAAUCAGUAGCUUAGUAUUUGAUGAAAGGAGAGCUAGAACCUAAUGAGCAUACAGAAAGCAUAUUUAAUUGAAAAAAAUACAUUUACAAUUAUUUAGGGAUGUGAUGUUGAGAUCAGAUCAAGUAUUUGAAUAUGCAGAAGCAUCAAAACUUCCUUGGGACACUCCAGCCAGCCCCAAAUUGUCUUUCAGUUUGGCAUGCAAGAUGGUCCUCAGCUGUUGCUGAUGCUUCCUCUACAAAAUCCCUCUUCUUUAUUUUGAUUGGUCUCAAGUAUGGAAUUUGAAGUUCCUCAGCCAAGUUAGCUACGCCUAAAUCAGAUGAUAAAACAAUUCCAUGGCAGCAAUAGGAUCAAAUGUGAUGCAAACCAAUUAGCAAAUUCUUGAGCCCCUCAUCCCAGCUUGUUUCACAGUCCGGGGAAAAAAUUUCUAAUUAUGCAAAAGGUCAUCAACACGGUUGAUUAAAUUGAAGUCCCAAAGUAAGCCUUGAUCAUUACAUAGACCAACCAAACCUGUCAUAGAAGCAACACCAGCUUACCUUGCUUGAUAAUAUUUCAAAAGAACAGUAUGACUACUAGUAAUGUUAAGGUGGUCUACAUUCAUAUAUGACAGACUAGCCAACACAACUUUUAACAUUUUCUUUGUCACCAAACAGAAACACUUGAACCUUGAAUUUUAUUUUAGCACAGUUCAUCAUAUUCCCAGAAGCGAUGAUCUUCUUAGAAGGUUAAUGAGGGACAUCAAGGGUACAAUAAGAAACUUGACGGGGGCUUCGUUCAUUACGGAAAAUCAAAAGGUGUUUGUCCCAAACAGGAUAUCUGCCAUUAGUCAAAUUUGACAUACAAAAGAACUUACAAAGGAACUCAAAAUGGCCAAGGACAUUUUUCAAAGAAAAUAUGAACAUUGGACAUUGGGAAAUUCCGAGCGUAGUAUACAAUAUCGAGUAGUAGAAGUUCAUCAGCCUGUAGAUGAAAAUUUCAAAUCCCGGGUUUUUCGAUAAGGGAAAUGUUAAUUACUAGGUAAUUCCUGUUUAUCUUUGUUGGUAUUUAUAUUCUUGCCUUGCAAGCUGCUAUAUGUUUGCAGUCUCCAAAAUCUGGCAAUGGAAGAAUAAACAAAAAACAUUGCUAUAACGUAAUCAACAGCAAUAAUAGAGGCAAAUCCAGAGUUUCCAAAAUCAGUCAAAUAGAUACCUAGUGUAGAGCAAAUCAUUCUAAAAAUUUCUCUUAUCACUCAUGCCAGCAAUUCAAGGAUGAAGAAUCUUACUAUGCUUUCUAUUGGGUCUACAUUGUGAUCUUGACUGAAGCAUCAUGUCUGCUUCUUGCCAGCUCCCCCACUCCUUCAAUUAUGUAAGACUAGCAAUUUAGACCCUGUCAUGGAAAGCCUUCUUCUCAGAAGAAGAUAGUUAUGUAAAGUUGGUCAUGAAUCUCAGAAGAAAAAUGAUUGUUCAUUGCUUAUUUACCUCUGUUGAAGAAACAUUACUCCUCUCACUGUUGUAAUAUGGGUGUAAGAUUUAUCACAUCAUUAUCACUGCAAGAUAAUGUUUCCAGAGAGAACUAAAAACAGAGGAGGUAGUUCAUAAUUUCUAAAGAUGCGCGUUCCAGAUAAGUUAGGUAUUGCUUCCAAUGAGUCACAACCAGAAAUAUCCAAAUCAAUUAAAUUCAACUUUUCAAGCCCCCAAAGCUGAGUAAGUUUCUUGCAGUCUCGAACUCUUAGAGAUUGUAACUUCUCACAUCCCGUCAAAUCUGGCAAAGUCUCCAUUGAUUUGCAUCCUGUAAAAUCCAACUCUUCUAAGAACUUUGCACUGUCAAGACCUUGAAUUUCGACUAAAUUGUUGCACCCAACAGCCACUAAUUUCUUCAAACACCAUGAUUUAUGACAGAUAAGACUUUUAAUGGAAUUGCAGUCAAAUAAAAAUAUGACCUCCAAGGACUCCAAAUUAUCAUUGCCCCAAAUUCCAGCUAGGCUAUCGCAAUACUCAGCGCGUAUCGUUUCAGAUGAACCAAUCGUGAAAGGGUCAAUUUUUCAAUGGAAUUGCACUUUUUUAUUGAAAGCUCUUCCAAGUGCAUGAGUCCGCUGAGCCAAAGUGAUGUCAGCUUAUCCCACUCCUCAAAGCAGAGUUUCAAUGAUAUUGAGGAUGGUUCGCGGAUGUCUUCAAGUAAAUGGCGUACCUCAAGAUGGAGUUGUUCUAGGCAGAUCAGGCUAAAAAGCUGUGGCAGUCCAAGACUCUGACAAGUGACCGACAGAUCUGUUAAGCCCAAAGGAAGCUCUGGCAGCGACUGAAGCUCAUCACAGUCCCUUAGGUCAAGGCUUAGGAGAGAAGAAAGAUUCCGGACACUUUCUGGCAGGUCAGGUAUCGGUGUAAAUGUGAGAUCGAGAAUCUCGAGGGAAGGCAGGUCGCCGAUUUCACUUGGAAUUGCCCCUUUCAGACUACGGCACCAUGAGAGAUGUAGAGUCCGCAGAUUUUUCAUCCUUCCAACAGCACUGGGAAGCUUUUCGAUCGCAGAACCACUCAAGUCAAGAUGUUGCAAAUUCUUCAAAUCCUCAAUUGAGCUAGGAAUUUCUCUCAGUGACCCACAAUAGCGGGCACUCAGUUUCUCCAGCUUCCUCAAAAAACCAAUAGACGUAGGAAUCUCUCUAAUACCAGAUUCAUUUAAUAAAAGUUCUUCUAAAUCUUUUAAUUCGCCCACCUCCUCUGGUAGCUCCUUCAGACUUCCACAGCCAUUCAAAUCCAAGGUAACAAGGCUCACGAGUUUGCCAAUAGAAGGGUGGAGAUGCUUCAGUCCACCACAAUUGAACAAGAUGAGAAUCUUCAAUUGCGUGAAAGCCGAGAGAUUAGGAAUACGUCUUAAAUUAGGGCACUGUCCAAGGUCAAGAACUUUAAGCCGCUUUGACGCCUAAUACAAAAGGAGAAUAAGCUAUCAAAGAAUAGUUGAUUGGCUAAAUAAGAACAAAAUCUUAAAAUCGCAGUUGCCUUUUUUUCCUAAUCUUACCGUGAAUGACCUCCAUCCUCGCCAGCCCUCUGUGAUGUCGCUUGAUGAGAAAUCCAACACCGAUAAUUUCGGUAAAUACAAAUUAGUCGUCGAAAAAGACAAAUCGCUUCGCUUCACCGUCCACUGAAGCCAUCUCACUUGAGAAAGGGGUCCGUCGUUGGAGUUUCCGCUUGGAUCAGCCCGCAAAAUGUCGCAGAACCAGGAGGCACGUCCCCCCAAAAUUUUGCGGAACCAGGAGGGGAACCUGGAGGGGCGUCUCUGCGAGUUUUAUAACUUUUCAGUUUUUCCUGUUCUUAAAUCUUGGAUUUUGCACAAUCUGUAACCUUUCUAUCCUUCCCGUGUACAAAUAAGGACACGUUAACUCACAUUUAAUUUUUUUUAACGACCUUUCGAAAAUUGAAUAAAUGACGUGAAAAUAAAAAACAAUGGUCAUUGCUUUAAAACAACUAAGGCAAAUGCAACUCAAUGUUUUAUCUUUUCCUUUUCUCCUUCAAAUUUUGUAGCACAUGCACUUUGACUUUUAUUUAAUACUAAAUACAUGAAACCAUUUUACAACAUACAAAUGUUUACCUAUAAAUUUUCAUGAUUUUUUUUAUAAUUUUUCAAAAGAAUUUAUUAAAGAGUGCUGGUGGGCCACCUGUAAGUAGGCUAUAGAAGCAAGUGGUUUUCAUUUCAUUAAUUAAAUGUAAUAAUGCCGAAGAGAAAAAAUGGGGAAUUUUCAAUAUAUUUCGAUAUAUAUAUAUAUAUAUAUAUAUAUAUAUAUAUAUAUAAUAUCACAUGGAGGGCCUAUUUAUAAACUUAAUUGUAGAAAAAGCUAAAAAAAAUCAAAGAAAUUCGAAUCAAAUAUGCAUAAUAAAAAAAUAUAUAAAAGAUCAGAGAAAAUAUCCUAAAUAUCUCUAGGAGAUAUCUACAUAACUUUAACAUCAUUAACUGUUUCUGUGAAGCGUUUAAUCAUUUCUUUGAAAACUGAAACGUUUUUUUCUUUUUCUGUUUAGUAUGUUUAAAAAGUGCUGUGGCGACAAUGGACAAUAGUGUAUAAAUCAUGUCAUGAGGCAGCCCAAAUGGACAAUUUAUAACAAUAAAAUGACAUGAACAUUGAUGAUUUAACUAAAAAGAUUGGAUUCAUACUGAGCAUCAUUAUACUCAAAGGUAUAGAUAUAACAACAAGUAUGACAUUUCCUCUAAUUAGUCAAGUUUUCAUAGAUUUUUUAUGACAAACAGUUGUAUGUGCUAUAAGUAAUUUGUAGUGGAUAUGAAUGUUUGUUAUAAGAAAAUCCACUUUUUAUCAUACACCUAACCUAAUCCAUGAAAUGAGCAAUGUCAAUGUGAUAAAACCUUAAAAAACACUAAGAUUUUCCUAAAAAUACUUUUAAGGGGAUUUUUGUUAUCUUAUCUAUUAAAAGAAAAUAAGAAUUAAAAGUGAUAGAUAUAACUAGUAGAGUAGAGGGAUGUGUAUCUUCAAAAUCAAAAUGGAGAAAAAAAUAUCAAACAUUCGAUUCCUAAAUCACAAGAGUACCACCAAUACAUUUGGCCAUACUAGUAAGCCAGAACAUGUGAUAAGCGUGAAACUUUUUCCAAUCUUAUUGUUUUGAAUUUAUUAUUGGUUAUUAUAAUUAGCACAUGCUAUCUUUUUUUUUUUUAAUUGAGAAAUCUUCAUUUAUCCGAUCUAUGAUGUUUAUACUUCAUCUUCAUUGAUUAUUGUAGUCCAUUAGAUUAUCAAUAUUUUCAACUAGAUAUGACAAUUACAUGCUUUUAGUAAAUGAGAUUUAUAGUGUAAAUUGUAGUUAAAGGAUCUUAAAUUGAUUGUCAAUCAAAUCUUUACAAAUGUAAUUUAUAUCAAUGAAAUUGAAUCAAAUGAUAUAACUUUUUCAUCCUUCAGAUACUUAUAACCCAUUUAGCCGUCACAAUAAAUCUAAGAUGGACAUAAAUGGAUGUUUACUCCUAGAAAGCAAGAGGAGAUGUCAAUCCUAGAUGAAAUAUUAGAAUAUAUUAGAUUAAAUAUAUUAAAAUAAGCAGGAGCGAAAAAAAGAAAAAAAGUAGUGCCAUAUUUUACCAAUUCAAAGCUUCUUAGUACUUUUCGGACUCCCCCGUAGUUGUGGUCCCAUGGUCCGCUACAUUUCUCAAGCAAUUGUCCUUGGCAAAAAAUACUCCUUCCAAGUUCUCUCAGUUGAUCAUGCAUCUGAAACUUACCAUUCAUAUCAAUUUUAAUUAAGCACCUCAACUUCAACUCUUCAAUACCAUGAUUUGGAUAAAGCCCACAGUCCUCCCACAUGUACAUGGCGAAUCUGCUCCGUUCGCCAAUAAAGAAACAAACAAUAUCGAGAAAAAUCUGCUUAUGUCCAUCUUCUAAUGCAUCAUAACUUAUUCGCAAUAUCUUUUGGACAUCUCUAUGCGGUUUGUAUUUUAAUUGCUCCCGCACAUCUUCCCAUACUUUUCGAUUCGUUUUUUUAUACAAGUAUGAACCUACAACCUGAAGUGCCAAGGGAAGCCCAUCCAUGUUGUCUAUGAUAUCACGAGAUAUACCCUCAAACUCCUGUGGAGAGUGGUCCAUACAAAAUGCAUGUUUAUUAAACAAAAGCAAAGCUUGCACCUCAUCCAAUUCAUCCAAUUCAUACUUGUAGUCUACCUCAAAUUUAGAUUGAUCAAGAAUGGCUUUGUUUCUAGUUGUAACAAUGAUCACACUUCCUCUCAUAAACCAAUGACAUUCCCUAGCCAAUGCAUCUAGUUGACUGUUGUCAUCUAUAUCAUCCAAAAGAAUGAGAACCUUUUUCCUUUGAAAUCUAGAUUUGAUUAUACUGAUUCCAUCAUCAAUUCUAGAAACUUUUGUUUCACAUAAUAAUACAUCAUUUAUUAGUUGACUCUAUAGAUACAUAAUACCGUGGCGCCUGGUAGUUUCUCGAACAUCUGGAAGGAAGCUGACAUGCACAAAUUUAUUUAAGAGCUUAUUGUAGAUGCACUUGGCAAGAGUUGUCUUGCCUAUCCCGCCCAUGCCAUAAAUUCCAAUCAUUCGAGCAUUGGUGGAAGGAUUGUUGAUCCAAUUCAUAAUUUCGUCUAUAUGAUUAUCAAAUCCAACUAGUUGUGGAGGCACAUCCAGCUGAAAAUCUUUAUGUAACUUCCUUAUAAUAGUUUCAACCACAUGCUUAAUUAAUUCUCCCUCAUGCCUGUCAAACAACAAAAACAACGACUGAAAAUCUUGUCACAACUUGCUUAGAACAUUUUCGGUAACUUUUUUCACCAAUUCUCCUUCAUGCCCGUCCAACAAAAAAAUUCACAGAUAAUUUCGUGAUUAUACUUAAUCUCAUCAAAAGGCACCGACAGACGUGAAGAAUGGAUGGACCAAUUAAAAUGCAAGAUGUUUUGGUUUUACAAAUAACAACCGGGGGAUGAUGGCCAGCGGUCAUUUCAUUUUUUUCUUCUCUCUUUUGCUAGAUGGAUCUUGUUGAAAGAAAAUAAGGCUGUGCACCUGGCUCGUUAAGAGUCUUUAGAAGUGUAAUGUUUGUUACAAGGCUUAAGAUUGCUGCUAGUUAAAUGAUAGGAGGUCAAUUUUGUUUUAAUUAAAAAAGAAGUUUAGGAGAAAACUAUGUUACUCCACCCUAAGGACAGGGCAUCUCACGUGUCAAAAUCGAGGACUUAUAGUUGAUUUACAAAUCGCUAUUGAUGGGGUCUAUUGACAGUGGAAAUCAAACCUAGACAUGGUAAAUGUGAAGUGUCCGGUCCUUUUGACCUAAGCCAACUUCCAUUCGCAUGAGGAGAUCUAUUUUAUCUGGUGGUGAUAAAGCUUUGAAAUACUAAGCAUUCGAGUCCUUUCUAAGCGUAUUGUUUGGUGAUUGACACUAUUGGCCAGAGGGGUAGUCAUUUCUUUGAUUUUGCUCUGUUGGAGACAACUGCAGUUCGUCUGUUUCGCAUGAACAAGAAAAUUUACGGGAUAAUUACUAAAAAAGUCAUAAAUUUAUUAUAAUUAUAUCUAUCCAGUUUUAAUUUUUUUUAAUUAUAAUUACCAAAAAAAAAACAUUUUGAAAAUAUGCUAAUACAAUCUAUCCAAUCAAUUUUGACUAAAAAUCGCUGAUAUGGACGUCGGCCAUCUUAUGUGAUACCGCUGGUAUUGACGUGGAGAAUUUUUAUAACUUUUUAUUAUUUUUUGUUAACUUUGUUGGAUUUGUUUAUAUUUUUCUUUUUGUUCUUUCUUCUUCUUUUUUUCCCUUCUUCCUCUACAGUCGCCGGCCAUAGAUGACAGCCGCCUCACCGUGAGGGCUGACCCCGCCAAAAUCUGGUCGUUCUAGUGGUCCUAUAGAGAAUCGCAAGGAGGGAGAGACUGAGAUUUUUCCAACAAGAGAGGGCCGUCGUUGGGUCAGAUGAGGAGGUACGCAAGCAGCCAUAACGUGCUGGCAAACUUCGACUGGACGACCCAGGUGGCGCCGGUGGACGCAGCAGAGCAGAGGAACUGUUACUUUGGCAACAAAGACAGACGACGAGCAAGAUGAUGACAACGGCGACGAAGUAGUGAUUCCAUUUUCGGCCGCCAUUUUGGUAGGUGGAGUGGAGUCGAAGGCGAAGAAGGAAUUGAAUCUGUGGAAGAGACGGACAAUGGCUCACCCUCAGCCACUUCGCUUGCGACAUCCCCAUUAAUUCUGCAAAUAUAAUCGUGUUCUCGAAUGAUUGCUUUCCUGGAUUCCCGAUUUCUGAUGUUCUUCCUUCUUUUUUUAGGGUUAUUAGUUUGUGUUGGCCUGACCUCUUUAGAAGGACCAGAUUCCGGCGAGGUUGGCCCUUGACAGGGAGGGCGAGCCUCACCAACCCUAGUCUGUGGCCUGUUGCCGGCCAUCAAGGAGGCCAGCAGCCGGAGAGAAAGAAGGGAUUUCUAGCUAAAUUAACGAGAUGGACUAUAUUGGUAGAUUUUCAAUAGGUUUAGGACUAAAAUGGCUAAAUAAAAAAGUCACUGUUAUAAUAGGUUUAAUAUUUUUUUUGGGUAAUUUCCCCAAAAACUUAUGAAAAAAGAGAAGUUUAGGUAGAAGCAAAGUACCCGUCAUCAACUUUCUGAGACUCCCAUCCCUGUAAAUGACUCACUUCUUCGAGUGCUUGCUGCACUUUCUGGAUGUCCUCCUCAUCAAAAUGCUUCUUACAUGAACGAAAGGCCUUCCCAAAGUUUCCUUUUAGAUGCCCCACAUCCGAUGGGUCCACUUUAUAAAAGAUGGGCAAAACUGUGUGUGAUGGGCUCUUCGCACGAUCCAUGAUAUAAAUAAGCUCUCGGAGGCACCAUUUGCUUGAAGCAUAAUUUUCGGAGAUGAUGAGAAUCGAAAUCUUAGACCGAGCGAUGGCAUUAAGAAUUUGUGGACCGAAUUUCUCACCAAUUUGGAUGCUCUUAUCAUCCUUGAACACAAAAACUGGUGCAAUUCCUACCUUGACUAGAUUGUGAUAGAGGUGAUCGGUGAAUCCCUUGCGGGUAUCUGACCCUCUAAAGCUCAAGAACACAUCAUAAUGAUCCUUACCUAUUCCUUCGAGUGUUGGAGAGAUUUUCGAAGGUGUGGGUGCUCUCUUCUUCUUCUUGAGAAGAUAGAAUGCAAGCACGCUGAAAAGAAUCGUCGCGGUAAGCACCGCGGAAGAACGCCCCAUUACGAAAGGGUGCAUCCUUUUGUUUGUUUCGGUGUGGCUCUGCCCUUAGUCUAUGGCAAUCUGAGGGGGAAAGUUGGGAAGAAAGAUGCUCUUCUGCUGCAUAAAAGGAUUCAUAACUAGUCUCUAUCAAGUAUGAACAAGUAUGAACAUGAAAUCUUUUACCAAGCAAGAAAAAAAUAAACAUGAAAUCUUUAAUUAAUUAGUAUUUGAUUGACUAGGAGCAGUUGCAUGCUUUUAGUCUUUGCGUUAUCUUCUUUUGCACAUCAUCCUUUAGUCAAGUCAAUCUUGCUGGCUUUGGUCUCCUCACGUGUAACGUGUACAUUAAUUUCUUAAUUGGGCUAUAAAAUACUAGAAUCUAUGUACAAGUAUAUCGCAUGCAUUCAAAAUUAUACGUAGUGGUUUAGUUGUUACUUGGUUAUUGAAAAUAAGAUUUUGAAAAAUCAUUUUUUCAAAGAAUUUCUUAAAUCAUUUAAAAGCUGAUAAUUGAGUUGAGACAAAAUUGGCAAUGUGGGGAGGACGUGAAGAAAGGACCUAGCUAGUAAUUAUGAAUGUGAUUUUAAAUUUAAUUUUGCCAUAGAUUUCUCCUCCUGCACAGCACAAAGCCUCCCUUCUCCUUGUUUAUCUGCUCCUCUCGCCGACACAUUCUCUCUUCCCCCUCUCUCCUUUCGUUUUUUUCUUUCUUUUCCUCUUUCUCCUUUCUUUUGCUCAUUUCUUUUCCUUUCUUUCUUUUCUUCUUUUCCUUUUCGACUCUAAUGUAUUUUCUUUUUCUUUUUCUCAUCAUUUCAAACUCCACUUCACCUAAUAUUACUACCUUUCCACCAAAUCACUUUUCACUUUUGACCGCAUUUUACUGUUCACUUUGACUGUAUGUUCCCCCAUGUAAUUGAUCGGAAGUGACCGAGUGUCAGGGAUAGUGAAUGAAAAGCUCUUAUUCUAUUAAAUUAUAUUGGAAAAUUAAAAUUUCUGGAUGUUACAACAUAUGUGGAAACAAUUUAUCAAGGGGAUAUCUCUAUCAAAUAGAUAAAGUAAUGAGAUUAGAGAAUAGAAGAAUAUGUCUAUAGAUUUAUAAGAGUUCAACUGAUAUUAAAUCUACAUCCACUUUCUCAAAGUAACAACCAGCAGUAUGGCUUCUUUUAACAGAAAGAAUCAAAUGCAAGCUGAAACAUAUUGUGAACGCAUGAGAGAUAGUGAGAGAUAGAGGCAAUUUAGAGAUUUGAAUCUUUCUGAAUUUCCACCUAGUCCAUUGGCAUCCUCUAAAUCCUUUUAUAGAAAACUAACCGUUGGAGAAUAAUUUUACCUGUAAAACAUCCUUUCAUAUGUUUUCUUUGGAGGGUGCCCUUUUUCUUUGGAGGUCAUAAAUACGAAACCUAUGUCUGGUAAAAUUCCACAAAAAUAAUAUUGUUAUUCAGUUAAUAGUAAAUUUCUUUUGUCUAUUUUCAAUAAAAUAUGUAAAUUGAUCAUAACUCUCCUUUGUACUUGGUAAAGUUUUGACACCCAUGUCUCAGUAAUUUUCCUUACUCAUCGCAAGUUUUCUCCAUCAAAUGAUAAUUUGAUCAUGUUUGCAUCUAACUUUCUUUUAAUGUUCGGAAGUGAUGAUAAAAAAUUGAUUUUGCAAAAUAGAUUUGACGGAUCACCUUUUUUUCCCUUUUUAACCAACGGUCCAUGUCGAAUGUAGGACUCAUCCUAUAAAAGAGAGUUUUCACUUAUAAAAUUUCCAUCGUGAUUAGAACGUUUUAGCCAUAAGAAAGUUGUUUAUUUUUUCUGAGCAGUAUAGUAGUUUUAAUGUUAUUUUUCCAAAAUUUUGAAAAUCGUUCCUUUGAAAUAUAUAUAUAGGUAAAAAUGUAACUAAGAAACUAUAUUAAUUUGUCAAUACUUUCUUUUGCUGAUGCACAGCAACAGAUAAAAGAAAUUUGAGAUACUUCUUGUAGAUCUAUAACUUUAGUACGACACGCAAGUCUUCUUUUUGCAAAGGAGCCUUCACACAUAUUCCUUAUCUACCGAGGUCAACAAUGACUCAAACCAGAAGAACUGAUGAGGGUGCAACAUAGAGCUUAGAAAAACUCCGGGUGCAAAAACGGAAUUUUCAAAAAAAAUUGAAAAACUAUGUCUCCAAUCUCUCCCAUUCUCCAGCAUAUAUAAAAAUAAAUGGGGAAACAUUAUUCCUGCCGUCGCCCUAAGAAGAUUUUUCGAGAAGAGCACUUCGAGCAUGCGCUCUGGAGAGAGACUAGCAAUAAUCGAUUCUGACUUGUGCAUCAUGGAUAGAUCGAAUCGCUCGAAUAGGUUGGACAUCCAUGGAGGAUGGGGCCUGGAGGUAGAGAAAGCUCGGUUACUGAGCUUGGUGCCCAAUUUCGACUUCAACGAGCAGUCUGCCAACAAGUGCUUGGACAGUCUUGUUACGCCCCACAGUAUCCGAAUCAUUAUUUUGUCGAGCAUUUCUUGUGUCAUUUUCCGGAAAUUAUGAAAAUUGCCAAUAUAAUGGAAAAUGGUUUUAUGGACAUCCAAAAAUUCUCUAAUUGAUCUGAUUUGUUCAGAUAAAUUUUUGUUAUUGACAAUUCUAAUUCGUAGCCUUUGAAAGGUUUUGUGUGAUUAUUGAAGAGAAUAGACUAGCACAAUUGAUAUUUGGAAAAACUCAGUUUUUAAAUGUUUUUAAGAAAAAAAGAAUUAUUUCGGCAAAAACAGAGUAUUUUGGAUGUUUCAAGCUUUAAGUAAGUUUGGCUCCGACCAAAAAAAAAAGAAGGUAAUAUUGGACAAUCGGAGUGCAUAUAGGGCAAUGGACCCAAAAUCGGGUCUAGAAGGGUAAUUUUAGUACUUUAAUCGAGCGGGCUUUUUGUCCCAAGGGAAUUUCACAUGUAUUAUUCUGUUGCCCUAGAGGAUGUUAGGCGAUGAGUAAUAAUCGAAUGAAUUUUGGUCCUAUCAAUUGUAAUAGAUCGGAGAAUGAAGGUCGGACUUACCUCGAGGAGGAGAUAUUCAUAGAUGAAAUAACUGUGAUGGGUUUCAGUGUUUGAGAAGAAGUCGGCUUGAAGCAGUCCAGGUCCCAAACGUCAGUGCAGUCCCGAGGAUCACCUUCACGCCUCAACCUGGACCGACUUGGUUUGUAAAAAGACGCUAAAUCUCAAAAGACACUGAGGUAAAUUUGCAGAUCAUCUCAGGUCAGAACGUCACGAGAAAGGACGAGUAGUGGCUACGAAGAAAUCACCAACAACAGACGGCUAACUUACUAUCUCUCGAUAAAAUCCCAGCUCUUCUCCGGUAUAUCUGGAGAUCCCAGAAACGACCCACGUGUUCUGAGCGAAGACCGCCCCACCAAACCUAGGAACCCUAAUCGUCUCUGCGGAGUCCACGAUCAGAAAUUAUAGCAAGCGGAACACUAAAAAGGUUCGAAACUUGACACGAUUCGAGUUGAUAUUACCUGCUGAUUGGUGCCCGCCGAAAAACCAGUCCUUUGAAGCCGGUGGUUCGGAAGGAGCGACUGCAGGUGCUCUUCGUGACGGCCUCGGGUGUACUGCUCGGUGGAUUCGCGAGAAAGAAGAUCGCUGCUUCCUCCGCCGAUUCAAGCCGAAGCUCUCGCUCUGGUCGUAGAGGCUUCGAUGUGCUUCAGAUCUGGAAGUAGAGAGAACUUGUACUUGGCAAUCGGAUAACGCGGUUCUGUGGUGACUAUUUGCUGGAACAUGAUCACGUGCCACGGGUGGGAGGCGCUUUGUCUUGGACGCCAGAGUCCAGUUGGCUAAUUUUCAAAAGUGUAUCCGCGGCCCAUAUCGCUAAACGGAGUUGGAAACAUGACGUGGGUAUAAACAAAUGGACUUGUGUUUAUUCCAUGCUAGCUCCACAUGCUAACGAUUUCAUCUAAAUCCAACGUAUUUUAAAAUGAUAUGGUAUCACCGAAUUAUUCUCCUAAACCUUAGAAAUUUUAAAUAGUUGAUUGAUAUGUAGAGCAAAAACUUGUUAUAAGAUACUGAAGAAGGAACAUGAAUACUCCCUUGAUGCUAUCUUUCGCAGCAUUUUUGUCUUCUUUCUUUUUUUCUUGAGAUGAUUGAAUAUAAAAAUAGAAAGAAGAAUUGGCACAAUGAGCACCGCAAAGGGAUGAUGUGAAACGAAAUAGUGCAUUCCUUUUGUUUAUCUUGCUUUACUUUUGCCCUUUCUCCAUGGAAAUGUUGGGAAAAUAUGAGAUAAUAUGAAAAAAAGAGAGAGAAUUGUUGGAAAUAUAUUAAAAAUGAUGAAAAAAAUAUAAGAUAUAUUAUUUGAGGCAUUCAAACACUAUCCUUGAGAUCAAUUUCUCCCUUCAAAGCAUGAAACUCGGUACGAUGGGCUCUAGUGGCUAUCUUCACAAGAUAAAACUCUACAUGGAAUAACAGAAGGAAUGGGAACGUGUUAUGUCCAUAGCCCAACCAAACAAGGAAAGACAUGUGAAUCUCGCGAGUUCGAUGUAUAUUGAAAGAUUGUGGUUUUAUAGUUAAUCUUGUAUUCAAACAAAAGAGAGAGCUGUUAGAAAAUCGCUACAAAUUAAUUGAUAAUUAGUAAAAUGACGACUAUUAUAGAUGAUAUUUUGAUCAUGUCAAAAAAUUAAAGAGAGAGCCUCUAACUCUCCUUUGCACUUCGUAAAGUUUUGAGAUCUUUGUCUUGAUAAAUUUCCUUACUCAUCGUAACUUUUCUUAAUCAAACGAUAAUUUGAUCACAUCUAUAACUUUCCUUUAAUGUUUGAAAGUGAUGAAAGAAAAUCAAUUUUGCAAAACAAACUUGAAAAGUCAUGUUUUUUCCCUUUCUAUUUACUGGUCCAUGUUGAAUAUGGGACCAAUCCCAUAAAAAGAGAGCUUUGACUUGUGAAAUUUCCAUCCCCAAUGUUUUGUCUAUAAUAAAGUAGUGUUGAAGACGCUAUUUUUCUAAAGUUUGGAAAAUCAUUCCGCUAUGAUAUUUAUAUUUAAUAUAUAGAAAGGUAAAAACGUAAAUUAAGGAACGGUAUUACUUUCUCAAUGUUGUCUUUUAUUGACUGACGCAUAGCAAUAGAUACGUAUGUAAUUCUAGUAUGAUAUGCAAGUCUUCCGUUUCCAAAGUAACCUUCACACAUAAUCCUAUCUGCCGAGGUUAACGAUGAUUCAAGCCCAAGCGUGUCAAAUGAAGCCCGGGGUGGAAAAUAGAGCUUAGACAAACUUCAAGGGCGAAAGAGGAAAUUAAAAAGAAAAAAAGAAAAAAUAAGGCUCCAAUCUCUCCCAUUCUCCAGCGUAUAUAUAAAAAUAGGCAGCAGAAAACAUCACCAAUCCCGCCAUCGCUGGGAGCGUCUUUUGAAAAGAGCACUUUGAAGCGCACGGUCUCUAGAGAGAUUAGCGAUCAUCUCGAUUUGACUGCGGCUUGUGCAUCAUCGAUCAAUCGAAUCGUUUGAACAGGUUGAGACUCCAUGGAGGAUCGGGGCUUGGAAGAGGUAGAGAAAGCUUGGGGUUGCUGAGCUUGGCUCUUGAGUUCCGCUUCGACGAGCAAUCCACCAACAAGUGCUUGGGACCGUCUCGUUUCCUGGUGUCUCAUUGAACUAAGUGCAAAUCACAUAUCGUAGAUUGUGUUUAUUUGAUCUCUUGUUUGCCAUGGAACUUGCAAAACCAUCUCUUUCUUCUUUUGGUUUUCUUGACGUGAGAAGGCCGAGAGUUUAUCAAGUGGAGCGCUGUGGCGAUGGCUUCCUAGCAAACUUGCUGAAAUGAUGCAAGAUUUUGAGGAUUGGGAUGAUUUGCAAGCUGCGAAAAAUCAGAAGCUUGUGGAGGUUUGACUAUAUGUUUGGCCAAGACAUUCGUAAUGGCAGUGAAUGCAAUGUUUCGCACGAUGUCGAUAUUUUAGAAGAUUCUCCACAACCUGAGGAAAACCUAACUUUUCUUGAGGUGGAUUCCUCUACUGAUAGUGAAGAUGAGGACAACAUAUUUGACGGCAAAAUGGGUAGGAAAUCCACAUGCUAUAUUCCUGACCAAAGCAGUACUCCAGGCAAUUCUUCCACUCAACUUCUGGCGAGACAAUCUAGAAUCCAUGUUAUGCUUCUCCCACGGACAUAAACAACGCACGCCAAACCACUUAAAUCACUUUGUCACUAUUCUUUUCUCAUAUAAGUUAUUCUCUCCUCGAUCUUGCUUGUGAUUCUGCACACAGCAAAGGACCUACACUAUGUACAUGUACAAAAGCAUUAAUUGCUCAUGGGCCCUCUCGUCCAAUCAAAUGUCCAAUAGAUACCCCUAACAUUUGCCAAUUACUUUCACAAUCUUCAAAAUCCAAAAUGACAUAUUAGAAUUCCUUGGUCAAUAAAGAAGUUGAUUUUAGCUUUGGAUGAUGUACGAAUGCCUAUAUUUUGCAAAUACUUUGAGAGUAUAGCAGAUCAUUAAAGUCUGGACUUUAGCAAUCCACCAUCAUCGAUAGGAAUGUUUUGUGUAAAUGAAGGCUUGUGAUUUCUUUGUGUACAUACAUUCACCACAAACAUAUAGGACAAGUUGCAACAUUGUUUUCAUAAACUAAUGAUUUUUGUCCAAUGUUACACUUAAAUAGAUUUUGGGUAUCAAUCUGAAGGGAGGUUUUCACCUAAUAAUUUUGUCGGAUAAAUUGGAGUCUCGUAUGGUUUUUACUCUCAAAGUUAGCUUUUCCUAUAUAUGCACACACUUUCUAGAGUUUGAAAUUAGGUUUUGAUUCAAUGUUAACAUCUCAAUUUUUUAAAACUCGAAGACAAAUUUUCAAAGCUGGCGUUUUAAUUUGGUUCGUAGCAAGAAAAAUUUCUUAAAUAUUUAUGGGUUGUUGAACGCGUGAAAAUGAGAAAACAUGGUAUUCGUCUUCUGCAGUAUUCCUUGGUAACUGGAAUUAGUUGUUGAAUGUGGAAAAAAAGAAAUAAUAUUCAUCGUCAGUCGCCAAAAAAAAAAAAAAAACAAUAAAAGAAGAAGAAGAAGAUUUUGAAUAGAAGGCACGCAGUUUAAGAAAUUGUUCAAGAAAUUAUGGUCUAUUAUUAAAAGAUAUGCCAAAAAAAAGGAACAUUAUUUACUGUCCAUUAUUAAAAGAUUUGCAUCUUGGAUAAUGUUCCAUUCGUCCAUGAUCAAUGAUUUUUCAAAAAUAGUCACGGGAUUGUUCCGUCUAAGAACCAUAUAUGGGGAUUAUUUUAUUGAUGGCCAAACUUUCGUUUUAUAUUGAUCUAGUCCGAGGAGCACUAAUAAGUCCAAUUUGGCUGAAAAAAGAAAAAUUAAUAAGUUUACCUUACUAGUCACUGAUUAUUUGUCUUGGUACUUUAUAAUGGUUUGAGUGUUGGUCUUUGUUUUUUAUUUUUUCCUCUAGAAAGACCCUUGGUCGUCAUUACAUCUUCUAGUUGGCUAACAUGGAUGUGAGCUUAGAUUGUGACAUUCUUCCCAAGAUUAAGAAUUAAUAAUUGCCUUUUAAAAGUUGGUCGCAAAGAAACAAUAAAAAGAACAAAGAAGAUUUCGAAAGGAAGGUAGGCGGUUUAAGAAAUUGUUCAAGAAAUUAUGGUCUAUUAUUAGAAUAUAUGCCAAAAAAUGGAACCCUAUCCACUACCCAUUAUAAAAAGAUCUGCAUCUUGAAUAAUAUUUUAUUAGUCCAGAACCUUUGACUUAUCAAAAAUAGUCACAAGACAAGUUAUUGAAGCCAACUAGAUUAUUAUGUGGAAGGGGAUUAUUUUUUUAUGGCCGAUCAUGAUCAAAUUUUGUCAUUAUUAUCGGGGCAUGCCUGAGCCGGCACGGCUUGGGCAUGGCUCGCAUGGGCCUAGAUAUUUUAAAAAAUUAAUUUAAGAGAAAUUAAAUUCAAAAAAAUUGCAAUACUUUUUUUCAAUGUAAAUAAUGAGAAAUUAUUUGAGGGAAAUUAAUAAGGAAAAACACUCGUUCUUUUAAACCAAAUUGAAACCCAAGUACAUCUUCAUAUAAUUUGAGAAAAAAAUUACACUUAGUGGAGCUUUACUAAUGAUUUCACUCCAGCAAUCGUGUCCUUAGGCACCGUUACUCAGAAAUCAAUAAUUGUCUAUUGUCCAUACGCCUUGUACAUGCCUCAAAACUGACUUGAUGAUUCUUAUAUACCAUUAGUUGAAGAGUGUUUUACCUGAUCCUUUUUGUGUUUGUGUUUUGCAUCUACGAAUUCCCUUUCGUAGAUAGCCAAUAAUUUUAUCAUAAUGAUGCUCAUACUUUAGUCUUUAUCUUAACAUUAUCUCUCCAGCAAAAUGGAUUCUGCUCGAGAAAGGCACUCUAAAGAUCAAUGUGGAUGGCUCGAAUGUGAAGGGAGAGAGAAGAGGAAGCAUCGCCGGUGUUUGUGGGGACGAGUCUAGGAACAUCGUGGCUGGAUUUACCAAGGAUGUGCGGGUGAACUCGAUGGAGCAAGUGGAUACUCUAGCGUGCACAGAAGCCCUACGCUUCUGUUCUAUUUAUGAACCCAAGUAUUCUCUAGAGUCAAAUAAUUGGUCUAUGAAAUGUGCAUUUUCCAAAUCAAGAAUAGCCAACGUGGAGUAUCCAGCCUCUUAUCUCUAAAGGCAAAUGCCUGCUGGCCCAAUACGAAAGCAUCCGUUAGCCCACUGCAGGAGAGAAGCGAACCAGGUAGCUGAUUGUAUCUCUAGGGCCCAUCGGCAAAAAUCCCUUCCCACCAAUUGGGUUUCUUAUCCCUAAAAAAUAUUAUGCGACCUAAUUUAUUCAGAGGCCCAUUUAGUUUGUAAUCGCAGAGCUACUUAAAGUAUGAAAGAAGUUUAUUUUGACAAAAAGAAGACAAACAUUUAGAUUUCUCCACCAUCUUCGAAUUGUAAAAGAACUUACAAAAAUUUUGUAGAAAAACUUAAUUGCGAGAGUUUUCGGUGAUUGGGGCUCUUCCUGAAAUUCUAAUAACUUUAAGACAACUUGAGUAGAGCUUCAACCUGCACAUCAUCAAGGAACUCGUUGAACUACUUAAUUUCAUCCUCUUCGAAGACUAUCUUAUGAAUGUGCAGAUUCACAAAAGGAGAAAAUUGGCCUAAAUGACAAGAACAAAUCAAUUUGCACUUACGCUCUUUUAUUUGAUGGUCUUGUUCGAGAAUCUAGUUAUCUCAUUGAACCUCUCACUUAUCUCCCCACCAGCAAUUAUCUCCCCAUUAGUGUAUUUACAUCAAAUCAUUUUUUUUUUCGCGUGGCUCUCAUACUUGCCCAUCCACUACUGCGAGCGAUUGAUUCCAUGAAUCGCUCCGAGUCUUCGCCUAUUUGUGAUAAACAAAUGCAAAAAUGGCGGAUUUCUAGAAGGGCGACGGUGCUUUAUUUUGCUGGAAGAGGAUGAUUAGGAUAAGCCCUUAGGCUUCACCUGCCUAUUUCACCCAACUCCUGGAGGGAUCAUGGAGAAGAUGAAGAAGCAUUGCGCCCCUGCCAUUGACGCGACCGGUCGGAUGAAUUCGAAGGGAAUGACCCCCAACGUUUUAGCCUGUGCAUUCCGAUGAAUUGCCUCUACCAAUUGAAAAGGUCCAAUCUUGGACUCGAACCCACAACCGAGAGCUUCAAUCCUUGACAGGUGGCUUAUCUUGCAUAGGCAAAUGGAAAAUAAAGCAAUGAUUUUGUUGAUGAAUACAAUACAACACGAUUUAGUAUCCAUUAUUAAAAGAUUCGCAUCUUGGAAAUGUUUUUUUUGAUCGACAACUAUUGACUUUUCAACGAUUAGGAAGAGUUAUUGAUGAAAUUGAAAAAACUAUCAAUGGAGUUUACUUUUUUUGUUAACUGAUCAUGAUGAAAUUUUGUCUCACUUUCAUUUUAUAUCGACCUAGGCCAAGGACAACUAAUAGAUUUUAUUUGGCUGAAACAUCUUCCAGCUAGAUAACAUGGAUGGAACCUUGGGCUCCAUAUGUUUCCAAAAAACAUUAGACCAUGUGGUUGCAUCAAGAAGUCAUGAACUCAACCCUUCACCAAUAGGGAGGCUGUUAUCAUCCGUGAACACAAAUAUUGGUACAAUUCCUUCAUUUAUGAGAUUGGCAUAGUCUCGAAAUCUCAAUAAUUCAUCAUAGGGAUCACUUCCCCCCUCCUAUUGGUGUUGGAGAGACGAAUGUAGACGCUCUGGUAGUGCUCUUAUUUUUGGCAUGCGGUAUUGCUUCUGCUGUGUUUUCUUGUCUUGAGAAGAUUAUAAGCGCACGGCAAAAGAAGAAUUGACGCGACAAGCACCGCUAAAAGGGCACCCCCAAAACCGAACUGUUGGCACUUCGUUAUUGUCGUUGAUCCGGCUCUUCCCUUCAGAAGAAAUGCCCUUCCUGUAGCGCAAAGGGGAUAGAUUAACGUGUCAACCGGACUUAUGCAUCAACUUGAAACGAUCGCCGCCACACGCUCAACAGUAAAGUGCACAACUUCUUCUACCCAAGAAAAAAAAAAUUACAGACCCAAGGGUGUCAAACGAAACCAGGAAAAACUUAUAGGGGGCAAAAAGAGAGAUUAAACAAACUUCAGAUGCGAAAACGGAAUAUUCAAAAAUAGAAAGGGAAAAUAUCAAUCCCGCCAUCACUGGUGAGGUAUUUCGAACAGAGCACUUUGAGCACACGCUCUCCAGAAAGAGGCUAGCGAUCGAUUCAAUUCCGACUCGUGCAUCGUCCAUCAAUCGAAUCGCUCGAACAGGUUGGAAUUCCGUGGGGGAUCGGGGCUUGGAGGAGGUGGAGAAAGCUCGGUUGCUGAGCUUGGCUCUCGAGUUCAGCUUCGACGGGUAGUUUGCCAGCAAGUGCUUGGACCGUCUCGUUUCGCUCUAUGGUAACUCGAAUCAUUACGCCGAGUUAUGUAGCCCAUUUUUUAUGCUGAUUGGCGUUCCAGAGGUUAUGUAGGUAUUCAUCGUCCACCACGGUGAUGAUGGCGGUGGAAUAGUCUACUCUAGUUUUGAAUAGAUCGGAGCUGGUUCAGCAAAGUGGUCUUGCUGACAAGCGAAAUGUCCGGCACAGUUCUAGUUUGAUGUUUUAAGGUUGCUUCGGAUGGUGGUUUUUGGUGAUUAGGGAAUGACGUAAUUGCUUGUGUUGUGUGGAUAAUUGGUGAAUCGAUUGAUUGUGCAUUCUUGGAUAAGGAGAUUUAUUGCAGUUAGUUGUCAUUCUAAUGAUGGCUGUGGAAUGGUCUACCUUUUGGAUUUGGAUGGACCGGAGCUGGUUAAAUCUAGUUCAUUGAGUGUUAAUCAUGUCCUUACUUCUCUGUGGAAUGGUCUACCUUUGGGAUUUGAAUGGACCGGACUAGCGAAAUGUCUGACUUCUUUCUGAGCUAACCGCAAAAUUACAUAUGGUGUCUUGCCUUCAUAUAAAUAUGGUGUCUUGCUGAACUAAGUGCAAAUCACAUAUUUUACAUUGUGUUUAUUUGAUCUCUUAUUUGCCAUGGAACUUACAAAAUUAUCUCUUUCUUCUUUUGGUUUUCUUAAGGUGACGAAGGUCGAGAGUUUAUCACUGUGGAGCACUGUGGCGAUGACUUCCUAGCAGAACUUGCUAAAACCAUUGGAGAUUCUAAGGAUUGGGAUGAUUUGCAAGCUACAGAAAUCAGAAACUUAGUGGAGUUUUGACUGAUAUGUUUUGGCCAAGAUAUCAGUAGUGACGAUGAAUGCAAUGGUAUACAAGAUGUCGAUGUUGUAGAAGAUUCCCCACAACCUAAGAACAACCAAACUUUUCUUGAGGUGAGGAUUCCUCUACUGAUAGUGAUGACGAAGACAAUAUAUUUUCAGUAAAAUGGGUAGGAAAUCUACAUGCUAUAUUCCUAACUAAAGCAGUACUCCGAGCGAUUCUUUCAUUCAACUUCUGGCCAGACAAUCUUUAGAAUCCAUGGUAUGCUUCGACCAUGGACAUAGCCAAUACAUGCUAAACCACUUAAAUCACUGAGCCACUAUUAUGUUCUCACAUAAUUUAUUCUCUGCUUGAUCAUUUGCAAUUUGCUUGCAAUUUUGCACACAGCAAAGGACCUACAUGAUGUACAUGUACAAAAGCAUUUAGUAAAUUGCUUAUGGGGCCUCUCAUCUCUUUACUAUAAAAGUGGCAAAUGACUCAGAUCUAACUUGACCUUCAGUUAUAAUGUUUUUGUCAUUUUUUUAACUUUUUUUUAAUUGGUUCGGUAAUUAUAUUUUAUGGCAUGUGGUCAGCGUUUUGUCAUCUACAAAACACAAUGUCGAAGUCAAUCGAAAGCUAUUACCAAGAAUCAGGGAGGCAGGAAGAGAUCUACCAGCAAUUUUUCCACUUAAUUUCUGGCGAGACGAUCUUUAGAAUCCAUGGUAUGCUUUAACCAUGGACAUAGCCAAUAUAUGCCAAACCACUUAAAUCGUUGUCACUGUUCUGUUCUCAUAUAAUUUAUUCUCUGCUCGAUCAUUUCCAAUUUUCUUGUGAUUCUGCACACAGCAAAGGACCUACACAAUGUACAUGUCCAAAAGCAUUUAGUAAAUUGCUUAUGGGGCUUCUCAUCCAAUCAAAUGUCCAAUAGAUAGUCUUAACUUUUUCCAAUUUCUUCCACGCUCUUCAAGAUCCAAAAUGACAUACUAGAACUCCUUGGUCAAUAAAGCAGUUGAAUUAAGCUUUGGAUGAUGUACAAAUACCUAUAUUUCUCAAAUACUUUGAGAGUAUAGCAUAUCAUCAAGUGUGGAUUAGCAAUCCAGCAUCUUUGAUAGGAAUGUUUUGCAUAAACGAAGGCUGGUGAUUUAUGCUGAGUGUUGUGACUGUCAAAUUAUUAAUCUCCACUUUGGCUUUGCCUGCCUUUUCAGAAAAGAUAAACCAUCGUGCAAGCUACUGUAUGUAACUGCUGAAAGGAUUGUGGGAAACCCAUCAUUUCUUGAGAUAUUGUAAUGCUUGCUUAGAAAGGGAUUGUUUCUGAUGCACCAUAACUUUUUCUGAUAGGUUCUUUGUAAAUUUAUUAUAUUCGACCAUCAUGCAUUGCAGGCACAGCUAGCUGGUUUUGUUAUUGAUGAGGCACAUUACGUGAGGUAUGUGUAAUAUUUGGCAUGCCUUGUACAUGAAGAAAGAUCAUGCUGGAGUUACUUCAAAAGGAAUAAUUAUUUGUGAUGUUGCCACUGGAAAACUAUUGUCCUUGUUCCUGAUAAACAUAAGCAAGUUAACUUUUAUAGAUGCUAACUUAAACUCUUUUUCCAAACUUUCUGCAUUUUCUGGGUUUCUAGCCUAAUUAAAUUGAUCGUGUUAAACUAGACCUUCCGAAGCCCAGAACCCUUUAAAGUUCUAAUAUAACCGAAUGCAGUGUUCCUUGUUUGAUGAAAAGAUUUAGGUUCCGUUAUUUGAGAACAUUUAGUGGCACAUCAUAUAUUAUAUUGAGUGAAGAGGACACAACUUAAUAAAACUGCAAUGGAAAGUACUUCCUAGAGUAAUUGGAUCCAGCAUAAGCUUGGAUAAGGAUCCAAUCUCCUCUUUAUGUUUGGCAGGACACUCAAUCUCUUGAGUUGGUUCUUGUAUCCCUAUUUAUUCCACUAAAGCUUAUGGUUUAUGUGAACAACUUGAGAAAGGUAAAGGUUCAACCAUGUGAUCAUUGAUUGUGUUUCUUAAAAUGUCUUAACUGGAUUUGCUCUGCUAGUUUAAUCUCAUGAAAGGAACGUACUGCUGAUUUGAGCUUUUCUUGAACAUUUGACUGAUUAACAUUGAAAGCUCAUAAUUGUCACUUUUGUGGUUGUCAUUAAUGUAGUCUAUGGGUACAGGAUUUUGAUCUAGAUUACGGACUGGCAUGUCUCAAGCCUAACUUUGCAUAUGACCCAAUGCUGGCCUUAGCUGAAACUGCCACUCACUCAGUUCGUGAGGUACUAAACUUAUAUAUUAACCUCCUCAUCAUUAUGUUGAAAUAAUAUGUUCAUUCUGAUUGAAUUAUUCAUCCAUUGCAGGAUAUCCUAAAAUCUCUUGGGAUUCCCCAUGCUCUUGUUCUUGAGACAAGCUUUGACAGACUAAAUCUAAAAUAUGAGGUCAUAGCCAAGACCAAGGAACCAUUGAAGCAGCUCGGAUAACUGCUAAAAAUCGUUUUGCUAAUUUGUGUGGCAUGAUAUAUUGCCUUUCAAAGAGUGAAUGCGUUGAUGUCGCAAAAUACUUGAAUAAGUGUAUAAAGACAGUGUACUAUCAUGUUAGAUUAGUAGCCAGCCAAAGGGUAGCUGUUCAAAAGAAAUGGCAAACUGAAGAGGUCCAAAUUGUAUGUUAUAAAAAGAAAUGGCAUACUAUCAUUCUCGUGUUAUUGACUAGCUAUAUUAUAAAUUAUAUAAUCAAUACAUUGACUUUACUAGCAACUUUUCUCAUGUUAUAUAUAAUCAGUAUGCUCAAAAUUAGAUUAUUUCGUGUUUGAUAUAUUUAAAAAUGUUUUGACUUGUUAGUGCGGCCCGCAUUACGUAUGAUUUAGUGCUUGAAUAUGCAUACUUGGCUUAACAAGUUAGUUAAAGUUUUGGUAAUAUAUGAUUAUCUUGUGAGUAGCUUUUAACUACUAAAGUUCCACUGUUGUAAUGCAGUAUGAUGAAGAGGAACAUUUGAGAGUACCGGCCCAAAGAAAAUGCUUCGAAUGAAACUUGAAUGCAUGACCAAUGACUACAAUUUGGUGUAGUAGAGUCCAAGUACUAACCAAGUAGACGACCGUUCAAUGGUUUAGUCCAAAUUUUGGCGUAGUAGAGUCCAAGUACUAACCAAGUAGACGACCGUUCAACGGCUUGGUCCAAACCAAAUGGAUAUAAAUUUCGGGAAGAUUUAACAUUUUCUUUAUCAGUCAACUAUAGCCAACACCAAAGAAAAUUUGGUUUCAAGUAUGAUAAUGUAUGGCUGUGUCUACACUGCUUUAUAGGCUCAUGCUUAAAGGAAUCAAGUUUGAGAUUAUACUAUCAAAGUGAUUGCAAAAUGCCAAUACAUGAACUUCCCAAAAUCCAAGAGCUGAUUGUACACUAACGAACACUUUUAUUUUGCGCUCAAAAUUCUUCCGAGUGAGAAACUACUGUCUUUUGAGAACCUUUUUACUGAAAAUCUUGCCUGCAAUUGACAGAUUAUUUGCCGAUUCCAUGAUAUUCGCUUUUUACACUAAAGAAGUCUCUCACAUUCACAAAAUUGCAGCUAGAAGUGGACAUCUAAAACGGUAAUCUUGUCGACAAACAUGACUUUAUGCUUAACUUCACAUCCAGAACCACCUGUACAUGCAGUCUUCCUGCAAGCAUUUUGAAAUUCUACCUUCGCUAAAUAAUAGCAUGAUGUCAAAGUUUGCAAAGGACUACUGCACCGCAUUAGAAGAGGUCCCUUUAUAUCAAGAAUCCUAUCAAGAUUAUCAGCAUAGAGCACAUUAUAAACACCUUUAGCGAAGAACUUUGGAACACCUUUCCAUAACGUCUCAUGACAUAUCUCAUUUCGGUCCACAUCUCCGUCCUGUGAUGCUCGGGAAUGUUCUCUGAAUUUUAUGAAAUGCAGCUUGAAUCUACACAAGAAGGAUAGGAUUUGCUAGUUAUCAAUAAAUGGGGAUAUCUGAGAUCGAGGCAUCACAAUUUACAUCAUGAAAGAUAAGGUACAAAUGCACAAACAUCAUUUGCACCAAUUGCAGUUGAACCGUAAUGAACAGAGACUUCAUGAGCUGGCCGAUGAAAACGUAAACAAUAGGCUUGGAAGAAGUAACAAUUAGCAACACUUUCCUUGUUUGUUCUUAGGAACAUAAUUGAUGUCAAUAAAAAUAUGCUGAAAUGUGAAGUACUUAAACUACAUAAUAGAAAGAUAAAUUUAUUAUUUUGUUAUUUUGCAAUAUCCUGUUAGCAAAAUCAGCAAACUAGGAUAGUUUGCUAGGAGGUGAAUUUUAACUUUACAAAGUCAAAGUCGCAUGAGAACUGACCUUAUCAAAUUAAAAAAAGUCAGAAACCUAUAUGACAACAUUCAAAGGAUAGUAUCACAUUGAUGAACUGAUAGAAAUGAAGGAGAUUGUCCUCAUGCAUACUUGCAUACUUUUUCAGGUGCAAUUCCAUAGCUCAUAUAGUAUGAGCAAACAAGUUAUUUUUCCAUUGUUAUGGUACGACUAGUAGUGCAUACCUCCCUCUGCAAAGCCUUAUUGAGUUCCGGAAUGAUAACAUUAGAAUGCAACGGCAUUAAACAAACAUUUCUGCAUCGGGGUGACAUACAAAAAAAUCAGCAGCUACGUAUUGGAUUAACAGAGAGGUUGAACCUCAUGAACAUACAAAAAGCAGACUCAACUCAAAAUACAACAUCAAAAUCAUUCGAGUAUGUGCUGUCGAGACCAGAUAAAGUGUACUAGAUCCUCACAAGCAUAAAAAAUUCCCCAAGUAACAUAGAGAAUCUCAAGCGAAGACAAGUCACUGUUUUCACUUGGAAUUGCUCUUUCAGAUAAUAGCAUGAUGGGAAACUUAUAGUGCACCAAUUUUUCAACCUUCCUAUAGCACUAGGAAGCUUUUCAAUACCAGAAGCACUAAUGUCUAGAUGUUGCAAAUUCUGUCAAUCUCAAGUUGAGCUAGUGAUAACUGUGAGCGACUCACAAUAGCUGGCACUUGGUUUCUCCAGCUUCCUCAGAGAACCAAUAGACGUAGGAAUCUCAGUAAUAUCAGCAAAAUUUAAUAUAAGUUCUAAUUUGACAGAUUCACCUCCUUUCAGUUCUAACUCACAUACCCAUCCGCUCUUGGUCCAGUCCGUUGCCACAUUCUUCUUCCAUGAUCCCAAAUCUCCUGUGGAUCCUAAGAUUGCCACACUCUCCCCAAUUUCAACUUGGCGAUCCAGCUGAACGCUGAGAUGCACCUUCUCCCGUCCCAGCAAUGAUCUGAUCUUCUUUGCUUUCUUCUCCUCUUCUCUGCAAUGAACACAUUAUUUCAUAGCUUCUACGAAUAGCCUCCUUCCUUGUCUAAACAACUUAAACAACAAUUUUCACUUGAACCACCGAUUCAUUAUUUGUCAUUUAACACCACAUUCAAAGAGAAACCUUAAGUCUCGGUGUUAGAUAAUCCAUGCCGCUAGCUUUUAUUACAAGAAGAACUCGAAAGAAAAACUGAAUAACUCUUUUUUCCGCACUGAUUCUUGUUCAAGUAAUAAACCCCACAUAAACUCCAUCCACACUAUAGACUCAAACAAACCUUUGAUCGAGAAUUACAUAAAACAACUCCAUACUUCACUCCAAACCCCAGUGCUUGAUUAGACUGACAUAAGUGCACUAGAACAAAUCCAGAGAGAGAGAGAGAGAGAGAGAGAGAGAGAGAGAGAGAGAGAGAGAGAGAGAGAGAGACCUGCUUUUAGUGGUGAAAAAACCACGAACAACCAUGAAGGAGCGACUCUGAGUUGCAUGAGCUCCAUGCAUCCACAUGAGAGAAUCUCGAAGGGGAGAAGUAAUGCUGCUCUUCAAGAAAAAACCGGUCUCUUUACUUGGUUUUAGGUAUGAAAAUACACAUGGCUGUGUCUCUUCUGCUUUUAUAUUCAUGCUUAAAUAAAUCAAGUUUGAGGUUAUAUGACCAAAAUGAUUAGAAGAUGCCUACAUAUGAAUUUCCAAUGUAACCAGACCAAACGAAUGAUUUUAUAAUGCCAUUAUUUUGGGUUCAAAAUUCUUCCAAAUGAGAAGCUACCGUCUUCUUGGAAACCUUUGCAGUUGACAGAUUAUUUUUUGAUUCCACGGCAUUUGCUUUUUCCACGAAAAAAGUCUCUCCCAGUCACAAAACUAUAGCUUGAAGUGGACAUCUAAAUGGUAAUCUUGUUAACAAAUCUCAUUUUAUGCUUGACUUCACAUAUAAAACCACCUGCACAUGCAGUCUUCCUCCAAGCGAUUUGUGAUGCAGCCUUUGCUAAAGAAUAGCACAAUUUCAACCUUGCAAAGGACUAAUACACACAUAUGAGAAGAGGUCACCUUAUAUCAAGAACCUUUGAAGAGUAUUAACAACAUGGAGCAAAUGACAAAUGCCAAUGGCAAAGAACUUCAAAAUGCCUUUCUAUACUGACAUAGCUCAUUCUUGCCCUUAUCUAAACCCCGUGGUGUUUGGGGACUUCCUCCGAAUUUCAUCAAAUGCAACUUUAAUCUGCACAAGGAAGAUAGCACUGAGUAAUUAUCAAUAAAUGAAGAUGGCCAAGAUCGUAGCAUCAUAAUUUACCUCGUGAGAGAUUAAGGUACAAAUGCAUAAACAUCGACACCAAUCAGAGUUGGACCACAAUGAAAGGAGACUUCAUUAGCUAGCUGAUGAAAAAGAAACACACGGGCUUAAAAGAAGUAAGCAAUUAGCAACACUUUCCCUAUUUGUGUUUAGGAACAAAAUUGAAGUUAAUAAAAUUAUGCUGAAAAGGUGAAGUGCCUAAACUACUGAACAGAAAGAUGCAUUUCCUACUUGGUUAUUUUGCAAGAUCCAAUUAGCAAAAUUAGCAAUAUUGGAUCGUUUGCAAAGAGGUCAAUUUCAACUUUACAAAUCCAAUGCCGCAUACAUGAGAAAUGAGCUGGUCAAACCUAUAUAAUAACAUUCAGAGGAUAUCAUCACACAAAUAAACUGAUAGAAAUGGAGGAGCCUAGCAAUGCAUACCUCCCUCUGCAUAGCAUCAUCAAUUCCAGAGUGAUAUCAUUAGACUGCAACUACAUCGAACAACUCUGCAUCAGGGUAACAUACAAAAAAUCAUCAACUUAGUUUUUGAUUAAAGGAGAGCUAGAACCUAAUGAGCAUACAGAAAGCAUAUUUAAUUGAAAAUAAAAAUACAUUUACAAUCAUUUAGGGAUGUGACAUUGAGAACAGAUCAAGUGUUUUGGAUCUUCACGAGUAUCAAAACUUCCUUAGGACACUCCAGUCGGGCCCAAAGCCUCUUCAAGUUUGGCACGCAAGAUGUUCCUUAGCUGUUGUUGAUGCUUCCUCUGCAAAAUCCCUUUUCUUUAUUUUGAUCAGUCACAAGUAUACAAUUUGAAGUUCCUCAACCAAGUGAGCCACACCCAAAUCAGUCAUGUAAUAAAGCAAUUCCAUGGCAACAAUAGGAUCAAAUGGUAUGCAAACUAAUUAGCAAAUUCUUGAGCUCCUCAUCCUAGCUUGUGUCAUGACGGGCAAAACAUUGUUCAUUAAUGCAAAAGUCAUCGAUACAGUUAAUCGAACUGAAGUCCCAAAGUAAGCCUUGAUCAUUACACAAACCAACCAAACCUGUCAUGUGACAUCCUGAAAUUCGACUGUUUCGAUAAAAUGAAAUGUGCAUUUCGUCGACGUGCCUAUGGUCCUUUUUCUCUGAGUUGAUCACUCACGAGUUAGCUAACCUAUUGGGUGAAGCCGUUAAGGGAUAUAACCGCGGUAAAAUCCCUAAAAGCUACCUAAUUUGUUGGAUUUGACUAAAAUCGCGUCCGAUCGAUUUUAAUCAUGAAAUUUAAUUCGGUUUUGGGAAUCGAAUAUUCGGGCGUGUCACAAUUCAUUUUUAGGACCGUCUCAUCGUCAAUCAAUUUAUUGCCGAGUCCGAAAUUUCAAGAAAGAAAUUAUCGGAGAAAAAAUCGAAGACCAAAAGAAAUUAAAAAGGGAAUGAGAAAAGGAAAAUAAUAGAGGUAAUGAGAAAAUGGUAUUUUCUUAUUUAAAAUAUUAUUUUCCUUUCCCUUUUUCUUUCUCUCUCUCUUUUUCUCUCUUUUCUCUCUCCUCUCCCCUCCCCCUUCGUGCGCACCCCUUCCCCACGCCUACUCUCUCUUUAUUUUCCCUCUUUGACUAGUCAAAAGCUUAUCCUCUCUCUCUCUCUUCUUCCCCACCCCACGUGACAGAAACCCCUCUUCUUCCUCUCUUCUUCGUGAGACCCAGCUGAACAGAAACGGAAGCAGCUCGCCUGGGAUCAGAGCAGCCGCCGUCGCCGCCCAAGCUCAGCCGCUCGCCGGUCGUCCUUCCCCGCGCGACGCCGCGCGUUCAGCCGCUCGCCCCUUGCGCCCGUGCGCCGUCUGCCCCCGUCCAGCGAAGCUUCCGCCUCUGCCCCGCCGCUGUCCAACCCCUGUUCAGCCACCGUCGGACCGCCGUCCAGCUCCGAUCGGCCGUCGUGCAGCCUCCCCGGAGCUCCGCCCAUCUUUCCCGACCCCUUGCCGCCCCCAUCCCUCUCUCUUUCUCUUUGUUUUGCAGCGAUCCAGCAACCCCAUCGUGUGGGUAUCCAGCCGGCUUCGGGCCCGCUUUGGGCCAUUUCCGGGCCCCGAACCCGAGCCGUGCUUUGGGAAGAGUUGUUCCUCGCGUCGCCCCGGUCGGAUUGAUCCGAUUUGCGCGCGAUUUGGUGAGUAAUCUCACUAAUCUUGGAUUAGUUGGCUAAUUAUGCUUAAGGUUGGUUUAGAUUUAAUUAAUUAUGUUUAGGUUGUUAGAUUAGAAUAAAUUAGCAAUUAUUAGUCAAUUGUGGUGCGAUUUAGAUAAAUUGAUUGCGCAAUUAAUAAGUAGACGUGGUCUACUAAUUAUUGGAAGUGCCUCGGGAUUUUUCCCGACCCUUAGUGGGCUCCAAUUAGGCUUUUCGGGCCUAAGUGGAAUUUUUAGUAUUUAAAUAUUAAUUUUCGGAAUUAAAUUAAAUAAUUAUUUAUUUUCCGAAAAUUCAACUGAGAUGGCCCGAGACCGGAAUAUUAUGCUGAUGACGGUGGUGAAGUCCGUUUAUUUAAUUGGGCUUUAUUUUGAGCUAAAUUGAAUUUUUAAUAUUAAUUAUUUAAUUUUCGAAAUUAAUUAUUUAAUUAAUUAUUUUUCAGAAAUUAAGAUAGUGAUGGCCGACGACCGAAAUCUCGUGCUGAUUGUCGUGGCGCAGUUCGUUUAUUUAUUUGAGUUCUACGUUGCAUGGAAUUAAAUAAAUUGUGAUGGUUUAGGGAUUUACCCUAAUUUGAUUGGAAUUGAUUGAGAUUGAAUUGUAGAUUGGUAAAUGGCCAAGUAUGUUAUUCAGCAUUUCUAAUGCUUUGUUGAGUUUGAUUGAGAAAUCGUUGGGCAUUGGUUGUCGGUAUUGAAAGUAGAUUGGUAAUCACUUAAAAGAAAACACGUGGGCUCGGUGAAUUGGAAUAUCACCUGGAGAAUGCACGUGAAUUCAGUGGUUGAAUAUGUCACCUUGGCGAAAAGGUCGCUUGAGAGAAUGCACGUGGCUCGGAGACUCGGUAUGUCGUCCUGGAGAAUGCACGUGGCUCGGUGAAUUGAUGCAUCACUUUGGUAAGCGAGUACCUUAGAGAAUGCACGUGGGCCCAGGCAUCUAAAAGGACACGUGGCUCGGUGAUCUGAUGCGUCACUUUGGUAAGCGAGUACCUUAGAGAAUGCACGUGGGUCCAGUAUUCGGAAAUAGCAUCUAAAAGGGCACGUGGCUCGGUGACUUGAUGUACCACCUUGGCGAAGAGGUCGCCUUAGAGAAUGCACGUGGGCCCAAGGUUCGAGGCACGUGGCUCGGAGACUUGGAAUGUCGUCCUAGAGAAUGCACGUGGCCUCGCUUUUAUAUACUCCUCCGUGGAGAAUGAUUUGUGUGACAUGUAAUCGACUGGUUCGAUUUGUUUUGAGUAAAUGGGUGCCUAUUGUGAAUUGUACUGACUUGCAGGUGAGAUUUGAGGCCAAGGUAAGUCUUCUGCCCUGUGCGUGUUUAGGCAGCCUGUAGUAUAAUAGUUUACUAAUCUGGCCUUAGUGGGGUAGAACUCGCUGAGACGUAGUCUCAUCCCGGUUUGGGGAAAUCAUUUCAGGACCCCGCUGAGGAGAUGAGGAGGAGGAGUCUGAGAAGGAUUUUUGGGAGAGGAAGAUAAUCCCGAGAGGGGCCUUGAGUACAGCCCGGGUGAACUGAAGUUCUAUCUUCUUUUGAGACCUUCAUUUUGAUGUGAAUAGAGUUUAAAGUAAAAAGUUGUGAAGUGCUUUGGUUUGUGGUUUGUAUAAAAGUUUGGUUAUAAGUUUCAAUAUGAAAAAUAUGGCCCUGCUUUUCUAUCCCAUUGUUUUAUUGUCUGGGGAUUUUAACUGUUUCCGCAUGUGCUUAAUAAACGAAAGGGUCGGCGAUACAUAGUCCUGGGAUAUCGCAUUAUAAAAUCGACCAAGCGAGAAGGAUGUGUGCGUGCCCGAGGAUCGGGGCGUGACAUCCCCUUUUUGUGGUAUCAGAGCGAAGUUCAAGAUUGGAGUGAUAAGGAGCGAUGGUUAAUGGGAUAGUUAGUAGGAAAUGCCUUUAAAUUCAUGCUGGUGCAUGUCUGUGUUAGCUGAGUGCUAAAAUUGUUUGUUGUGUGUGGAUCGCUCAUGUUCUAAUCCAGUGUGGGCUUAGAAGACGGGUUGCAGUGUAAGACUGAACCAUGAGCGAGUAGGAGUUGAGAACUCCUAGUGAGAGGACAAUGUCCUCUGUGACUCGGGAUAAAGCACCGACAAAGGUCGGUACCCGAGGUGGUUGUGGCAGAGUGUUGGCUCUGGCCAGCUCGAGUGUAAGAGUACCACCGCAGGUUGGUACUAGUGUAGCAGCGUCGAAUGAUCCUAAGUUCGAUAGGAUCGUUCUGAUGCUAGUGUUCCUUGGGAAUUGGAUGAGCCAGCAAGCUCAGGAUCAAGCCGUUGUUGUUGUCGUUAUCACUACCGCCGUUGUCGCCUCACCUGCUGAAAUCAAAGUGGAGAUGUGAUCCGGGAGCAAGUCAUUGCAUUCGAGCCGAGGUAUAGAUCCAGUUCAGGCAGAAAUGUGAAUCGGUCAGAGAAAAGACCGAGGUCGAGAGAAAAGUAUUCUAUUCCACUUGCGAAGAAUGGUGGGGUAGUCAAGCCAGCACCGAGUCAAAUAAAUCAGGUUGUUUCUGGAAGUGAUGAUGGAGAUCGGUCUUAUGUCCUUCCUAGGACGUGAAAUUGUUUAGAGUAUAGCCAACAGGGAUAUCUGGUUGGGAGUGAUCCUAGCAGACUGAUGAGGCAACCAGAAAGAGUGUGUGCUGUCACUUAGUAGGAGAUAGAAGACUCACCUAGUAGGUGUCAGAAUUGUAGAAGGAAGUAUGGAUAAAUCCAGUGUCCGAGUAUGACUAGAACAUGUUGUGAUGAUGACUAGCAUGGCCAUCAGGUGAAGGAUUGUCAGUGGAAGUCCAAGAUAGCAUAGGCAUCGCUACUGCGGCCAGAACGCUUGUAGGAUGGCGAAAGGAAUGGGAGUAGAAUUGAUCUUGCACCGAUUAGAGAAAGAAUGUAUUGGAGGUGAUUUUAUCAGAGUAACGUAGCAGAGUUUUGUGCUGAGUUGGUAGAACUUAUACCGUUGAAGUAAAAGUGAAAGAGAAGGGAAUCACUAGCAAUAGUUGUGCUUGACUAGUUGCUGAGGUGUGAGUUUGACGCCACAUGAAUAGUGUGAGUUCAUAGAGCAUUUGGUGAUAAGGAAUCAUGGUCAUGGAAUAAUCCAGUUUAGUCUAUUAGUUUGCGAAAAUAUCAAGAUUAUUAAGAGUCGAAAAGAAUCUUCGAUUUCAUUAAUCUCGUUGGCUAAAGACAAUCCGUUGGUUAGACGGAGGUUGCCAAGAUUGAUUUGACAACUGUAGUGGAUGUGUCAGUUGAGAAAUAGAAUGAGAAGAAGGUGGCCGUGAUACAGAAAAUUUCUAAGAUGGUUCCAAAGGAAUUGCUUGGGUUACCGCCAGAAAGAGAGAUUGAAAUUGCAAUUGAGAUAGCACCAGGAUAGAGCCACUCUCGAAGGCUUCUUACCAGCUGUUGUUGUCUGAAGUGGUAGAAUUGAAGACGCAGAUGUGAAGAUUGAUGAAUGAGGAAUUCGUGUAUAUCGGUGCAUCACUUUUGGGAAACAUCAGUUUUGUUUGUGAGAAGAUGAAAGAUGGUUUAUUGCGAGUGUGCAUCAACAAUCGUUAACUCAAUUAGGUGAAGAUCAAGGACAAGUGUUCUUUGCCAAAGAUCAAUGAAUGGUGUGACUAGUUAUAAAGAGUAUCGAUGUUUUAAAGGUCGACUUGAGAUUAAGAAGUCGUCAGUUACGAGCCAGGAAGGAAGUUGUACAAAAGGCAGCUGUUCGUACUUGAUAUGGUCUUUACGAGAGUAUAGUAAGAUCGUUUAGCUUGGUGAACACUCCAGUUGCUGUCAUGAAUUUGACAAACAGAGUGUUCAAGGAAUAUAUGGAUCAGUUUGUGAUCGUGUUCAUUAAUGACAUCUUAGUCUAUUCGAGAAGUAAUGAAGAGCACGCGAAUCAUCUGACAGUAGUGCUUUAGACCUUAAGAGCUCAUCAGCUGUAUGCUAAGUUUAGCAAAUGCGAGUUUUGGUUGACUCGUGUUGCGUUCUUAGGUCAUGUGAUUUCCGGAGAAGGGAUCUCUGUCGACCCGAGCAAGAUAGAAGCCGUGAUCAAGUGGCUGAGACCGACAACAGUGUCAGCAAUCAGAAGUUUUCUGGGGUUAGCAGGUUAUUACAGACGGUUUGUGGAAGGGUUCUCAUCGAUAGCGUCGCCUCUGACAAAGCUCCUGAAGAAAGAAGAAAAAUUUGUAUGGUCAGACAAGUGCGAGCGUAGUUUCCAAGAGAUGAAGGAAAAGCUGACUACCGCACCUAUGCUGACGAUUCCAUCUGGUCUUGGAGGAUUCGAGAUCUAUAGUGAUGCGUUAUUCAAGGAAUUGGAUUGCGUGCUGAUGCAACAUGGCAGAGUUGUUGCAUACGCUUCUCGGCAGUCGAGACCUCAUGAAUUGAAUUAUCCAACGCAUGACUUGGAGCUUGCAGCCAUCAUAUUUGCGUUGAAGAUUUGGAGGAACUACUUGUGCGGAGAAAAGUUUCAAAUUUUCACAGACCAUCAGAGUCUCAAGUAUUUAUUCUCUCAAAAGGAGUUAAACAUGAGACAACGACGAUGGAUGGAAUUGCUUAAAGACUACGACUGUGAUAUUCUAUAUCACCCGGGAAAGGCGAACAAGGUCGCCGAUGCAUUGAGUCGGAAGUCUUCAAUAGCGCAAAUCUUGGUUAAGGAGUGGAACUUAAUCGAGAGAACUCGAGAUUCAGAAUUCAAAUUUGAGGUAGGCCACCUUUCAAGUCUUAUGGCCACCAUCAGAAUUGAACCGGAUGUCCAGGUCAGAAUCAAGCAACUUCAACCGACAGAUCCAAACGUACAGAGAAUUCUUCGGGAAGACGCAGAUAAAAGGAAGGCUGAUUUUCAGAUUGCUGAUGACGGAACUCUAAGGUUUCAAGGACGUUUGGUUGUACCUGACAAUGUCGAGCUUAGAGAAGAAAUUUUAUCGGAAGCACAUCGUAGCAGCUACAGCAUUCAUCCUGGAAGCAUUAAAAUGUAUCAGAAUCUACGUCAACAUUACUGGUGGUCAGGUAUGAAGGCGGACAUCACCAAACAUGUGGCCAAGUGUUUGACUUGUCAGCAAGUAAAAGCCUAACAUUGCAAGCCAGGAGGACUUUUGUAACCUCUCGCGAUCCCAGAGUGGAAAUGGGAACAUAUCACGAUGGACUUCAUGACUGGACUACCAAGGAGUCAGAGGGGGAAUGAUUCGAUAUGGGUAGUAGUCGACAGGCUGACAAAGUCGGCUCACUUCAUUGCAGUUCGAAAGGACCUGAGUCUGGAUAAACACGCAGACCUGUAUGUGCGUUAGAUGGUUCGUAUGCAUGGAGUGCCGGUUACGAUAACAUCUAAUAGAGACCCGAGGUUUACUGCUACUUUUUGGAAGAGCUUGUAGAGUGCUUUAGGUACAAAGCUUCAGUACAGUACAUCGUAUCAUCCUCAGACGGAUGGCCAGUCUGAAAGGACAAUUCAGACUCUUGAAGACAUGCUGAGAGCGUGUGUAAUAGACUUCAAAGGAAGUUGGGAAGAUCAGCUUCAUUUGGUGGAAUUCGCCUACAACAACAGUUGUCAAUAGAGCAUCAAGAUGGCUCCUUUUGAAGCGUUGUAUGGCAGAGCAUGCAGAACUCCAGUGUGUUGGGAUGAAGUCGGAGAAAGGAAGAUAACAGGCCCAGAGUUGGUUCAACAAUUAGUAGAUGCCGUGGCAGUAAUCAGAGACAGAUUAAAGACAGCGCAGAGCAGGCAGAAAAGUUAUGCAGAUAAGCGUCGAAAGUCUUUGGAAUUCCAAGUUGGUGAUCACGUUUUUCUGAAAGUGUCACCAAUGAGGGGAACUUUGCGCUUUGGUAAGAAAGGCAAAUUGAGUCCGAGGUACGUAGGUCCGUUUGAGAUUCUUGAAAGAAUAGGAAACAUAGCGUAUCGUCUUGCGUUGCCGCCAAGUUUGGCGCAAGUGCAUGACGUCUUUCACGUGUCGAUGUUAAGGAAGUACGAGCCUGACCCGACCCACGUGCUCAAUUUCGAGGAAUUGGACGUGGAUGACCGUGUGUCAUACGUUGAAAGCCCGGUUUAGAUUGUCAAUCGUAAAGAGCAAGUUCUGCGUACAAAGACCAUUCCGUUGGUCAAAGUGGUCUGACAACACCACGGUACUGAAGGAGCGACUUGGGAGACUGAAGAGUCGAUGAGACAAUUGUACCCCCUCCUUUUUGAGCAAAGUGUAUAAUGGUUUAAAUUUCGAGGACGAAAUUUUUAUAAGAGCGGAAGAGUUGUGACAUCCUGAAAUUCGACCCUGUUUCGAUAAAAUGAAAUGUGCAUUUCGUCGACGUGCCUAUGGUCCUUUUUCUCUGAGUUGAUCACUCACGAGUUAGCUAACCUAUUGGGUGAAGCCGUUAAGGGAUAUAACCGCGGUAAAAUCCCUAAAAGCUACCUAAUUUGUUGGAUUUGACUAAAAUCGCGUCCGAUCGAUUUUAAUCAUGAAAUUUAAUUCGGUUUUGGGAAUCGAAUAUUCGGGCGUGUCACAAUUCAUUUUUAGGACCGUCUCAUCGUCAAUCAAUUUAUUGCCGAGUCCGAAAUUUCAAGAAAGAAAUUAUCGGAGAAAAAAUCGAAGACCAAAAGAAAUUAAAAGGGGGAAUGAGAAAAAGGAAAAUAAUAGGAGGUAAUGAGAAAAAUGGUAUUUUCUUUAUUUAAAAUAUUAUUUUUCCUUUCCCUUUUUCUUUCUCUCUCUCUUUUUCUCUCUUUUUCUCUCUCCUCUCCCCUCCCCCUUCGUGCGCACCCCUUCCCCACGCCUACUCUCUCUUUAUUUUCCCUCUUUGACUAGUCAAAAGCUUAUCCUCUCUCUCUCUCUUCUUCCCCACCCCACGUGACAGAAACCCCUCUUCUUCCUCUCUUCUUCGUGAGACCCAGCUGAACAGAAACGGAAGCAGCUCGCCUGGGAUCAGAGCAGCCGCCGUCGCCGCCCAAGCUCAGCCGCUCGCCGGUCGUCCUUCCCCGCGCGACGCCGCGCGUUCAGCCGCUCGCCCCUUGCGCCCGUGCGCCGUCUGCCCCCGUCCAGCGAAGCUUCCGCCUCUGCCCCGCCGCUGUCCAACCCCUGUUCAGCCACCGUCGGACCGCCGUCCAGCUCCGAUCGGCCGUCGUGCAGCCUCCCCGGAGCUCCGCCCAUCUUUCCCGACCCCUUGCCGCCCCCAUCCCUCUCUCUUUCUCUUUGUUUUGCAGCAAUCCAGCAACCCCAUCGUGUGGGUAUCCAGCUGGCUUCGGGCCCGCUUUAGGCCAUUUCCGGGCCCCGAACCCGAGCCGUGCUUUGGGAAGAGUUGUUCCUCGCGUCGCCCCGGUCGGAUUGAUCCGAUUUGCGCGCGAUUUGGUGAGUAAUCUCACUAAUCUUGGAUUAGUUGGCUAAUUAUGCUUAAGGUUGGUUUAGAUUUAAUUAAUUAUGUUUAGGUUGUUAGAUUAGAAUAAAUUAGCAAUUAUUAGUCAAUUGUGGUGCGAUUUAGAUAAAUUGAUUGCGCAAUUAAUAAGUAGACGUGGUCUACUAAUUAUUGGAAGUGCCUCGGGAUUUUUCCCGACCCUUAGUGGGCUCCAAUUAGGCUUUUCGGGCCUAAGUGGAAUUUUUAGUAUUUAAAUAUUAAUUUUCGGAAUUAAAUUAAAUAAUUAUUUAUUUUCCGAAAAUUCAACUGAGAUGGCCCGAGACCGGAAUAUUAUGCUGAUGACGGUGGUGAAGUCCGUUUAUUUAAUUGGGCUUUAUUUUGAGCUAAAUUGAAUUUUUAAUAUUAAUUAUUUAAUUUUCGAAAUUAAUUAUUUAAUUAAUUAUUUUUCAGAAAUUAAGAUAGUGAAAUCUCGUGCUGAUUGUCGUGGCGCAGUUCGUUUAUUUAUUUGAGCUCUACGUUGCAUGGAAUUAAAUAAAUUGUGAUGGUUGAUGGUUUAGGGAUUUACCCUAAUUUGAUUGGAAUUGAUUGAGAUUGAAUUGUAGAUUGGUAAAUGGCCAAGUAUGUUAUUCAGCAUUUCUAAUGCUUUGUUGAGUUUGAUUGAGAAAUCGUUGGGCAUUGGUUGUCGGUAUUGAAAGUAGAUUGGUAAUCACUUAAAAGAAAACACGUGGGCUCGGUGAAUUGGAAUAUCACCUGGAGAAUGCACGUGAAUUCAGUGGUUGAAUAUGUCACCUUGGCGAAAAGGUCGCUUGAGAGAAUGCACGUGGCUCGGAGACUCGGUAUGUCGUCCUGGAGAAUGCACGUGGCUCGGUGAUAGAGUUUGGCAUCUAAAAGGGCACGUGGCUCGGUGAAUUGAUGCAUCACUUUGGUAAGCGAGUACCUUAGAGAAUGCACGUGGGCCCAGGCAUCUAAAAGGACACGUGGCUCGGUGAUCUGAUGCGUCACUUUGGUAAGCGAGUACCUUAGAGAAUGCACGUGGGUCCAGUAUUCGGAAAUAGCAUCUAAAAGGGCACGUGGCUCGGUGACUUGAUGUACCACCUUGGCGAAGAGGUCGCCUUAGAGAAUGCACGUGGGCCCAAGGUUCGAGGCACGUGGCUCGGAGACUUGGAAUGUCGUCCUAGAGAAUGCACGUGGCCUCGCUUUUAUAUACUCCUCCGUGGAGAAUGAUUUGUGUGACAUGUAAUCGACUGGUUCGAUUUGUUUUGAGUAAAUGGGUGCCUAUUGUGAAUUGUACUGACUUGCAGGUGAGAUUUGAGGCCAAGGUAAGUCUUCUGCCCUGUGCGUGUUUAGGCAGCCUGUAGUAUAAUAGUUUACUAAUCUGGCCUUAGUGGGGUAGAACUCGCUGAGACGUAGUCUCAUCCCGGUUUGGGGAAAUCAUUUCAGGACCCCGCUGAGGAGAUGAGGAGGAGGAGUCUGAGAAGGAUUUUUGGGAGAGGAAGAUAAUCCCGAGAGGGGCCUUGAGUACAGCCCGGGUGAACUGAAGUUCUAUCUUCUUUUGAGACCUUCAUUUUGAUGUGAAUAGAGUUUAAAGUAAAAAGUUGUGAAGUGCUCCGGUUUGUGGUUUGUAUAAAAGUUUGGUUAUAAGUUUCAAUAUGAAAAAUAUGGCCCUGCUUUUCUAUCCCAUUGUUUUAUUGUCUGGGGAUUUUAACUGUUUCCGCAUGUGCUUAAUAAACGAAAGGGUCGGCAAUACAUAGUCCUGGGAUGUCGCAUUAUAAAAUCGAUCAAGCGAGAAGGAUGUGUGCGUGCCCGAGGAUCGGGGCGUGACAUCCCUUUUUUGUGGUAUCAGAGCGAAGUUCAAGAUUGGAGUGAUAAGAGCGAUGGUUAAUGGGAUAGUUAGUAGGAAAUGCCUUUAAAUUCAUGCUGUUGCAUGUCUGUGUUAGCUGAGUGCUAAAAUUGUUUGUUGUGUGUGGAUCGCUCAUGUUCUAAUCCAGUGUGGGUUUAGAAGACGGGUUGCAGUGUAAGACUGAACCAUGAGCGAGUAGGAGUUGAGAACUCCUAGUGUGACAUCCUGAAAUUCGACCUCAUUUCGAUAAAGUGAAAUGUGCAUUUCGUCGACGUGCCUAUGGUCCUUUUUCUCUGAGCUGAUCACUCACGAGUUAGCUAACCUAUUGGGUGAAGCCGUUAAGGGAUAUAACCGCGGUAAAAUCCCUAAAAGCUACCUAAUUGGUUGGAUUGGACUAAAAUCGCGUCCGGUCGAUUUUAAUCAUGAAAUUUAAUUCGGUUUUGGGAAUCGAAUAUUCGGACGUGUCACAAUUCAUUUUUAGGACCGUCUCAUCGUCUAUCAAUUUAUUGCCGAGUCCGAAAUUUCAAGAAAGAAAUUGUCGAAGGAAAAAUCGAAGACCGAAGGCAUUAGAAAGGGAAAUGGAAAGAGAAAAAGAAAAUUUAGAAUAUUAUUAUUCUUUUUCUUUUUCUCUCUUUCUUUUCUCCCUCUUCUCUCUCCUCCCUUUCCCCUCGUGCGACUCCCCCAGCCGACCACCCCUUUUUGCUGUCUUCCACUUGCUUUGUUUUAUUUUAUUCUUUUCUUUUGACCGGUCAAAUCUUUCUCUCUCUUCUUGCCUCCUCCCUCACGUUACCUUCUCCUUCUUCUUCGUUCUUCUCUGUGCAAAACCGAACCAGAAGUUGCAGGAGAUUGGAAGCCCAAGCCAGCCACCGUCGCCGCCUGUCUCGCCACCGCACCGCCGCCCGUGCACGCCGCGCACGCCCCCGCGUCUACCGCCGCCCCUUCGCACCUCGUCGUCUCCGCCGUGCGCCGUUCAGGCCGUUUGGCCUCUGCUCAGCCUUCGUUCCACCCCGUCCGGCCACCUCCGGCCGCCGUUUGAAGCCGCCGGACCUCCACCGGCCUUCCCCCGCGCCUUGCCGCCCUUGCCGUGGUUGUAGGUUGCUGUUUGUGUGUUUUUCCAGCCAUUCCAGCAGACCCACGAAAUGGGUUUUCAGCUGGUUCGGGCCCGUUUUGGGCCGUUUCCCGGCCCCGGAUCCGCGAGUCGCUUUGGGAAGAAUCGUUCCUCGCGUCGCCGCCGUCGGAUUGAUCCGAUUUGCGCGCGAUUUGGUGAGUAAUCUCACUAAUCCAGGAUUAGUGGCUAAUUAUGCUUUAAGCUGGUUUAGAUUUAAUUAAUUAUGUUUAGGUUGUUAGAUUAGAAUAAAUUAGCAAUUAUUAGUCAAUUGUGAUGUGAUUUAGAUAAAUUGAUUGUGUAAUUAGCAAGUAGACGUGGUCUACUAAUUAUUGGAAGUGCUUCGGGAAUUUUCCCGACCCUUAGUGGGCUCCAAUUAGGCUUUUCGGGCCUAAGUGGGUAUUUUUAGUAUUUAAAUAUUAAUUUUUGAAAUUUAAUUAAAUAAUUAUUCAUUUUCCGAAAAUUCAAGGGAGAUGGUUCGGAACCGGAAUAUUGUGCUGAUGACCGUGGUGAAGUCCGUUUAUGUAAUCGGGCUUUAUUUUGAGCUAAAUUGAAUUUUUAGUAAUAAUUAUUUAAUUUUCGAAAUUAAUAAAUAAAUUAAUUAUUUUUCGGAAAUUAAGAUUUUGAUGGCCGACGACCGAAAUCUCGUGCCGAUCGUCGUGGCGCAGCCCGUUUAUUUAUUUGAGCUCUACGUUGUAUGGAAUUGAAUAAAUUGUGAUAUUUAGGGAUNNNNNNNNNNNNNNNNNNNNNNNNNNNNNNNNNNNNNNNNNNNNNNNNNNNNNNNNNNNNNNNNNNNNNNNNNNNNNNNNNNNNNNNNNNNNNNNNNNNNNNNNNNNNNNNNNNNNNNNNNNNNNNNNNNNNNNNNNNNNNNNNNNNNNNNNNNNNNNNNNNNNNNNNNNNNNNNNNNNNNNNNNNNNNNNNNNNNNNNNNNNNNNNNNNNNNNNNNNNNNNNNNNNNNNNNNNNNNNNNNNNNNNNNNNNNNNNNNNNNNNNNNNNNNNNNNNNNNNNNNNNNNNNNNNNNNNNNNNNNNNNNNNNNNNNNNNNNNNNNNNNNNNNNNNNNNNNNNNNNNNNNNNNNNNNNNNNNNNNNNNNNNNNNNNNNNNNNNNNNNNNNNNNNNNNNNNNNNNNNNNNNNNNNNNNNNNNNNNNNNNNNNNNNNNNNNNNNNNNNNNNNNNNNNNNNNNNNNNNNNNNNNNNNNNNNNNNNNNNNNNNNNNNNNNNNNNNNNNNNNNNNNNNNNNNNNNNNNNNNNNNNNNNNNNNNNNNNNNNNNNNNNNNNNNNNNNNNNNNNNNNNNNNNNNNNGCAUCUAAAAGGGCACGUGGCUCGGUGAAGUGAUGCAUCACUUGGUGAGAUAGCACAUUAGAGAAUGCACGUGGGCCCGGGCAUCGUAAAAAGGACACGUGGCUCGGUGGCUUGAUGUACCACCUUGGCGAAGAGGUCGCCUUAGAGAAUGCACGUGGGUCCGAGGUUUGAGGCACGUGGACUCGGAGACUUGGAAGGUCAUCCUGGAGAAUACACGUGGCCUAGCUUUUAAAUAUCCCACAGUGGGGAUUGAUUUGUUUGGCAUGUAAUCGACUAGGUCGAUGCUUUGAGUUGAUGUGGUGAAUUGAUUGCUGAUGGAAUGACCGUGAGUGGUCUUGUUGGAAUAUAAUCGACUAGGUCGAUUUGAUCGAUGCUUCGAUCGGUGAUAUGAUUGCUUGGAUGCCUAUUACGAAUUGUACUGACUUGCAGGUGGGAUCAGAGGCCAAGGUAAGUCCUCUGCCCUGUGCGUGUUUAGGCAGCCUUUAGUAUAAUAGUUUAUCUAAUCGGGCUUAGUGGGGUAGAACUCGCUGAGACGUAGUCUCAUCCCAGUUUGGGGAAAACCAUUUCAGGACCCCGCUGAAGAGCUGAGAAGGAGGAAUCCGAGAAGGAAGACUCGGAGGCGAAUCUUAAGGAAAAAGAUUUUUGGAGGAAGAAGGCAAUCCUGAGAGGGGCCUUGAGUACGGCCUAGUUUGUCUAAGUUCCUGUCUUCUUUUGAGAAUCCAUUUUGAUGUGAUUAGUUUCGAAGUGGUUUAUGGUUUGUAUAAAAUUUUGGUUAUAAAUUUCAAUAUGAAAAAUAUGGCCCUGCUUUUCUAUCCCAUCGUUUUAUUGUCUGGGGAUUUUAAUUGCUUCCGCAUGUGCUUAAUAAAUGAAAGGGUCGGCGAUACUAGUCCUGGGAUAUCGCAUUAUAAAAUCGACCAAUAUAAAAGGAUGUGCACGUGCUUGAGGAUCGGGGCGUGACAUCCAGUUUAAGUGGUAUCAGAGCGAGGUUGAAGAUUGGAGUGAUAAGGAGCGUUGACCAUGGGAUAGUUAGUAGGAAAGGCCUUUAAAUUCAUGCUGAUGCAUGUCUGUGUUAGUUGAAUGCUAAAAUUUGUUUGUUGUGUGUGGAUCGCUCACCUUCUAAUUCGGCGUGGAAUUGGAAACAGGUGUUAGUUGAGUAAGACUACACCAUGAGCGAUCAGGAGCCGAGAACUCCUGCAAAGAGGACCAGUAGGGCCGUUAUUCGGGGUAGAGCUCCAACUCGUGUUGGAACCCGAGGCGGACGUGGUCGAGCGCGAGCACAGGCUAGCGCGAGUGGAGUGAAUCCACCUGUCGAAGAUGUCGGGGUAGCAGCCCCUAAUGAUCCCAGAGUGGAUGGNNNNNNNNNNNNNNNNNNNNNNNNNNNNNNNNNNNNNNNNNNNNNNNNNNNNNNNNNNNNNNNNNNNNNNNNNNNNNNNNNNNNNNNNNNNNNNNNNNNNNNNNNNNNNNNNNNNNNNNNNNNNNNNNNNNNNNNNNNNNNNNNNNNNNNNNNNNNNNNNNNNNNNNNNNNNNNNNNNNNNNNNNNNNNNNNNNNNNNNNNNNNNNNNNNNNNNNNNNNNNNNNNNNNNNNNNNNNNNNNNNNNNNNNNNNNNNNNNNNNNNNNNNNNNNNNNNNNNNNNNNNNNNNNNNNNNNNNNNNNNNNNNNNNNNNNNNNNNNNNNNNNNNNNNNNNNNNNNNNNNNNNNNNNNNNNNNNNNNNNNNNNNNNNNNNNNNNNNNNNNNNNNNNNNNNNNNNNNNNNNNNNNNNNNNNNNNNNNNNNNNNNNNNNNNNNNNNNNNNNNNNNNNNNNNNNNNNNNNNNNNNNNNNNNNNNNNNNNNNNNNNNNNNNNNNNNNNNNNNNNNNNNNNNNNNNNNNNNNNNNNNNNNNNNNNNNNNNNNNNNNNNNNNNNNNNNNNNNNNNNNNNNNNNNNNNNNNNNNNNNNNNNNNNNNNNNNNNNNNNNNNNNNNNNNNNNNNNNNNNNNNNNNNNNNNNNNNNNNNNNNNNNNNNNNNNNNNNNNNNNNNNNNNNNNNNNNNNNNNNNNNNNNNNNNNNNNNNNNNNNNNNNNNNNNNNNNNNNNNNNNNNNNNNNNNNNNNNNNNNNNNNNNNNNNNNNNNNNNNNNNNNNNNNNNNNNNNNNNNNNNNNNNNNNNNNNNNNNNNNNNNNNNNNNNNNNNNNNNNNNNNNNNNNNNNNNNNNNNNNNNNNNNNNNNNNNNNNNNNNNNNNNNNNNNNNNNNNNNNNNNNNNNNNNNNNNNNNNNNNNNNNNNNNNNNNNNNNNNNNNNNNNNNNNNNNNNNNNNNNNNNNNNNNNNNNNNNNNNNNNNNNNNNNNNNNNNNNNNNNNNNNNNNNNNNNNNNNNNNNNNNNNNNNNNNNNNNNNNNNNNNNNNNNNNNNNNNNNNNNNNNNNNNNNNNNNNNNNNNNNNNNNNNNNNNNNNNNNNNNNNNNNNNNNNNNNNNNNNNNNNNNNNNNNNNNNNNNNNNNNNNNNNNNNNNNNNNNNNNNNNNNNNNNNNNNNNNNNNNNNNNNNNNNNNNNNNNNNNNNNNNNNNNNNNNNNNNNNNNNNNNNNNNNNNNNNNNNNNNNNNNNNNNNNNNNNNNNNNNNNNNNNNNNNNNNNNNNNNNNNNNNNNNNNNNNNNNNNNNNNNNNNNNNNNNNNNNNNNNNNNNNNNNNNNNNNNNNNNNNNNNNNNNNNNNNNNNNNNNNNNNNNNNNNNNNNNNNNNNNNNNNNNNNNNNNNNNNNNNNNNNNNNNNNNNNNNNNNNNNNNNNNNNNNNNNNNNNNNNNNNNNNNNNNNNNNNNNNNNNNNNNNNNNNNNNNNNNNNNNNNNNNNNNNNNNNNNNNNNNNNNNNNNNNNNNNNNNNNNNNNNNNNNNNNNNNNNNNNNNNNNNNNNNNNNNNNNNNNNNNNNNNNNNNNNNNNNNNNNNNNNNNNNNNNNNNNNNNNNNNNNNNNNNNNNNNNNNNNNNNNNNNNNNNNNNNNNNNNNNNNNNNNNNNNNNNNNNNNNNNNNNNNNNNNNNNNNNNNNNNNNNNNNNNNNNNNNNNNNNNNNNNNNNNNNNNNNNNNNNNNNNNNNNNNNNNNNNNNNNNNNNNNNNNNNNNNNNNNNNNNNNNNNNNNNNNNNNNNNNNNNNNNNNNNNNNNNNNNNNNNNNNNNNNNNNNNNNNNNNNNNNNNNNNNNNNNNNNNNNNNNNNNNNNNNNNNNNNNNNNNNNNNNNNNNNNNNNNNNNNNNNNNNNNNNNNNNNNNNNNNNNNNNNNNNNNNNNNNNNNNNNNNNNNNNNNNNNNNNNNNNNNNNNNNNNNNNNNNNNNNNNNNNNNNNNNNNNNNNNNNNNNNNNNNNNNNNNNNNNNNNNNNNNNNNNNNNNNNNNNNNNNNNNNNNNNNNNNNNNNNNNNNNNNNNNNNNNNNNNNNNNNNNNNNNNNNNNNNNNNNNNNNNNNNNNNNNNNNNNNNNNNNNNNNNNNNNNNNNNNNNNNNNNNNNNNNNNNNNNNNNNNNNNNNNNNNNNNNNNNNNNNNNNNNNNNNNNNNNNNNNNNNNNNNNNNNNNNNNNNNNNNNNNNNNNNNNNNNNNNNNNNNNNNNNNNNNNNNNNNNNNNNNNNNNNNNNNNNNNNNNNNNNNNNNNNNNNNNNNNNNNNNNNNNNNNNNNNNNNNNNNNNNNNNNNNNNNNNNNNNNNNNNNNNNNNNNNNNNNNNNNNNNNNNNNNNNNNNNNNNNNNNNNNNNNNNNNNNNNNNNNNNNNNNNNNNNNNNNNNNNNNNNNNNNNNNNNNNNNNNNNNNNNNNNNNNNNNNNNNNNNNNNNNNNNNNNNNNNNNNNNNNNNNNNNNNNNNNNNNNNNNNNNNNNNNNNNNNNNNNNNNNNNNNNNNNNNNNNNNNNNNNNNNNNNNNNNNNNNNNNNNNNNNNNNNNNNNNNNNNNNNNNNNNNNNNNNNNNNNNNNNNNNNNNNNNNNNNNNNNNNNNNNNNNNNNNNNNNNNNNNNNNNNNNNNNNNNNNNNNNNNNNNNNNNNNNNNNNNNNNNNNNNNNNNNNNNNNNNNNNNNNNNNNNNNNNNNNNNNNNNNNNNNNNNNNNNNNNNNNNNNNNNNNNNNNNNNNNNNNNNNNNNNNNNNNNNNNNNNNNNNNNNNNNNNNNNNNNNNNNNNNNNNNNNNNNNNNNNNNNNNNNNNNNNNNNNNNNNNNNNNNNNNNNNNNNNNNNNNNNNNNNNNNNNNNNNNNNNNNNNNNNNNNNNNNNNNNNNNNNNNNNNNNNNNNNNNNNNNNNNNNNNNNNNNNNNNNNNNNNNNNNNNNNNNNNNNNNNNNNNNNNNNNNNNNNNNNNNNNNNNNNNNNNNNNNNNNNNNNNNNNNNNNNNNNNNNNNNNNNNNNNNNNNNNNNNNNNNNNNNNNNNNNNNNNNNNNNNNNNNNNNNNNNNNNNNNNNNNNNNNNNNNNNNNNNNNNNNNNNNNNNNNNNNNNNNNNNNNNNNNNNNNNNNNNNNNNNNNNNNNNNNNNNNNNNNNNNNNNNNNNNNNNNNNNNNNNNNNNNNNNNNNNNNNNNNNNNNNNNNNNNNNNNNNNNNNNNNNNNNNNNNNNNNNGAUUUUCAAGUUUCUGAUGAUGGGUAUGGAGGUUCCAAGGACGUUUGGUGUACUGACGAUGUAGAGCUUAGAGAAGAAAUUUUAUCUGAAGCACAUCGUAGCGAUUACAGCGUUCAUCCUGGAAGCACUAAGAUGUAUCAGAAUCUGUGUCAACAUUACUGGUGGUCAGGUAUGAAAGCGAGCAUUGCCGAGCAUGUGGCCAAGUGUUUGACUUGUCAGCAAGUAAAAGCCCAGCAUUGCAAGCCGGGAGGAUUUUUGCAACCUCUCACGAUCCCAGAGUGGAAAUGGGAGCAUAUCACGAUGGACUUCGUGACUGGACUACCAAGGAGUCAAAGGGGAAAUGAUUCGAUUUGGGUAGUAGUCGACAGGCUGACAAAAUCGGCUCACUUCAUUGCAGUUCGAAAGAACCUGAGUCUGGAUAGACAUGCAUACCUGUAUGUGCGUCAGGUGGUUCGUAUGCAUGGAGUGUUGGUUACGAUAACAUUUGAUAGAGACCCGAGGUUUAUUGCGGCUUUUUGGAAGAGCUUGCAGAAUGCUUUAGGUACAAAGCUUCAGUACAGUACGGCAUAUCAUCCUCAGACGGAUGGCCAGUCGGAAAGGACGAUUCAGACUCUUGAAGACAUGCUGAGAGCGUGUGUAAUAGACUUCAAAGGAAGUUGGGAGGAUCAGCUUCAUCUGGUGGAAUUCGCCUACAACAACAGUUAUCAGAAGAGCAUCAAGAUAGCUCCAUUUGAAGCGUUGUCUGGCAGAGUAUGCAGAACUCCAGUGUGUUGGGAUGAAGUCGAAGAAAGGAAGAUAGCAGGCCCAGAGUUGGUUCAGCAAUCGGUAGAUGCCGUGGCAGUGAUCAGAGAUAGAUUGAAGACAGCGCAGAGCAGGCAGAAAAGUUAUGCAGAUAAGCGUCGAAGGUCUUUGGAAUUCCAAGUUGGUGAUCACGUUUUUCUGAAAGUGUCACCAAUGAGGGGAACUUCGCGCUUUGGUAAGAAGGGCAAGUGAGUCCGAGGUACGUAGGUCCAUUUGACAUUCUUGAAAGAAUCGGGAACCUAGCGUAUCGUCUUGCGUUGCCGCCAAGUUUGGCGCAAGUGCAUGACGUCUUUCACGUGUCGAGGUUAAGGAAGUAUGAGCCUGACCCGACCCACGUGCUCAAUUUCGAGGAAUUGGACGUGGAUGACCGUGUGUCAUACGUGGAAAGCCCGGCUCAGAUUGUUGAUCGCAAAGAGCAAGUUCUGCGUACAAAGACCAUUCCGUUGGUCAAAGUGGUCUGGCAACACCACGGUGCUGAAGGAGCGACUUGGGAGAUAGAAGAGUCGAUGAGACAAUUAUACCCCCCACCUUUUUGAGCAAAGUGUGUAAGGGUUUAAAUUUCGAGGACGAAAUUUUUAUAAGAGGGGAAGAGUUGUGACAUCCUGAAAUUCGACCCCAUUUCGAUAAAGUGAAAUGUGCAUUUCGUCGACGUGCCUAUGGUCCUUUUUCUCUGAGCUGAUCACUCACGAGUUAGCUAACCUAUUGGGUGAAGCCGUUAAGGGAUAUAACCGCGGUAAAAUCCCUAAAAGCUACCUAAUUGGUUGGAUUGGACUAAAAUCGCGUCCGGUCGAUUUUAAUCAUGAAAUUUAAUUCGGUUUUGGGAAUCGAAUAUUCGGACGUGUCACAAUUCAUUUUUAGGACCGUCUCAUCGUCUAUCAAUUUAUUGCCGAGUCCGAAAUUUCAAGAAAGAAAUUGUCGAAGGAAAAAUCGAAGACCGAAGGCAUUAGAAAGGGAAAUGGAAAGAGAAAAAGAAAAUUUAGAAUAUUAUUAUUCUUUUUCUUUUUCUCUCUUUCUUUUCUCCCUCUUCUCUCUCCUCCCUUUCCCCUCGUGCGACUCCCCCAGCCGACCACCCCUUUUUGCUGUCUUCCACUUGCUUUGUUUUAUUUUAUUCUUUUCUUUUGACCGGUCAAAAUCUUUUCUCUCUCUUCUUGCCUCCUCCCCUCACGUUACCUUCUCCUUCUUCUUCCGUUCUGCUCUGUGCAAAAACCGAACCAAGAAGUUGCAGGAAGAUUGGAAGCCCAAAGCCAGCCACCGUCGCCGCCCUGUCUCGCCNNNNNNNNNNNNNNNNNNNNNNNNNNNNNNNNNNNNNNNNNNNNNNNNNNNNNNNNNNNNNNNNNNNNNNNNNNNNNNNNNNNNNNNNNNNNNNNNNNNNNNNNNNNNNNNNNNNNNNNNNNNNNNNNNNNNNNNNNNNNNNNNNNNNNNNNNNNNNNNNNNNNNNNNNNNNNNNNNNNNNNNNNNNNNNNNNNNNNNNNNNNNNNNNNNNNNNNNNNNNNNNNNNNNNNNNNNNNNNNNNNNNNNNNNNNNNNNNNNNNNNNNNNNNNNNNNNNNNNNNNNNNNNNNNNNNNNNNNNNNNNNNNNNNNNNNNNNNNNNNNNNNNNNNNNNGAUUGAUCGAUUUGCGGGUGAUUUGGUGAGUAAUCUCACUAAUCCUGGAUUAGUUGGCUAAUUAUGCUUAAGGUUGAUUUAGAUUUAAUUAAUUAUGUUUAGGUUGUUAGAUUAGAAUAAAUUAGCAAUUAUUAGUCAAUUGUGAUGUGAUUUAGAUAAAUUGAUUGCGUAAUUAACAAGUAGACGUGGUCUACUAAUUGUUGGAAGUGCCUCGAGAUUUUUCCCGACCCUUAGUGGGCUCCAAUUAGGCUUUUCGGGCCUAAGUGGAAUUUUUAGUAUUUAAAUAUUAAUUUUCGGAAUUAAAUUAAAUAAUUAUUUAUUUUUCGAAAAUUCAACUGAGAUGGCUCGGGACCGGAAUAUUAUGCUGAUGACCGUGGUGAAGUCCGUUUAUUUAAUCGGGCUUUAUUUUGAGAUAAAUUGAAUUUUUAAUAUUAAUUAUUUAAUUUUCGAAAUUAAUUAAUUAAUUAUUUAUUUUUCGGAAAUUAAGAUUUUGAUGGCCGACGACCAAAAUCUCGUGCUGAUCGUCGUGGCGCGAAUUAUUGAUUGGUGAUUGGCCAAGUAUGUUAUUCAGCAUUUAUAAUGCUUUGUUGAGUUGAUUUAAUUAUUUGAUUGAGAAAUCGUUGAGCAUGGAUUGUCGGUAUUGAAAGUAGAUUGGUAACCACUUGAAAGAGGACACGUGGGCUCGGUGAAUUGAAAUGUCACCUGGAGAAUGCACGUGAGUUCAGUGGUUGAAUAUGUCAACUUAGCGAAAAGGUCGCCUGAGAGAAUGCACGUGACUCGGAGACUCGGUAUGUCGUCCUGGAGAAUGCACGUGGCUCGGUGAUAGAGUNNNNNNNNNNNNNNNNNNNNNNNNNNNNNNNNNNNNNNNNNNNNNNNNNNNNNNNNNNNNNNNNNNNNNNNNNNNNNNNNNNNNNNNNNNNNNNNNNNNNNNNNNNNNNNNNNNNNNNNNNNNNNNNNNNNNNNNNNNNNNNNNNNNNNNNNNNNNNNNNNNNNNNNNNNNNNNNNNNNNNNNNNNNNNNNNNNNNNNNNNNNNNNNNNNNNNNNNNNNNNNNGCACCUAAGAGAUGCACGUGGGCCCAAGGUUCGAGGCAUGUGGACUCGGAGACUUGGAAUGUCGUCCUAGAGAAUGCACGUGGCCUCGCUUUUAGAUACUCCUCCGUGGAGAAUGAUUUGUGUGACAUGUAAUCGACUGGUUCGAUUUGUUUUGAGUAAAUAGGUGCCUAUUGUGAAUUAUACUGACUUGCAGGUGAGAUCUGAGGCCAAGGUAAGUCCUCUGCCCUGUGCGUGUUUAGGCAGCUUUUAGUAUAAUGGUUUAUCUAAUCGGGCUUAGUGGGGUAGAACUCGCUGAGACGUAGUCUCAUCCCAGUUUGGGGAAAACCAUUUCAGGACCCCGCUGAAGAGCUGAGAAGGAGGAAUCCGAGAAGGAGGACUCGGAGGCGAAUCUUAAGGAGAAAGAUUUUUGGAGGAAGAAGGCAAUCCUGAGAGGGGCCUUGAGUACGGCCCAGUUCGUCUAAGUUUCUGUCUUCUUUUGAGAUCUCCAUUUUGAUGUGAAUAGUUUUGAAGUGGUUUGUGUUUUGUAUAAAAGUUUGGUUAUAAAUUUCAAUAUGAAAAAUAUGGCCCUGCUUUUCUAUCCCAUCAUUUUAUUGUCUGGGGAUUUUAACUGCUUCCGCAUGUGCUUAAAAAUUGAAAGGGUCGGCGAUACAUUGUCCUGAGAUAUCGCAUUAUAAAAUCGACCAAAUAGAAGGAUGUGCACGUGCCCGAGGAUCGGGGCGUGACAAUAUCUGCCAUUAGUCAAAUUUGACAUACAAAAGAACUUACAAAGGAACUCAAAAUGGCCAAGGAUUUUUUUCAAAGAAAAUAUGAACAUUGGACAUUGGGAAAUUCUGGGUGUCGUAUACAAUAACGAGUAGUAGAAGUUCAUCAGCCUCUAGAUGAAAAUCUCAAAUCCCAGGUUUUUCGAUAAGGGAAAUGUUAAUUACUGGGUAAUUCUUGUUUAUCUUUGUUGGUAUUUAUAUUCUUGCCUCGCAAGCUGCUAUAUGUUUGCAGUCUACAAAAGCUGGCAACGAAAGAAUAAACAAAAAACAUUGCUAUAACGUAAUCAACAGCAAUUAUAGAGAGGCAAAUCCGGAGUUUCCAAAAUCAAUCAAAUAGAUACCCAUUGUAGAGCGAAUCAUUCUAAAAAUUUCUCUUUUCGCUCAUUUCGGCAUUUCAAGGAUGAAGAAUCUUACUAUGCCUUCUAUUGGGUCUACAUUUUGAUCUUGGCUAGAACAUCACGUCAGCUUCUGGCCAACUCCCCCACCUCUUCAAUAAUGUAAGACUAGCAAUUUAGACCCUGUCAUGGAAAGCCUUCUUGUCAGAAGAAGAUGGUGAUGUAAAGUUGGUCAUGGAUCUUAGAAGAAAAAUGAUUGUUCAUUGCUUAUUUACCUUUGUUGAAGAAACAUUACUCCUCUCACUAUUGUAAUACGGGCGUAAGAUUUAUUGCAUCAUUAUCACCGCAAGAUAAUGUUUCCAAAUAGAACUAAAACAUAAACUAGGGACGUAGUUCAUAAUUUCUAUUGACGUGCAUUCCAGAUAAGUUAGGUAUUGCUUUCAAUGAGUCACAACCAGAAAUAUCCAUAUAAGUUAAAUUCAACAUUUCAAGUCCCUGAAGUUGAGCAAGUUUCUUGCAAUCUCGAACUAUUAGAGAUCGUAGCUUCUCAAAUCCUGUCAAAUCUGGCAAAGUCUCCAUUGAUUUGCAUCCUGUAAAAUCCAACUCUUCUAAGAACUUCGCACCAUCAAGACCUUGAAUUUCAACUAGAUUGCCACACCUAGAAGCCUUGAAUUUCUUCAAACACUUGCAUUCAUAUAAAAAUAAGUUAGUUAUUGCUUCCAAUGAGUCACAACCAGAAAUAUCCAAAUAAGUUAAAUUCAACAUUUCAAGUCCCCGAAGGUGAGCAAGUUUCUUGCAGUCUUGAACUCUUAGAGAUCGUAACUUCUCACAUCCCAUCAAAUCUGGCAAAGUCUCCAUUGAUUUGCAUCCUGUAAAAUCCAACUCUUCUAAGGACUUCGCACCGUCAAGACCUUGAAUUUCAAUUAGAUUGCCGCACCCAGAAGCCUUGAAUUUCUUCAAACACUUGCAAAAAUAUAAAAAUAUGACCUCCAAGGACUCCAAAUUAUCACAGCCCUUAAUUUCAACUAGGCUAUCGCAAUGCUUAAUGUGUAAUCGUUUCAGAUGAAUAAAUCCUGAAAGGCCCAAUGUUCUAAUGGAACUGCACUUUUUUAUUGAAAGCUCUUCCAAGUGCGUGAGUCCGCUAAGCGAAAGUGAUGUCAACUUAUUCCACUCCUCAAAACAGAGUUUCAAUGUUAUUGAGGAAAGCUCGCAGAUGUCUUCAAGUAAAUGGCGUACCUCAAGAUCGAGUUUUUCUAAGUGGAUGAGGCGAAGGAGCUGUGGCAGUCCAAGACUUUGACAAGUAACCGACAGACAUGUUAAGCCCAAAGGAAGCUUUGGCAGCAACCGGAGCUUGUAACAGCCCCUUAAGUCAAGGCUUUGGAGAGAAGAAGGAAGCUCUGGCAGCGACUGGAGCUCCUUACAGUCAUAUAGCUUAAGGCUUUGGAGAGAAGAAAGAUUCCGGACGCUUUCUAGCAGGUCAGAUAUCGGUGUGAAAUUGAGAUAGAUAGUCUCGAGGGAAGGCAAGUCACCGAUUUCACUUGGAAUUGCCCCUUUCAGACUACUGCACAAGAUGAGAUUUAGAAUCUGCAGAUUUUUCAACCCUCCAAUAGCACUGGGAAGCUUUUCGAUUGCACAAGUAUUCAAGUUAAGAUAUUGCAAAUUCUGUAAAUCCCCAAUUGAGCUGGGGAUUUCUCUCAGUGACUCACAUUCGAAGGCACUCAGUGUUUUCAAUUUCCUCAAGAACCAAUAGAUGAAGGAAUUGUUGUAAUACCAGAUUGAUCUAAAAUAAGUGCUUCUAAAUCUUUUAAUCCACCCACCUCCUCUGGUAGCUCCUUGAGACCUGUACAUGAAUACAAGUCCAAGGUAACGAGGCCUGUGAGUUCGCAAAUAGAAGGGUGGAGAUGCUCCAAUCCAUCACAAUGGCUCAAUAGGAGAAUUUUCAACUGUGUGAAAGCUGAGAGUUCAGGAGUACAUCUUAAAUUAAGACAACCUCGAAGGUCGAGAACUUUAAGCUGCUUUGACGCCUAAUACAAAAGGAGAAUAAUCCGUCAAAUGAGGAGUUGAUUGGCUAAACAAAAAACAAACCUCAAGAUCGCAGAGAGGAUGUAUUCUUUUCCUAAUCUUACCAUGAAUGAAUUCCAUCCUUCCCAAUUCUCAGUGAAUUCUCCCCAUAAGUCUAGGCCCGAUAAUUUUGGCAAAUGCAAGUUGAUCGUCGAAAGAGACACAUCGUUUCCAGGAACAGUCCACUCAAACCAUCUCACUUCAGAAAACUUGGAAUCUCCUCUAGAAGCUGCCCCCAAAAAGUCGUGGAACCAGUGGUGUCUCUGCAAGUUUUUUCACUUUUUAGUUUUUGCUUUUUUUUAAAUCUUGAAUUUGCACGAUUACCUUUUUAUCCUUCCCCUAUACAUGUAUGGAUAUGUAAACUCACAUUUAUUAUUAUUUUUUUUACGACCUUUUGAAAGUUAAACAAAUGACGCAAAGAUAAAGAAAAAAAUAAUUAUUGCUUUAAAACAACUAAGGCAAAUGCACCUCAAUGUUUUAUCUCUUGCUUCUUCUUCUUUUUCAAAAUUUUGUAGCGCAUGGAUUUUCACUUUCAUUUAAGAAGAAAUACAUAAAACUAGUUUACAACGUACAAAUGUUUACUUGUAAAUUUUUAAAUGACUUAUGUAUAAUUUUUAAAAGAAUUUGUUAAAGAGUGUCGACGGGCCACCUGUAAGUAGCUAAGGAAGCACCCUAUUUUCAUUUCAUUAGUUAAAUGUAAUAAUGUGGAAGAGAAAAAAAAGGGGGAAUUUUUAAUAUAUUCAGAUAUAUAGAAAAGUUUACGUGGAAGGAAAUUAAAAGAAAUCAAAUAUGAUAUGCAUUAUCAAAAUAGAUAUAGAAAAUUAAAAGAAAUAUCCUUAUCUCUAGAAGGUAUCUAAAUAUCUUUAACGUCAUUAACUAUUUGCGUGGAGUGUUUACUCAUUUCUUUGACAAUAGAAAAGUUUUUUUUUUUUGGGUAAAGUUUGUUUAAAAAGUGACGUGGCAACAUUGGUUAGUAGUUACUUACCAAAAAAAAAAAAAAACAUCGGUUAGUAGUUUUGACCAGGAUUGAAAAAAAUAAGUCGCUUUCAGAAUAACUAGAAAAUGAACCGAUUAACUAAAAAGUGCAGUGGUAACAUUGUUUAAUCAUCAUACGUUGGUUUCCAUAAGAAUAGCAUCGUUUCUUUUUCCAUCUUAUAAAUCAAAAAACAUACUGUUUAACUUUCCUGCUAAAACAUAUCAUUUAAUUAGUUGCAGACGGUGAAAGAAAUUUCCUUAUGGCUUUAUUUGACUUUUAUAAUAAUACCUAUAUUUUCCCCCAAAAUUUUAAUUGGUUAGAAAUUCACUUUUAUGGUUAGACACGUUUGUCGUUAUAUCUACUUUAAUUAUUAACCAGUGAAAUGCAAUGGGUAUAAAUUCUCUUAAGUCUAUUUGUCUGAAAUGUAGCUAAAUUGUUGUAAUCAUAUCCCACACUAUCUUUAAUAAUUUUCGCUUGUAUAUCGAUCUAUACUAUGUAUUACAUUAAAAAAAUCUACUGUAUGGAAAGGGAUUUCAAACCUCAAACUUUCGUCAAAAGUUUCCACACAAUUCGCAUAUAUCUCACCAAAAUGAACUAAAGAAAUAGGAUAUAACAAAAUAGGCAUAAUCAUAUUUGAAAUAGUCAAGACAAUUGGAAAUUAGUCCCACAAGCAUUUCAAUUUCCAAAGUUAAAUCAAAAUCUCUCGAAUCGUACAAUCAUUUCAUUUUUUUUCGACACUAUUUAUCAUCUUUCAGCAUUUUUGUCCAUUCAAAACAGAAUUGACCUUUCUUUUUCAUUGUUCCAAACACUUGUAUGGUGUGGUUUUUUUGCUAAUGCUAAGAAGUUAUUGGAUCAACAAAAGAGUGUGAUAUUAAAUCAUAGGAACGAACUAUUUGAAAUUAUAUCAAGAAUAUACGGCUGCUUUGUUUGCCCAACAUCCCUUGGUCAAUUUCUAGGGUUAAUUCCUUGCCGUUGAUCAGCCAUGAAACUGUAAAGCUUUUCAAAUGGACAAUAUAUAAUAAAAUGACAUGAACAUUGACAAUUUAAGUUAAAGAUAAAACAUAGUUGAAAAAAUUUGCUUCAUGCUGAAAAUCAUAUAUAAUGAAUACAAGGUUAUGGAUAUAAUAAUAAGCAUGACAUUUCCUCCGAUUAGUCAAGUUUUCUUUUUUUAUCUUAAAAAUAGUCAAGUUAGUCUAGCGAAUUCUGGCGCAAAAGAGGCAGUGCCCAAAAAAUAUAAAUAAUAUAAAACAACUUAUAGCAGAUAGAGAUGUUUGUUAUAAAGAAAUCCACUCUUUAUUAUACGCCUAACCUAAUCCAUGAAAUAAGCAAGGUCAAUGGGAUAAAACCCUAAAAAACGGUAAGAUUUGCCUGUAUAUAUUUUUAAGGGAUUUUUGCUAUCUAUUAAGCAGAGAUAACAAUGAAAAGAGAUAGCUACAAAUAACUAGUUGAGGGAUCGGUAUCUUCAAAAUCAAAAGAGAGAAAAAAAAAUAUCAAACAUCCGAUUUCUAAAUCACAAGAGCACCACAAUACAUUUGGCCGUACUAGAAAGCAAACAUAUGUGAUAAGUGUGAAUAAUUUUUCCAAUCUUAUUGCUUUGAAUUAUUUAUCGGUUAUUAUACUAUCUCCUUCUUUUUUCUUAACCAGGAAAUCUUCAUUUAUUUGAUCUAUGAUGUUAUACUUCGUCUUCACUCAUAAUUAUAGUCCUUCUGAUUAUCAAUAUUUUCAAGACAAUUGCAUGCUUCAAGUAAAUGAGAUUUAUAGUCUAAAAUUGUAGUUAAAGAAUUUUGAAUUGAUUGCCAAACAAAUUUUUACAUAUGUAAUUUGCAUCGAUGAAAUUGAAUCAAUGAUAUAACUUUUUCAUCCUUGAGAUACUUAUGAUUUAUUUAGUGUCACAAUUAAUCUACGAUGUACAUAAAUGGAUGUUUAAAUAGAUUUUUUUUCCUAGAAAGUAAGAGCAUCUUUUCAUGCUCAAUGAAAUAUUAGAAUAGAUUGGAUUAAAUAUAUUAUAUAAGAGGGAGAGAAAAAAAAAAGAGUGCCAUAUUUUACCUCUAGAUGUCUUACUACUCUUGGGACUCCCUCAUAGUCGUCAUCCCAUGGUCCAUUACAUUUCUCAAGCAAUUGUCCUCGGCAAAAAGUGCUCCUUCCAAGAUCUCUUAGUUGAUCAUGCACCAUAAAUUCACCAUGGUCUCCAAUUUUAAUUAAGCACCUCAACUUCAACUCUUCAAUUCCUUGAUUUGGAUAAAACCCACAAUCCUCCCACAUGUACAUAGUGAAUCGUGCAACUUCGCCACCGUCACGUAUGCCAAUAAAGAAACAAACAAUAUCGAGAAAAAUCUGCUUAUGUUCAUCUUCUAAUGCAUCAUAACUUAUUUGCAAUAUUUUUUGGAUGUCUCUAUGUGGUUGGCUUUUUAAUUGCUUCCACACAUCUUCCCAUACUUUUUGAUUCGGUUUUUUAUACAAGUAUGAACCUACGACCUUAAGUGCCAAGGGAAGCCCACCCAUGGUGGAUACAAUAUCACGAGAUAGACCCUCAAAGUCCUUCGAAGAAUGGUCCAUGUAAAAUGCAUGUCUAUUAAACAAAAGCAAAGCAUGCUCCCAAUCUAAUUCAUUCAAAUCAUACUUGUGUACAUCGAAUUUAGAUUGAUCAAGAAUGGCUUUAUAUCUGGUUGUAACAAUAAUAAUACUUCCCGCCAUAAACCAAUUAUGUUCUCUAGCCAAAGCAUUUAAUUGAUCCUCGUGAUCUAGAUCAUCCAGAAGAAUGAGAACAUUUUUUCCUUUCAAUCUAGAUUUGAUCAAACUGAUUCCAUCAUCAACAUUCCCAAAUUGAGGUUCGAUUUGUAGAAUGCCCUUUAUUAGUUGCUUUUGUAAAUGAACAAUAUUGUUGCGGCAAGCUGUUUCUCGAAUAUCUGCAAGGAAGCUACAAUGCACAAAGUCAUUUGAAAGCUGGUUAUAGAUUACCUUGGCAAGAGUCGUUUUUCCAAUCCCACCCAUGCCAUAGAUUCCAAUCAUUCGAGCAUUAGUGGUAGGAGUGUCUACCCAUUUCAUGAUUCUGUUCACAUGAUCAUCAAUUCCAACUAAGUGCUCAGUAACAUCAAGCUGAAAAUCUUGUCGCAACUUGCUCAUAACAUUUUCGAUAACUUUUUUCACUAAUUCUCCUUCAUGCCUGUCCAACAAAAAAACUCAAUAAUAAUUUCGUGAUUAUACUUAAUCUCAUCAAAAGGCACCGAUAGGCAUGUGAAGAAUGGAUGGGACCAAUUAAAAUGCAAGAUGUUUUGGUUUUACAAAUAACAAUGGGGGAUGAUGGCCAGCGGUCAUUUCAUUUUUUCUUCUCUCUUUUGCUAGAUGGAUCUGCUGAAAGAAAAUAAGGCGGUACACCUGGCUCGUUAAGAGUCUUUAGAAGUGUAAUGUUUGUUACAAGGCUUAAGAUUGCUGCUAGUUAAAUGAUAGGAGGUCGAUUUUGUUUUAAUUACAGAGGUUUAGGAGAAAAGUAGGUUACUCCACUCUAAGGCCAGGGCAUCUCACGUGCCAAAAUCGAGGACUUAUAGUUGACUUACAAAUCGCUACCGAUGGGGUCUACUGACAGUAAAAAUCAAACCUAGACAUGGUAAAUGUGAAGUGUCCCGUCCUUUUCACCUGAGCCAACUUCCAUUCGCAUGAGGAGGUCUAUUUUAUCUGGUGGUGAUAAAGCUUUGAAAUACUGAGCAUGCGAGUUCUUUCUAAGCGUAUUGUUUGGUGAUUGACACUAUUGGCCGGAGGGGUUGUCAUUUAUUUGAUUUUUGCUCUAUUGGAGACAAUUGUAAUUCAUCUGUUUGGCUUGAACAAGAAAAUUUAUAGGAUAAUUACUAAAAAAAUCUUAAAUUUAUUAUAAUUGUAUUAAUUCAGUCUUUAAUUUUUUUAUGGCCAAUUUAGUCCUACACAUUUUUUCUUCUCUCUUAUGCUAGAUGGAUCUUGUUGAAAGAAAAUAAGGCAGUGCACCUGGCUCGUUAAGAGUCUUUAGAAGUGUAAUGUUUGUUACAAGGCUUCAGAUUGCUGCUAGUUAAAUGAUAGGGGGUUAAUUUUGUUUUAAUUAAAGAAGUUUAGGACAAAAGUAUGUUACUCCACUCUAAAGCCAGGGCAUCUCACAUGCCAAAAUUGAGGACUUAUAGUUGAUAUACAAAUGGCUACCGAUAUGGUCUACUGACAAGGGAAAUCAAACCUAGACAUGGUAAAUGUGAAGCAUCCGGUCCUUUUCACCUGAGCCAACUUCCAUUCGCAUGAGGAGGUCUACUUUAUCUGGUGGUGAUAAAGCUUUGAAAUACUGAGCAUUCGCGUCCUUUCUAAGUGUAUUAUUUGGUGAUUGACACUAUGGGCCGGAGGGGUUGUCAUUUCUUUGAUUUUUGAUCUGUUGGAGACAAUUGUAAUUCAUCUAUUUCGCAUGAACAAGAAAAUUUACGGGAUAUUUACUAAAAAAAUUAUUAUAAUUGUGUUAAUUCAAUCUUUAAUUUUUUUUAUGGCCAAUUUAGUCCUGCACAUUUUGAAAAUAUGCUAAUGUAGUCCAUCCGGCCAACUUUGGCUAGAAAUCGCUAAUAUAGACAUAAGCCAUUCCACGAGGCACCGUCGAUAACGUUGAGUAUUUUUAUAAUUUUUUCUGAACUUUGUUGAAUUUGCUUAUAUUUUUUUGUUUUUUCUCUCUUUCUUCUUUUUUUUCCUUCUUCUUCUACGGUCACCGGCCAUAGAUGAGGGCUGCCUCGCCAUGAGGGCUGACCUCGCCAGAAUCUGGUCCUUCUGGUGGUCCUAUAGAGAAUCGCAAGGAGGGAGAGACCGAGAGUUUUUCCAACAAGAGAGGGCCGUCGUUGGGUUAGAUGAGGAGGUUCGCCAGCAGCCAGAACGUGCUGCCGAACUUCGACUAGACGGCACAGGUGGCGCCGAUGGAUGCAACGGAGCAGAGGAACUGUUACUUUGAGGACAAAGACAGACACAAAGAAGAGCGAGAUGAGGACGACGCGACGAAGUGGUGAUUCCAUUUUCGUCCCCCAUUUUGGUAGGUGGAGUGGAGUCGAAGGCGAAGAAGGAAGCGAAUCUGUGGAAGAGAAGGACAAUGGCUCAUCCUCAACCACUUGGCUUGCGACAUCCCCAAUUAUUCUGCAAAUGUAAUCGUGUUCUCGAAUGAUUGUGUUCAUGGAUUCCCAAUUUCUGACGCUCUUCCUUCUUUUUUUGUGGGAUUCAAUUUGGGUUGGCCUCGCCUCUUCUAAAGGACCAGAUUCCAGCGACGUCGCCCUUGCCAGAUUCGGCAAGGGCAAACCUCACCGACCCUCGUUUGUGGCCUGUCACCCUCCAUCAAGGAGGCCGCGGCUAGAGUGGAAGAAGGAAAAAAAAAUAAAAAAAUAAAAACUAAAAAUUUCAGAAAAAAUAAUAAAAAUUUAUUUACGUUAACAAUUUUCAGCUGAAAUCGACUGAAUGACUAUAUUGGCAAAUUUUCAGAGGGUCUAGGAUUAAUUUGACUGCAUAAAAAUGUUUAGGACUAUAUUGACACAAUUACAAUAGAUUUAAGAUUUUUUUAGUAAUUUCUCCGAACACUUACUUAUCAAAAAAGAAAAGUGAAGGUGGAAGCAAAGUACCCGUUAGCAACUUUCUCAGACUCCCAUCCAUGUAAGUAACUCACUUCUUUGAGUGCUUGCUGCCCUUUCUGGAUAUCCUCCUCAUCAAAAUACUUCUUACGUGAAUGGAAAGCCUUCCCAAAACUUCCUUUUAGAUACCGCACAUCCGAUGAAUCCACUUUAUAAAAGAUGGGCAAAACUAUGUGUGAUGUGCUCUUCGCGUGAUCCAUGAUAUGUAUAAGCUCGCGAAGGCACCAUUUGCUUGAAGCAUAAUUUUUGGAGAUGAUGAGGAUCGAAAUCUUAGACCGAGCGAUGGCAUCAAGAAUCCAUGGACCAAAUUCCUCGCCAAUUGGAAUGCUCUUAUCAUCCCUGAACAUGAAAACCGGUACAAUCCCCGCCUUGUCUAGACCGUGAUAGAGGUGAUCAGCGAAUUCCUUGCGGGUAUCUGACCCUCUAAAGCUCAAGAACACAUCAUAAUGAUCAUUACCUUCUCCUGUGGGUGUUGGAGAGAUGAAUGAAGAUGUGGAUGCUCUCUUCUUCUUCUUCUUGAGAAGAUUGAAUGCAAGCAUACAGAAAAGAAUCGUUGCGACAAGCGCCCCGAAAGAACGCCCCAUUACAAAAGGGUGCAUCCCUUCGUUUGUUUCAAUGUGACUUCGUCCAUUGUCCAUGGUGGCAAUCGGGGGGAAGUUGGAAAGAAAAAUGCUCUUCUGCUGCAUAAAAGGAUUGAUAACUAGUCUCUAUGAAGUAUGAACAAGUAUGAACAUGAAAUCUUUUACCAAGCAAGAAAAAACAAACAUGAAAUUUUUAAUUAAUUAUUAUUUGAUUGACUAGGAGCAGUUGCAGAUGCUUUUAAUCGUUGCUUUAUCUUCUUUUGGAUAUCAUCCUCUAGUCAAGUCAAUCUUGCUGGCUUCGGUCCCGCGUACAUUAAUUUCUUAAUUGGGCUAUAGAAUAAUGGAAUCUACGUACAAGCAUGUUGCAUUCGUUCAAAAUUAUACGUAGUAGUUCAGUUUUUACUUGAUUAUUGAAAAUAAGAUUUUGAUAAAUCAUUUUUUGUCAAAGAAUUUGAUAAAUCGUUUAAAAGCUGAUAAUUGAGUUGAGACAAGAUUGGAAAUGUGGGGAAGGGGUGAAGAAAGGACCUAGCUAGUUAUUAUAAAUGUGAUUUUAAAUUCAAUUUUGCCAUAGAUUUCUCCUCCUGCACAGCACAAAGCCUCCCUUCUCCUUGUAAAAUAGAGAUAUAAUUUGUUAGAUGGCACCAAACGGAGAAGCGGAUGCUCCCUCGGUGCUCUCUUUUUAUGCACUCUUUUCUUUCUUCAUGUUAGUCUGAACAAUUAGAAAUUAGGUACUUAUUCAAUGGAAGAAAAAGAAGAUAAAAAAAGGUCUCCGGAUUCAAGCGAAAUGUGGCAAUUAAUAGAGUCUAGCAUGCUUGCAGACCUGCUCGUUCUAGUUCAAAAAGAGAUCAGUACUGAAUUAUGAUGCAACUAACAAUCAUGUAGUAAGGCCAUCAUAGGAUUAGCCACAUCUAAAGUCGAAAAUAAAGGCUUUCUUUUUUCACCGAAGUCAAAUCUGAGCUAAGGUGCCUCGUUAACAGACAACAACGAUUCCAAAAGAGAGAAUAAAAGACACCCUCCUCAGCUAUUCAGCAGCCACCCCACAUCCUCAGUAGACAAAAAGGGCCCAGAAGACACUAGUUCAGCCUAUUAUUUCAAUAAUAAAGCGAUGAAUCAAUAGAAACGACACGGUAGUAAGAGAUGAAAAAGUGAUUACCUUCCACGAGCUAAGAUACGAAGAGAGGUGCGAGAUCGGUGAGAGAAGACCCUAAGCAAGCCUAGGCAGGAACUUUCAAGGGGGGAAAAAGAAUAGAGAAAGCGAGUGAAGACUGAUCAGUAGACGAUAGUCUCAAAUUGUUCUGUAAGAGAGAGGCCGAAUGCGAAAGAUAAAGUGGGCAACGAGAGAGAGAGAGAGAGAGAGAGAGAGAGAGAGAGAGAGCCGGGGGGGAGGGGGGGGGGCGCAUCAAUCAGUAGUAGACAACAGUCUUGAAUUAUUAUUGACUGACCGGCAGAUGAUAGGCUGAUUGACUGGCAGCAAUAAAAAUUCUUUUCAGAUGGCAAGCAAAGUCAAGCCACACAAUUUGGACCAGAGUACAGAAUGACCACUUCCGUUCAUAUCCACUUAAAAACCAUUUUAUUAAAUAGAUAAACGUGGCUCUAACCAGCUUGUAAAUCUUCCAUUAUAUUAUUACCAAAGACGUUCUUACUCCUGUAGGUGCAGCAUUUUCCUCCCACCAUAAAGAUGCAUAAAUCAUAUUGUCAAAUCCAUUGUAGAUCAACAAUUUCCUACGCUAUAUACACGUAAAAUUCAUGUCUUUGCUGUAAGCAAUAAAAUCGCAUGAAAAGCACAUUUUAUAUCAAGUUUCUCUAAUUCAAUCCACAAAGAUAAAGUCUACCUAAAAAUUGUCCACAUAAUAAAUACGUGCAAGUGCAUUGAAACCAGCAGCUUUGCUCACUUUCAAGUUUUCCAUUGUAACCAGCACCAAAAAAAAAAAGUUACAAUGGUGAAUUUUUCAUAAUUGGAAAACAUUUGAAUUUUCUAUCAUUUUUCCAAAAAUAUGAAAAUUGCCAAUAUAAUGGGAAAUGGUUUCGUGGACAACCAAAAAUUCUCUAGUUGAUAUGAUAUGUUCAUAUAAAUUUUUGUUGUUGACAAUUUUGAUCCGUAGCCUAUGAAAGGUUUUGUGCAUUAUUGAAGAGAAAAGACUAGCAUGAUCGAUACUUGGAAAAAUAUUUUUAACAUUUUUCAAGAAAAAAAGAAUUAUUUUUGCAAAAAUUGAGUAUUUUGGAUGUUUUAGGCUUUAAGUGAUUUUGGACAAGUAGGGUACGCAUAGGGCUGAUGGACCCAAAAUUAGGUCUAGAAGGAUAUUUUGGUAAUUUUCAUUCCCAAGGGAGUUCAGUCAACCAUUAAUGUUUAGAAAACAACAUCAGGAUAAAGGUCAGCAUGCGAUUCCACUAGAUUCAACCAGUCUAACCAUACAUAACCGAUUAGUUUCAUGGGAAGAUUGUAGUAAGGAAAUUAGCAAUAUAUAUGUAAUGAUGAUUUUGGAAAAGUUGAGGGAACUUCACGAGUAAUGUUUCGUAUGCCUUAAAGGAUAUCAGGUGUUAUGCAAUGAGUAAUAUUCAAAUGUAUUUUUGUCUUAUCAAUUGUAAUUGACUAGAGAAUGAAAGCCGAGCUUACCUGGAGGAGUGAUGUAGAGAUGAAAUUCCUAUAAUGGGUUUUAGUGUUUGAGAAGAAGUUGCCUUGGAUAGAUCAAGUUGUGCUUGAGUCCCAAAAGACAAUACAAUUUGAGGAUCACCUUCACACCUCAACUUGGAGCUAUCAAUACAAAUAUAUCUCAAGAACAAAAAUGAGGAUCUCAGUGAUUUAUGGUGAUUGGCAUUUCUCCUCUUCAAGCACAAGCAUUUGGGACUUUUAUAUAAAGCUGUACUUCUCUUGCCCCAGAGGAAACGCGAAAUCUUGUGGUAGAUGGUGUUUCUUAGACGAGGUAAUCGUACUUCUUUUGAUUCUAACCUUUUUGACUAAGACCAACAAAAUAAUCCCUUCCUUGAAAUUGGCAAGACGACCCCUAUAGACUUCACUUAUUAAUUCUUUUUGUUAAUGCAUCCCAUGGCCAAGCAAAUCACAGUGGAAAUUAAUUUUUUUGACACAAUGCUAGUCCUUAAUAGCUACGGAAUCAUCUCCUUUUCUUUUCUUUUUUUUUCCUUUUUUUGCCAAACGAAAUUAUCUCCUUUACUUGGGAACUUUUGCAAGGUGUUCAUAUUGAAAAUUACUUCUUCUCUUGCCUCGAAAAGUGAGCCCAAUGUGCUAGGGACACACACAAUCUUACCAUGGAUUUGCAUGUCCUCGAUGGGAAAAUUUACUUUUUUUACUGACUAACCCUCGCCAUUUGUUAGUUCUCUUUGUAAUGGAAUCACAUGGCCGCACAAAUCAAAGUGCAGAUGGACAACAUUUUGCUUUCCCUUCCUAUUGAAAUAAAAGCCUCUCACUGCGGGAGGCAUUGAAAUGGUCAAAAAUCUAUUUGUUAACUCAUAUUUAGUGACCUGAAUCAUAUAUGGAUUGGCUCAAAUUGAAAGAAUAGGUUGUUAUGAAUUUAAAGUAACAAGAUUUUAUUCAACAUAUAAUAUAUUUUAAUGAGUUUGAAUCAUGUCUAUAUGCAAUUCAUGUUAAUUAAAAAAAAGAGAGAGAGAAAAGUAAUGAUCUUUUUAUUUGCUUUCACAUGGCUCUUCUUAGGGGAACUCGUGCUCGAGUGAGGUAUGCCUUGACACGUGGAGCCCAUUGUAUGUGGCGCGACAAUUGCUGUGACAUCCAGAUUUUCGGGUUUUAAUUCGACUGGAUAAAUAGAGCCAUUUUCGUUCAGUUGAAGCCAGGGAUUGUGAAGUUGGAAUGCAAGUGGGUUAUAUUGGUAAGGAAAAAUACCAAUUAGAAUGAUGAGGUGUUGCAUGGAUUAAUGGGGGUCAAUUUGAUUUAAUUCAAGAGGAAUUAAGGCCCAAUUGGAAAGAAAACCUAGCAAAUUCGUAUGCCACACAUACCCCACAUUUUGGCCUAUCUAAAGGCUUCUAGAAGGGGUAGAAUUGACAAGAAAUUGUUAGUGGAAGGUGACAUCACAUGAUGUCAUGGUGGGCCAAGUGUGUGAUGACCUAAGAGAGAGAGAGAGUGUGUGAGAGGAAGAGGGGAAAUUGAAUUUUUCUUCCUCCCCUCUCUCCUCCGUCGACGGAUCCAUCCCUAUCUUCUUCUUCCUUUUCUCCAAACCUCCAUGGGAGCGGAAGACCAGAGAAGCAGAAGCAGCUGCCGUCGUCGCCCACCGAAGCCGGAGCCGCCGCCGCUGCUCCGCGGUUGGCCGCACCUCACCGCACGCCCUCUCUUCCGCCUCUCUCUCCCUCCUCUUAUUGGUGCAAACCAGAGGACAGCAGAAAGUAAAGCAGCGUCCAGCGUCGCCGGAAGGAACCGCGACCAGUUGCCUGGACGCCGCCGCACCGGAGCUGCCGCACCGCCGCCCGCGCGACGCCGCGCGCUCCGCCGCCUCACGAUCGCACCUACCGUCCUCGCUGUGCGACCCAACCCCUGUUCCGCCUCUGUUCAGCUUCGUUUUGGCCAUCACAGGCCACGGUUCGGCCACCUCCGGCCACCGUGCGCCGCCACUUCGACCCGUCGGAGUCCCCUCGCCCUCCACCGGCCUUGGCUAGCUCGAAUCAGCCCCGGAUCCGCCCCUUCCAGCAGCGAUCAGAGAAGUCAGAAAAUGGGUUUCCAGCACUGUUCAAGGCCGUUUUGGGCCGUUUCCCGGCCCCGAACCCGAGCCGCGCUUUGGGAAGAAUUGUUCCUCGCGUCGCCGCCGUCGGAUUGAUCCGAUUUGCGCGCGAUUUGGCGAGUAAUCUCACUAAUCCCGGAUUAGUUGAUUAAUUAUGCUUUAGGUUGGUUUAGUUUUAAUUAAUUAUGUUUAGGUUGUUAGAUUAGAAUUAAUUAGCAAUUAUUAGUCAAUUGUGAUGCGAUUUAGAUAAAUUGAUUGCGUAAUUAGCAAGUAGAUGUGGUCUACUAUUUAUUGAAGGCAUCUCGGGAAUUUUCGGACUCCUAAUUGAGCUUCAAUUUGGUGAUUCGGGCCUAAGUGGGAUUUUUGGCAUUUAAAUAUUAAUUAUCGGAAUUAAAUUAAAUAAUUAUUUAUUUUCCGAAAAUUUGAGGGAGAUGAUCUGGAACCGGAAUAUUAUGCUGAUGAUCGUGGCGAAGUCCGUUUAUUUGAUCGGAAUUUAUUUUAAGCUAAAUUGAAUUUUUAAUAUUAAUUAAUUUUCGAAAUUAAUUAAAUAAUUAUUUAUUUCCUGAAAAUUCAACUGGGAUGGCCCGUGACCAGAAAAUUAUGCUGAUGACCGUGGUGAAGUCCGUUUAUUUAAUCGGGCUUUAUUUUGGGCUAAAUUGAGUUUUUAAUAUUAAUUAUUUAAUUCUAGAAAUUAAUUAAUUAUUUAUUUAUUUUUCGGAAAUUAAGUUUGAGAUGGCCGAUGACCGGAAUUUCAUGCUGAUUGUCAUGGUGUGGUUCGUUUAUUUAUUCGAGGCUUAAUUUGUGAGAAAUUGAUUUAUUAGUGAUUUUAGGAUUUAUUCCUAAAUUGAAUAAUCUUUGGUUAUUACUUGAAGAAUAACCGGGCAUCGGUUGAUAAUGCUAAUAUAUUGAAAAAGUUGCCGAGUGGGGCCGUGAUACCACUACAUAUGAUAUUGCCGAGUGGGGCCGUGAUGCCACUACAUGCCGAGUGGGGCCGUGAUACCACUACAUAUGAUAUUGCCGAGUGGGGCCGUGAUGCCACUACAUGCCGAGUGGGGCCGUGAUGCCACUACAUGCCGAGUGGGGCCGUGAUACCACUACAUAUAGCAUUGCCGAGUGGGGCCGUGAUGCCACUACAUGCCGAGUGGGGCCGUGAUGCCACUACAUAUAGCAUUGCCGAGUGGGGCCGUGAUGCCACUACAUAUGACAUUGCCGAGUGGGGCCGUGAUGCCACUACAUAUGAUAUUGCUGAGUGGGGCCGUAAUGCUACUAAAUCUAAGAAAAUUGCUUGGUGGGGCCAUGAUUACCACCUAUAAUUAAGUUGUGUCCUAAGGACCGUGAUUCAUAAUUGGGAAUUGAAUUGGAAUAGUUGAAAUGACCGGAAGUGGUCUUGUUGAUAUGUAAUCGACUAGGUCGAUUGAUCAUUGCUUGAUCUGAUGUUGUGAAUGGGCAGAUUGAUUGGAAAUGACCAUGAGAUGGUCUGAUUGACUUGUAAUCGACUAGGUCGAUUGAUCGAUUAUUCGAUCUGAGUGUGACUUGAUGUGAUUCAUUGCCUUGGUUGGAUGUUGUGAAUUGAAUGAUUGAAUGGAGAUGAUCAUGAAUGGUCUUCCUGGCAUAUAAUCGACUAGGUCGAUUUGAUCGAUGCUUCGAUAAGUGAUCUGAUUGCUUGGGUGCCUAUUAUGAAUUGUACUAACUUGCAGGUGGGAUAUGAGGCCAAGGUACGUCUUCUGCCCUAUGCGUGUAUAGGCAGCCUAUAGUAUAAUAGUUUACUAAUUGGGCUUAGUGGGGUAGAACUCGCUGAGACGUAGUCUCAUCCCAGUUUGGGGAAAAACAUUUCAGGACCCCGUUGAGGAGCUGAGGAGGAAUCUGAGAAGGAGAACUCGGAUGUGAAACCUGAGUAGAAGGACUUUUGGAAGAAGAAGAUAAUACCGAGAGAGAUUUUGAGUAUGACCUGAAGGGAUUGAUAUUUCAUCUUCUUUUGUGAACUCCAAUUGAUGUGAAUAGUUAUGAAGUUCUUUAGUGGAUGUCAUGUACAAAAGUUUGGUUAUAAAUUUCAAUAUGAAAAAUAUGACCCUGCUUUUCUAUCCCAUCGUUUUAUUGUCUGGGGAUUUUAACUGCUUCCGCAUGUGCUUAAAUAAGAAAGGGUCGGUGAUACAUUGUCCUGGGAUAUCGCAUUAUAAAACCGACCAAGUGAGACGGAUGUGUGCGUGCCUGAGGAUCGGGGCGUUACAUCCUGUUUAAGUGGUAUCAGAGCGAAGUUGAAGAUUGGAGUGAUAAGGAGCGUUGACCAUGGGAUAGUUAGUAGGAAAGGCUUUUUAAUUCAUGUUGGUGCAUGUCUGUGUUAGCUGGAUGCUAGAAUUGAUUGUCGUGUGAGGAUCGCUCAUCUUCCAAUCCAGUGUGGAUGUGGAAGACGGGUUUCAGUGUAAAGACUGAACCAUGAGCGAGCAGGAGCUGAGAACUCCUAGUAAGAGGACAAUGUCCUCUGUGACUCGGGAUAAAGCACUGACAAAUGUCGGUACCCGAGGUGGUUGUGGCAGAGUGUCGGCUCUGGCCAGCUCGAGUGUAAGAGUACCACUGCAGGUUGGUACUUGUGUAGCAGCGUCGAAUGAUCCUAAGUUUGAUAGGAUCAUUUUGAUGCAAGUAUUCCUUGGGAACUGGAUGAGCCAGUAAGCUCAGGAUCAAGCCGUUGUCGUUGUCGCUAUCUCUACUGCCGUUAGUGUUGCAAGCGCCUUUGUUGCUACACCUGUUGAGAUCCAGAGUGGGGAUAUGAUCUGGGAUCGAGCCAUCGCUUCCAAGUCAAGGUACAGAUCCAGUUCAGGCAGAAAUGGAAAUCGGUCAGGGAAAAGAUCGAAGUCGAGAGCGGUUCUAGCAGACCGAUGGGACAACUAGAAAGAGUGUGUGCUGUCACUUGACAGGAGAUAGAAGACUCACCUGAUGAGUGCCGAAAGUAUGGAGGGAAUGCAUGGAUUAAUCCUGUGUUCGAGAAUGACUAGAACAUGCUUUGAUGGUAGUGAGCACGGCCAUCAAGUGAGGGACUAUCGGUUGGGGUUUAAGAAGAACACCAACACUGUUACUACCGUUGGAACACCAGCAAGAUGGCAAAAAGAACAGGAACGGAACUGACUAUACCUUAUUCAAUAAAAGAAUAUUUAGAGGUGAUUUUAUCAGAAUAGUGCCAGAGAAUGUUGGCAUUGCAAGUGUGGAAUUUCAGUUGUUUGUUAAGGCUGUAGGAAAAGAACCAUUGACUAAAGUUGUACUUGAUUUGUUGUUGGUGUACAACUCUAUCGUCAAGUGUAGAAAGAAUUGGUUCUUGAGCAUUUUAUGGUGAUGAAUUGUUAUGGUAGAGUAACCCAGCUUAUUCCAGGAGCAUGUAGAAGUAUCGAGUUUUACUGAGAGUUGAGAAGGGUCCUUGACUUCCUUGAUCUCGUCACUUGAGGUAACCUGGUUGUCAGACAGAAGUUAUCGAGAUUGGUGGGCAAUGAUCUUAGAUAAGAUAGAUUGAAGAACUAAAAAUUGAGAACUCCUCAGUAGUCCAAGAAUUCUUGGAAGUGUUGCCAGAAAAGUGGUCAAACCGUUGCCAGAGAAAGAGAUAGAAUUACAAUCGAGUUAACAUCUGGAACAGAACCAUUCUCUAAAAGUUCUUACCGGUUGUUGUUUUUUUGAAUUGAUAGAACCAAUGGUGCAGAUGUGAGGAUUGAUGAAUGAAGAAUUCAUGCAUAUCAGUGCAUCACUUUAGGGAUCAUCAGUUUUGUGAAAAGAGAAAGAAAGAUGGUUCGUUGCAAUUAUGCAUCAACUAUAGUUGACCCAAUCAAGUGACAAUCAAGGAUAAGUGUUCAUUGUCAAAGAUCGACGAAUUGGGUGACUUGUUAUAAAGAGUGAGGAUGUCUUCAAGGAUCAACUUGAGGACAGGUUAUUGUCAGUUGAGAAUCAGGAAUGAGGUUAUACUGAAGACGGCAUUCCGCACUUGAUUUUGUCCUUGUGAGAAUAAUGUAAAGCCAUUUGAUUUGACGAACGCUCCAAUUGCUGUCAUAGAUUUGACAAAUCGAGUGUUCAAAGAAUAUCUAGAUCAAUGGUGACCGUGUGGUGUAGCGACGUUCUAGGGUGUUCAUUAAGUGAUGAGGAUCACGAGAGCCCUUAAGAAUGGUCGUGUGGUUACAGGUAAAGGAAUCUUCAUGGACCCAGCCAAGAUCGAAUCAGUUGUUAAUGGACCGAGACCGACAUCAAUGUCAGAGAUCAGAAGUUGUGGGGAUUGGACAGAUUACUAUGGAAGGUUUGUGAAAGAAUUUUCAGCAUCAGUAUCAUCAUGGGCUUGACCUCUUGAGAAAGAAGGGAAAUUCCUUGGCAUAGACAAGUGCGAGGAUAAUUUCCAGAGCUUUCAGUAAGAUCAGGCUACCGCACUUGUGCUAAACUUUUCAUUUGGCUCUGGAAAGCAUGAAACCUUUAGUGAUGUGUCUUGCCAACGACUGGGCAUGUAUUGAUACAACAUGAGAAGAUUGUUGUAUAACUGUCCCGCCAGUUGAGACCCAACAAGUUGAACAUGAAACAGUGUCGUGAAUCAGAGUUCUGGCAGAACUAUAAUGAUGUUAUCUGGUAUUAUCGUGGGAGAAUGAAAGAAGUAAUUGAUGUGUUGAGCUAAGAGCCUUCAAUUGUGCAUAGACUGGCUAAAGUAUAGACUUUACUUGAAAAUAGUUCGAAAUUUGGUUUUCAAAAUUGAGGCAGGCUACCUUUUAAAUUUUAUAGCCGCCCUCAAAAAUUGAACCAAAUGUUCAAGUUAAAAUCGGCGCCUAGUUGACAGACAAAGAUGUUCAGAAAAUCUUAUGAUUUUCUGACUUUAAGAUUUAUGAGAAUGGAAAGUUCAGGUUCCAUGAGUGAUUGAAUACACUUGACAGUGUACCACUUAGGGAAAAGAUCUUGUCAGAAGUUCACUAUAAUAUCACAGUUUUGACCAGAUGGGGCAAGUAAGUCAGAAUCGAUGUCAGCUAGAUAGGUACGCCGAUAUGAAGGUAGAUAUCGCCAAGCAGGUUGCAAGUGUCAGAGGUGUCAGUAAGUGGAAGCUCGGUAAUGCGAACCGGGAGAAUUUUUACCAUCACUUGAGAGUCCCAAGUGGAAAUGGAAAUAUAUGGCUUACUAAGGAUUCAGGGGAUUACUGAUACCAUUUGAGAAUAGGGGUUGACCGAUAGAUGGAGUUGGUCCCCUUUGGUACAAUACGAAUAUAUCUUGUUUUGAGCAUGUAACAUCCAGAUUUCGGACUCUGAUUUCGAUUAGAUAAAUUGGGCAUUUCAUCGACGCAAUUACAGUGUUUUUCUCUGAGUUGGCCACUCAUGAGAUAACUAGACUAGCUGGGUGAGUUAUUAAGGACCUUAAGGCAAAUAGACUUGAGAAUUCGACCAUGGAUCGAUUUCUCGACCGUGCUCAUCUUUAGAGAUCAUUGCGGCACAGUAUAAAACCCGAUUUGAAAUCAAAGAUAGAUCGGUUCGACUGAGAUGAAUGACCGAUCGUGGGUGACUCCACUAAAUUGGAAAAUUCUCAUCGACCGACACUAAUUUGACGUUUCUAUCGUUUUGGCGCCCUGUGUCCGUAUUUGAAUCUUUGAGAUUUUCACGACAAUCGAGGGUCACCAAUGGGUCGAGUGGGUUUAUUGUGGCUCGAAGAAAAUCGACCACGGGUCAUUUGUCCUAAAAAGCUCUGAACACUACCCGGUAGCCUAGGUCACACUAAAAGCGUGUUGGAGUGAAAUUAACCGCCAAUCUAAGUUCGAUUUCAGAAACUGAAGACCUUAUCUUGAAGUGUGUGUGCAUUAGAUAAUUCGCCGGCAUGGAGUGUCGAUGAUGAAUUAUAUUUUGAAUCUAAAUCAGAGAUUAUAAAUUCGGCAGAGUUUUCAGAGAAUUCUUUAUUAAGCAGUGUAUAGCAGAGGGUACAAAAUUUCAGUGGUAAAAAAAAAGUGAAGAAGAUUUCAGGCCAAAGACAGUACAAUAGUCAGUGAUUACAGUUGCUAAGAUCAGUGCUAGAGUUAUAUCAGAUCUUGACCCGAGGUUCCCGGUUUCAGCAGACUAGUCAGAUAGUUUCCUUUUAAUCAGUACAGGGCAGAGUGUACAGGAUUUCAGUCGGUUGGGAUGAGAUCAGAAAUCAGAAAAUCGCAAGUCCGAAGUCAGCUCAGAAAUCAAUGUUUGCAGUUGUCAGAUCAGUGUCAGAGUAAAGACUUCUCAGAAUUGUUAGAAAUUUGGAAUCGUUGAGGUUCAAAGGUUUAUUAAGGAGUCGAGAAAAAGAGAUCAGAUGUGGAUGACAGGCUGUCUUAUGUGAGAAGCUCAGUUCAGUUGUUGGUUUAGAAAGAUCAGAGUUUGUGUACCAAGAUGAUUUCCUUAAUCAAAAUGGUCAGACAGCACCACAAGCCCGAAGGAUUAGCUUGGGAAAAAGUGAGACUCAAUGAGACGACAAUACCCUCACAUUUUGUAUAAGGAUUGGUAAAAGUUUAAAUUUUGAGGACGAAAUUUUUAUAAGAGGGGAAGAGUUGUGACAUCCAGAUUUUCGGGUUUUAAUUCGACUGGAUAAAUAGAGCCAUUUUCGUUCAGUUGAAGCCAGGGAUUGUGAAGUUGGAAUGCAAGUGGGUUAUAUUGGUAAGGAAAAAUACCAAUUAGAAUGAUGAGGUGUUGCAUGGAUUAAUGGGGGUCAAUUUGAUUUAAUUCAAGAGGAAUUAAGGCCCAAUUGGAAAGAAAACCUAGCAAAUUCGUAUGCCACACAUACCCCACAUUUUGGCCUAUCUAAAGGCUUCUAGAAGGGGUAGAAUUGACAAGAAAUUGUGAGUGGAAGGUGACAUCACAUGAUGUCAUGGUGGGCCAAGUGUGUGAUGACCUAAGAGAGAGAGAGAGUGUGUGAGAGGAAGAGGGGAAAUUGAAUUUUUCUUCCUCCCCUCUCUCCUCCGUCGACGGAUCCAUCCCUAUCUUCUUCUUCCUUUUCUCCAAACCUCCAUGGGAGCGGAAGACCAGAGAAGCAGAAGCAGCUGCCGUCGUCGCCCACCGAAGCCGGAGCCGCCGCCGCUGCUCCGCGGUUGGCCGCACCUCACCGCACGCCCUCUCUUCCGCCUCUCUCUCCCUCCUCUUACUGGUGCAAACCAGAGGACAGCAGAAAGUAAAGCAGCGUCCAGCGUCGCCGGAAGGAACCGCGACCAGCUGCCUGGACGCCGCCGCACCGGAGCUGCCGCACCGCCGCCCGCGCGACGCCGCCUCACGAUCGCACCUACCGUCCUCGCUGUGCGACCCAACCCCUGUUCCGCCUCUGUUCAGCUUCGUUUUGGCCAUCACAGGCCACGGUUCGGCCACCUCCGGCCACCGUGCGCCGCCACUUCGACCCGUCGGAGUCCCCUCGCCCUCCACCGGCCUUGGCUAGCUCGAAUCAGCCCCGGAUCCGCCCCUUCCAGCAGCGAUCAGAGAAGUCAGAAAAUGGGUUUCCAGCACUGUUCAAGGCCGUUUUGGGCCGUUUCCCGGCCCCGAACCCGAGCCGCGCUUUGGGAAGAAUUGUUCCUCGCGUCGCCGCCGUCGGAUUGAUCCGAUUUGCGCGCGAUUUGGCGAGUAAUCUCACUAAUCCCGGAUUAGUUGAUUAAUUAUGCUUUAGGUUGGUUUAGUUUUAAUUAAUUAUGUUUAGGUUGUUAGAUUAGAAUUAAUUAGCAAUUAUUAGUCAAUUGUGAUGCGAUUUAGAUAAAUUGAUUGCGUAAUUAGCAAGUAGACGUGGUCUACUAUUUAUUGAAGCAUCUCGGGAAUUUUCGGACUCCUAAUUGAGCUUCAAUUUGGUGAUCGGGCUAGUGGGAUUUUUGGCAUUNNNNNNNNNNNNNNNNNNNNNNNNNNNNNNNNNNNNNNNNNNNNNNNNNNNNNNNNNNNNNNNNNNNNNNNNNNNNNNNNNNNNNNNNNNNNNNNNNNNNNNNNNNNNNNNNNNNNNNNNNNNNNNNNNNNNNNNNNNNNNNNNNNNNNNNNNNNNNNNNNNNNNNNNNNNNNNNNNNNNNNNNNNNNNNNNNNNNNNNNNNNNNNNNNNNNNNNNNNNNNNNNNNNNNNNNNNNNNNNNNNNNNNNNNNNNNNNNNNNNNNNNNNNNNNNNNNNNNNNNNNNNNNNNNNNNNNNNNNNNNNNNNNNNNNNNNNNNNNNNNNNNNNNNNNNNNNNNNNNNNNNNNNNNNNNNNNNNNNNNNNNNNNNNNNNNNNNNNNNNNNNNNNNNNNNNNNNNNNNNNNNNNNNNNNNNNNNNNNNNNNNNNNNNNNNNNNNNNNNNNNNNNNNNNNNNNNNNNNNNNNNNNNNNNNNNNNNNNNNNNNNNNNNNNNNNNNNNNNNNNNNNNNNNNNNNNNNNNNNNNNNNNNNNNNNNNNNNNNNNNNNNNNNNNNNNNNNNNNNNNNNNNNNNNNNNNNNNNNNNNNNNNNNNNNNNNNNNNNNNNNNNNNNNNNNNNNNNNNNNNNNNNNNNNNNNNNNNNNNNNNNNNNNNNNNNNNNNNNNNNNNNNNNNNNNNNNNNNNNNNNNNNNNNNNNNNNNNNNNNNNNNNNNNNNNNNNNNNNNNNNNNNNNNNNNNNNNNNNNNNNNNNNNNNNNNNNNNNNNNNNNNNNNNNGAGUGGGGCCGUGAUACCACUACAUAUGACAUCACCGAGUGGGGCCGUGAUGCCACUACAUAUGAUAUUGCUGAGUGGGGCCGUAAUGCUACUAAAUCUAAGAAAAUUGCUUGGUGGGGCCAUGAUUACCACCUAUAAUUAAGUUGUGUCCUAAGGACCGUGAUUCAUAAUUGGGAAUUGAAUUGGAAUAGUUGAAAUGACCGGAAGUGGUCUUGUUGAUAUGUAAUCGACUAGGUCGAUUGAUCAUUGCUUGAUCUGAUGUUGUGAAUGGGCAGAUUGAUUGGAAAUGACCAUGAGAUGGUCUGAUUGACUUGUAAUCGACUAGGUCGAUUGAUCGAUUAUUCGAUCUGAGUGUGACUUGAUGUGAUUCAUUGCCUUGGUUGGAUGUUGUGAAUUGAAUGAUUGAAUGGAGAUGAUCAUGAAUGGUCUUCCUGGCAUAUAAUCGACUAGGUCGAUUUGAUCGAUGCUUCGAUAAGUGAUCUGAUUGCUUGGGUGCCUAUUAUGAAUUGUACUAACUUGCAGGUGGGAUAUGAGGCCAAGGUACGUCUUCUGCCCUAUGCGUGUAUAGGCAGCCUAUAGUAUAAUAGUUUACUAAUUGGGCUUAGUGGGGUAGAACUCGCUGAGACGUAGUCUCAUCCCAGUUUGGGGAAAAACAUUUCAGGACCCCGUUGAGGAGCUGAGGAGGAAUCUGAGAAGGAGAACUCGGAUGUGAAACCUGAGUAGAAGGACUUUUGGAAGAAGAAGAUAAUACCGAGAGAGAUUUUGAGUAUGACCUGAAGGGAUUGAUAUUUCAUCUUCUUUUGUGAACUCCAAUUGAUGUGAAUAGUUAUGAAGUUCUUUAGUGGAUGUCAUGUACAAAAGUUUGGUUAUAAAUUUCAAUAUGAAAAAUAUGACCCUGCUUUUCUAUCCCAUCGUUUUAUUGUCUGGGGAUUUUAACUGCUUCCGCAUGUGCUUAAAUAAGAAAGGGUCGGUGAUACAUUGUCCUGGGAUAUCGCAUUAUAAAACCGACCAAGUGAGACGGAUGUGUGCGUGCCUGAGGAUCGGGGCGUUACAAUUGCAUGAGCUUUUUCUUUACUUGCCCAUUGCUUUAAUCAAUGAUUGAGUGACCCGUCAUUCAUUCCCUAUUAUUCAUUAUCGAUUGUUUAAUCUAGUGGGACUCAUGUAGAACUUAUAUGGCUCCGGUCAUUUUUAGUUUUCCAAAUGUAAUCUUUCCCACAAUAUCAUUUAGCUCCCCAUCUAGACAACGACGUCAAUUAGGGCCAAUUCAGCCAAUUCUCCUCUGUACUCUUAAGGACAUAAGGAAUUAGAUUGAUAUCGUGUGCUUAAUAUGCACAAAAAAAAAAUUAUCUUAGGUAUUUAGGGAUCAAAGUUAUGGUGAAAAAUAAGGGAAUGAAAAAAGCUAGGAAAAUUACCAAAAAAGUCCUAAACUAAUUACAUUUGUGCUAAUUCAAUCCUAAACCUCUAAAUUUGAUCAAUUUAGUCCUAAACCUUUUGAUAAUUUGUCAAUAUAGUCUAUCCGGCCAAUUUUGAUGGGUUUAGGUUGCUUUGGAUGGUGAUUUUUCUUGGUUAUUAGCCGAAUUGCAUCCUAAUGGGCGCUUAAAUGUCAAAAAUACUCUUCAUCAGCUUAUAUCACCAUAUGAUACAACUGUCACAUGAAAUAUCUGUUAUUCUACCACAUCAUCUCUCUCUCUCUCUCUCUCUCUCUCUCUCUCUCUCUCUCUCUCUUCUUUGUCACGGUUGAACUCAAAAUAGAGGCGUCUUGCUCAAAGCUGCAAUGACACUUGACUAGACCUAGCAUCGCAUUUUAGUAAUUUUGGCAUGCAUUGAGCUAGAUGCGGCAUUGGAUCUCUACUUGAUCUAAUGUCGAGCCCAACACUGCAGUGGGCCGUCAUUGAGGACUCAUAACUCUAGGAUAAAUAUGUUGUUGCAACAAUCAAGCGCAUCGCCAAAUUGGAUCAAUGGGAUAUUCUUUCACAUAACAUGAUCAUGCUGGUAUAUGCAUUUUGCAAAAGAAAUCUUUAUCACGAAAAAAAAAAAAGACUUUUUCAAAACUUCUAUAUCAAAUUUCCUAUGAAACCGAGUUAAAUACCUUUUAGAAAAUUGUCUAGCGAGGGAAAGCAAGUCAAAGUCUUCCACCAUCUUCCUUGCUCAGUUGCAAAGAAAGUGGUAAGGCAAAAGCUGACAAGACCUAUUCAACAGAAUUUUUUUUUUUGGGAGGGGGGGGGGGGGGGGAAGAAUAUCCGGGAAACCCCAGUUUAAAUCUUCCUCCCAUCUUGUUUCCUUUCCAAUAAAGUGAUAAGGGCAAAGCUCACCAGACCCAAAAAAAAAGGGGGGAGGGGGGAAAGACCCGUUAAGAAAAAAAAUCAAAUUCUUCCGCCCAUUUGUUUUGUUUUGUACAAAAAAAGGGAUAAUACAAAAGUUGACCAGACCUCAAAGGGAAGGGGAAAAAGGGACGGCCUUCUUAGAAAAAUCAAGGCAAAGUCUUCCAUUCUCCUGCUUCCCUGAUUNNNNNNNNNNNNNNNNNNNNNNNNNNNNNNNNNNNNNNNNNNNNNNNNNNNNNNNNNNNNNNNNNNNNNNNNNNNNNNNNNNNNNNNNNNNNNNNNNNNNNNNNNNNNNNNNNNNNNNNNNNNNNNNNNNNNNNNNNNNNNNNNNNNNNNNNNNNNNNNNNNNNNNNNNNNNNNNNNNNNNNNNNNNNNNNNNNNNNNNNNNNNNNNNNNNNNNNNNNNNNNNNNNNNNNNNNNNNNNNNNNNNNNNNNNNNNNNNNNNNNNNNNNNNNNNNNNNNNNNNNNNNNNNNNNNNNNNNNNNNNNNNNNNNNNNNNNNNNNNNNNNNNNNNNNNNNNNNNNNNNNNNNNNNNNNNNNNNNNNNNNNNNNNNNNNNNNNNNNNNNNNNNNNNNNNNNNNNNNNNNNNNNNNNNNNNNNNNNNNNNNNNNNNNNNNNNNNNNNNNNNNNCUUACAAAGAAAGCGAUAAGGCAAAAGCUAACAAGACCUAAAAGAAGGGGGAAGGACUGGUGAGGAAAAGCAAGUCAAAGUCUUCCACCAUCUUACUUGCUUAGUUGUAGAGAAAGUGAUAAGGCAAAAAGCUAACAUGACCUAAAAGAAGAGGUAGAGGGAGAACUAGCAAAGAAAAGCAAAUCAAAGUCUUCCACCAUCCUGCUCACUCAAUUACAAAGAAAGUGGUAAGGCAAAAGCUAACAAGACCUACUCGAAAGAAGGAGGGGGCGGGCGAAGGAUUGACAAGGAAAAGCAAAUCAAAGUCUUCCGCCAUCUUACUUGCUAAACCAACAAGACCUACUCAAAAGAAAUGGGGGGAAAAUAUUCUAGCAAUUGAAAGCACGUCAAAGUCUUCCACCAUCUUGCUUGCUUAGUUACAUGGGAGAACAGAAACCAUUAUUUAUGGUGAAAAUAUUGUCUAAAUUUAAUUUAUAAAUGAUGUGACGGGGCAAAUCAAUUGUGAUAUAAUAAUUGUACUGAAAUUUGUAUUUUGCGGAGGGGGCUUUGUAUGGGGUUUGCAUGAUUUCUCUUAGGUGUUUUAUUAAAAUCUAAAUGUCUGACAAUACUACAUAAAUAUGUUAUACAUCAAACUAUCCUAUUGACUCUAAACAACUUAUAUUUAUCUAAUAGCACGUGGUAAUAUUAUUGCUCUAUAAUUAUGCUCUUUUUCCUUUAAAUUGACAAGAGUGAGCCAAUAUAGAUCAUGGUCCAUGAAUGUGAACUCACGAAUAUUUGAUACAUGUAAUCCUAAUGCUAGUCUAUCAUCGAGUGUUUGGCAAGAGUUGAAAUUGACAUGUGAAGGCUAUCUGUUACUUGAAAUUACAUCAACAUAUCCAAAAGCGAAUUUUCAUCUUUAUUUAAAUUCAUAAAAUCCUUUUUCCUCUGCCCUGCUUGCUUCGCUUUUGCUGCUCGUGAGUUGUUUUGUUUUUGAGAUUUACAUUAGAUCCAACAUUUGUUUUUGGUCCGGAUACAAUUCAGCACAUAUAUAAGAUUAAAAAAAAAAAACAAUUGCUCCAUAUUAUGAGAAUGCUAUUAAAAGGAGUAACAUGUAAAAUUAGUAAGAUUUUUUCCUUCUGAUGAGGAACAUCCUUGUUGUUUUAGGGCUUAACAAGUUAACGGAUAAUGGACUGUUAAACUGAUCUAAAAAAUCCCAUUUUGCUGGCUUUUAUUGGUCAUAAACCACAGGAAUCGAAAGUAUCUCAGUACUCUCCUAAGUGUCUUCUAGAGCAAUAGUUGGAUAAAUGGAAUAAGAUUGUAUCUUUGACUCUUCCCUCUUUCAUCAGUCCACUGAGAUGAGACAUCAAUGGCCCAAAAUGGAAAAGAACAAGAAGGAAUAAAUUCAUUCACACCCAUAAUCUUAGUACCAGCAAAUAUUAAAACUUCAAAACGAAGUUAAAAAUCUUGGGUUCUAUUGCUCAAUAGACAAACGCAAAGGAUCGACGCAUGAAGAGAACAAAGAAUAUUGUUUACCUUCACCAGCCAAAAGAUUGCAAGGUCAACAGCAAAUACAGGAAAGAAAUAGAAGAAAACCGUACAAAACCUUUUAUUAUUUACAAACACAUACCAUCCUAGAAACAAUAUGCAUGCCAUCAAGGGGAAGAGCUGAAAGAUUCUCUUCAACACAAAAUAACUGUAGUCAUACCUCAUCUUUUUUAACAUGUAAAAACAACCAUUUCAUUCGGCAAAAUUUACCACCCUAGUCAUGAAGAGCAUGAUAUUCAAAAAGCAAAUCACUCUCAAACGUACUUUUCAUGCACAUGGCAAGGUACUUAUAUCAUAAAAAUUAUUGCUUAUAUCACUUAACGUAAUUAGCCAAUAAAAAAUGUUUUCAUUAUCAACAAAAAUUUAGGUCCAAACAUUUUCAUGAGUCAUAAAAGUAUCUUUUAUUCAUUCGUUAUUGUUAGCGAUUUUAGUGGAAAUGUUUGUCAAAUUCAUUUUCUACACCCUUAAUGUCAAACAGCUUCAAUGUUUAAAACUAGGAGAGGGAAAUUUGAAAACAGACGUUUUACUUUGGUUUAUGGCAAGUAAAAUGGAUUGCAAAUAUCUUUGGUUUUUGCACGUGUGAAAAUGAGAAAACACGGUCUCUGCCUUCCACAGUGUUGCUAGGUCAUUGGAUGUGGGAACCAAAGAAGAUUUGCGUAAAAAAUUGAAUGCGGUUCUAGCGGAUAGUUUUCAAUUUUCACCCAUACUACGAGUUAAUAAUGGAUCGAAUUACAAAAUUUGUAAUAUUCUUUUUAUAUAAUUAUGAUGUAAUCAGAGCAGUUUGAUAUAUUUCAUUCCAUAUUUUUAAUUUGCAGCUUGCUUAAAUUAUAUUUAAAAGAAGGUAAUGAAGGAGGUGAUGUAUACUCAUAUUUAAAUCAAUCUCGGUUGGUUAUUUAUGUGGAAAGCAUACAACUUCCAAAUCAUGAUUGUUAGCUAAUCAUAUUUCAUAGCAUAGGGCGAGGGAAAGCAAAGUCAUCCUUCAUCUUGCUCACUUCAUUGCAUUUCCCAAGUCCUCUUUUAACCAAAGAAAGGGACAAGGCAAAUGCGGACAAAACCUACUCCAAAAAGUUAAUUAAUAAAUAAAAGACUGUAGUCAACGUUCAACUUUGGAGUGAUUCUUGUUCUUCCCCUGAAUUUCCUCGAAGGUGUGUGAAUGUGAGGUAAUCAUGUAUACCUAUCUCUAGGGGACAUCAUAAUUACAAACACUUAGGUUAUGUUCACGGCGAGACAAGAGACCGGUCUUUAUUGUGGAAAAUGUUGCAUAGGAUUAAUUUAUAAGUGACACAACGGACAGUGCUAAUCAUAAUUUGGAGCUUUUGGAUGAAAGUGUGGCUACUUGUGUUUUCUAGUAAGACCUGAUAUAGGGUUCUCAUGGUUUUUCAUAGAUUAUUUUAAGAAAUUUUGAUGUUUGUUGUAAAUUUGAUAUGCACUGAACUUUUCAUUUUGUUUAUUAACUCCAAGUAACUCUUAUUUAUCUAUACAUUUGCUGCUCUAUAACUAUACUUUUUUCUUUUUCCCUUUGAAAUGAAAAGGAGUGACCUAAUAUAAGUCACGAUACAUGAAUGUGAACAUGAGAAUAUGCGAUGCAUUCAAUUGCUAGCCUCAUGAAAGGUUUGAAGGGGGUCGACAUUGACUUGUCAAGCUAUUGGUUGCUUGGAAUAUACAUCAAUAUCCUAAGAAAAUUUGUCAAAUUUUCAUCUUUGUCCUAAUUCAUAAUGUGUUUUCUUCUCUCAUGCUUGCUCUGCUCAUGGUGAGUUUAUUGAGUCCACAUUAGUCCAAUUAGUUUCAUUGAUCCAGGGGAACAAUAGUACGAGAGUGCUAUUAAAAGGAGUAACAUGAAAAACUAACAAGAUUUUUGCCUUCUGCUAAGAAUCAAACUUGUCAUUUUCCGGCUUAACAUAUAACGGACCGUUAGACUGAUCUGAAAAAAUCUGAUUUCAUCGGCUUUUAUUGGAUAGAAACUACAUAAAUCAAAGGUGUGUCGAAACUCUAUCUAGUGUCUUCCGAAGCAAUACCAGGAUAAAUGGAGUACUAUUGGCUCUUUGACCCUUCCUCUUUCAUCUGUUGACUGAGAUAAGACAUCAGUGGCCCAAAACACAAAAGAACAAAAAGGAAUAAAUUCAGUGACACCCGUACCAACAAACAAAAGACUUCAAAACGAGUUUAAAAAUCCUGGGUUCUACUGCACAAUAAACAAAAAGCAAAGGAUCAACACAUGAAGAGAAAAAAAAGAUCCUUUACCUUCACCAGCCAAAAGAUUGCAAGGUCAGCAGCAAAUGCAGGAAAGAGAUCCAGAAGAAAACCAUAUGAAACUGUUUAUUACUUACAAGCAUAUACCAUCCUAGAAACUAUAUGCAUGUCAUUAGCGGGAAGAGCUAAAAGAUUGUCUUUAACACAAAUUAACUAUAGUCAUACGUCAUCUUUUAACAUGUAAACACAAUGAUUUCAUUCGGCAAAAUUGGCCACCCAUGUCAUGAAGUGCAUGGUAUCCUCAAAUUGGAGAGUUGCAAGCUGACAAAGCCAUUUAAAGGAUCGCAGCCUUCAGCCACUAAUCAUAUGUGAAAGACAGCCAAAUGUCAUGUGAAUCAGCAACUACUGUCCUAUUAGGCAAUACUAACAUUUCAGCCUUCCCAUUGUUCACAUGAAAAGCACGGAGAAUCAUAAUGACACGAGAGAAAGCAGUGUACAAUGAUAUACUCUUUAGUCAGUCAUCAUAUGUGUCAAGCAGAACCAUUUAAGGCUCCACUACCUUCAAAAUCAGAUCACCAAGUUUUGUAUCUUCAAGCCAACUUUGAAUGGUAGUUGCAGAUCACUUCUUCUAGGAACACUCUUGGGGAAAUCGAGCAUUUGAUGAUGUUAACCUACAUUCUAACAAAUACAGGUCAUUGUCUUCAUUUUCAGAGUCUUCAGCAACCCAACCAUCAUGAUUCACUUCACCAUUGGAUUGCCCAGCUGCCACUUCACUAUUAUCCUUUCUUGCAAGGAAAUGGGGAUCCACAAACAUUGAAGACACAUUCUGUGAGAGAGUAGUUUCUAAAUCUGGAUCUGCAUGGUCAGUAGCUGAAAUGGAAUGGAAGUCCUGAUCUCCAACCAUUAAAGAGGGGAGAGACUGUGAACUUCUAAUAACUCUGUACUGAUUUUGCUGACUACUUGCAGUUUUCACUAAAGACAUGGAACUACCCUGAACAGGAUAGGACUCCUCAUUAAGACAUGCUAGUCGGCAAAAGCACUCAAAAUUAGAGGCAGACAACAAGAUGGCUCAAAAAGAACAUAACUGUGCCUACAGUUGACAGCAACAAGGUAUUUUAGUAACUAAAAUAUAACCUUUCCUGGAUGUUGAUUGAUCAAACCAUUCGCGAUUCAAAAUAUGAAUGUGACCCCAUCUUUUAGCAACCUUGUAUUUAUCUUCUGGAGCUUACAGCCAGUCAAGGGCAUCGUAGUGGGACUCACAGUGCUACAGAGCAUCAUAGAUGAGGCCAAUAGAAAGAUUCAAUGGUAAUAACAUUGCUGAGCAAUGUGCUUUGAGCAACCAACAGGCAGUCCUAACUCACACUGGAAAAGCGAGAACUGGCUGAGGAUCUUUUAACAAUUGGUGGUUCAAAUUGUACGUUGUUUAACACCUUGUUUCCUUGAACCACAGAACACAAUUAUUUAGGACUGAUUUAGAGGUCAAAGUCAAUGAUAUUCUCAUGCUGGGAAGUUUCACUGUUUCUCAUCUGAGUAAUCAAAUUCCCAAGUAAAAGGAUAUUACCAAAAACCAGGAUUAAAUCAAGUAUAGCUAUUUCCUAUUUCAAACUAUAAUCGUCACUAAACCUUGAAAUGAUACAGAUCUUCUUUUCAAACUCUUAAAAGUGUUUUCAUAUGUGAGGACAAGAUAAAGAUAUGUGCAUUUUCACACAGCAAUCAGAUAUCAAAGGGAAAAUAUGCAAGCAAAUCACUGGACUUUAAUCUUGAAGGAGAAAAAGUUAUUUCUGCAAUUAAAUGAGUGCACUUCCUGGUCAAUUCUGCAGAAUAUUUCCCACCAUUUUGUGUGAUAUGCUUCUGAAUCUCCUUCCGUGCAUCUAAGAUAAUGAAGGACAUAAAAAUUGAAGAACUAAAGGACAACCAACAGCAGCAGCUAUAUCAAAUAAUCAGUAUGUGCAGAAAUUCCUGUGACACAUACAUUGUCGAUCCAGAAAAUGGAAGAACUCUGUAAGGCUCCCGAGGUACAACACGGUGCACAACACGGCAUUGGUAUAACCAAUUAAUGGCGACAACAGGUUUCUUCAGAACAUUUAAAGCCCACUGCACGAUGACAACAUUAAUUGAUAAAUACAAUUUAUCUUUCAAGAUGAAAUUCAUAAAAGACUUUGCACAGAGAAUAUUCAAAAAAAUAUGGAGGAAACUCUUCUUUAGUUCAGCCAACUCAAUGAGAGUACUAAGCUUCCCACACUUAGUGAAAAAGCAUAAUGAAUCUCAUUUAAAGUGAUUUAACCUUAACAAGAUACAAUAAAUUCACAACUCUUAAACUAAAUUCAAAUUAUUAACCCCAAGACCUAAACCUUGUAUUUUGCAGCCAAAAUAUUCUUCGCAGUUAUGAAGCUAACAUCUGCUGAAGUUUUGGUCUGUAGAACUCCCCACAUUGAAGUUACCAAUUUCUCAAUCUCAGCCUGUAGAUUUGCGGAAAUGGUGAAACAAUAAGAGAGACAACAGGCUGCCGCCAUAUUAGUUCAGACAAAAGCAUGUCUGAAGGCAAAAGAAUCAAGGCGUCACAUAGAAGGAUAUAUGGAUAAGGACAAGUGACGCACCACACUGAAUUUGAGUGACGAGUUACGACAAAAUUACACGCUAAAAAAUCAUACAAGGCCAGGCUUAUCUAGGAACAGGCAUACCUCCUCAUCCAUCUCAAAUCUAGAUGCAAGGACUUCAACACCAUCCAUUGCAAGACAAACAAGUAUACCCUUUUUGAGGUAGAGGUCUCCGUUCUUUUCUUUCGCACGCGAAACCACCACACACUGCGGACCUGCAAGAAAGAUCCUCCAUCAAAGUCAACAUUUUUUCCCAGGCAGAAGAACUCUUCUCGACUUGCUAGACCAGCCCAUUGACCCCAAUGCCUCCGCUUUCAUUUCUCAACUACAGGUCCUGGUUUAGCAAUAGCAGCCUUGAGGAAAAACCAGAAGAUAAGACUAGGACGAGAACAAGAUCUUUACCGACUAGCUCACAACCCUUUCGCUCGAAGAUCCUCGAACUUCUCAAGACGUAAAACAACCUCAAACCCAAUUCUCAAAAAUGAACCCAAAAGCCGUUAGCGCCGCCCAAUCCCAACGUACUCACGUGAUCGGGGAGAAGAAACAGCGUGAAUAUCGCGGGGCCCACUCCUGGAAGGGUCGCAGCGGACGGAAGGCCUCAGCUCCGUUCAGCUUGAGCGCGUCGAACGGCUCGGGAGGCACUCAAGUUCCUCGACACGAACACGGUCGACCCCCUGAAACGGCUUCGUCUUCGCCAUUUCCUAUAUCUUCCUUCUCCGGCAGCGACUUCCUCAACAGAUGAUCGGUCUCGUUGCUAAGGAUUUCUGCGAAAUCCAAAUGCAUGUGCGUGAGAGAGAGAGAGAGAGAGAGAGAGAGAGAGAGAGAGCAACGAUGAAGCGCGAAGGGAAUCGGAAGUUGGAAGAGGAUGAAGGAGGAGCGACUUGGGGAAAAAUCGAGUGGAGUGAGCUUUUUCUGAAUUCUUCCCCCAAAUUGGGAUGGAUUAGAGUAUGAGAAAGCGCGGGAAUGGGGGUUUUUCUUGCCCUCUUUUCGGAUUUUCCUUUUAAUUCUCCUUUUUUGUGCUAUUAAUUUUGUGGAUAAUUUCUCAAAAACUCCCCAACUUUCACACCGUUGCAUGACUGCUCUCCAACUUUGAAAAAGUUGCGCACCAUGCCCUCGCCGGCGACACGAGCCAUGAAAAGAAAAUAAAAGAAAAGAAUAAAAGCAAAGAAUUCAAAAAGAUUCUUUUAAACUUUGCAAAAAAUUAUUCAUAUCAACAUUGAUUAUGUUACAACAAAUGAUCGAUAUUCACGUCAACGAUUUUCAAUUAAAAUUAGUAAAAAGAACUACAUUAAUAAAUUGUCAAAGUGUUAGAACUAAAAUGACCAAAUUAAAAAAUUUAUGAUUAAAUUGAUAUUUUUUAGAAUUAUUUUGUUAAUUUUCUCUAAGAAGUUAUUCACAUGUCUACAUCAAAACUUCACAUGAAGUCUUUAUUGUGGACCCAUAAGUGCCGAAAAAUUACAUUGAAUUAUGGAGAACACUUUUUAUCAUGUUUCAAGAGCAACAAAAAUCGGGGCUUCUUGGCGAUAAAUCUUUUUAUAGAUCUGUUUUUUGGUCGAUAUCUUUUUAUAGAGUUCAACUCUACAUUGUAUGACUAACCAAAAGGAUUUUAGAGACACUUUCAAAGCAAAUCCUAAUAUUAAUUAUUGUCACGCCCCGAACCUCGAGCACGCGCACAUCCCACUGCGGUCGAUAGAAAUGCUACUUCCCAGGACACGUCGCCGACCCAUUCUUUUUAAUUACACAUGCGGAAGCGGAUAAAUAAUCCCCAGACAGAACUCAAUUGGGAUAGAAAAGCAGGAUCACAUUUUUAAAACCAACCACAUACUUUUUAUACAUAUCAAACCAGUUCAUUUACAGGACUAGGCUAUUUACAAAAGAUAUAUAGAAGAUCAGUCCUCAAAAACUAGGCUGUCCUAAGAUCAGCUAGACAGGUCCAUUCACCAGCUCUUCAGUCGGGAUCGGCGAAGUCAAAAAAAUCCUCUCAGCGACCCUCACUGGUCUACCAAAAAGCUUCGGAGGAUCCGCCAUCUAAGGACCUGAAAUAUUAUCCCACAACCGGGAUGAGACGAUGUCUCAGCGAGUCCUACCCUCUAAAACUCAAUUAGGAAGAAAAUAAGCCCCAGGGUGCUCUAGCCACACAAAGAGAAUAGAGGACUUACCUCGCCUCAGUCCUUCCUGCACGUCAGUGCAACUCAUACGUCGAUAAAUUCAUACCAUAUAUCAAUUCAUAUCAUCUAUCAAUUCAUACCAUCUAUUCAUCCAUUGAUAAAUCACGGCUCACACAAGCUAAUAUAGAUGGUAGCUCGCACAAGCUGAUAUAUGCAUAGAUGAUAGCUCACACAAGCUGAUGUAUGGAUCGAUGCUCUCACAAGCUGACAUCUAUAAACCAAUUGCUCGCCAAAGCGGAUAAUUCAAUAAUAAACCAACUCAUAUCUCAAUUCAAUCAAUCAAUCAAUCCAAUCGAUUCAAACUGGUCAUACAAAUCAAUUACGGUGCUAAAAGCUAACACCGGGUAUUUUCAAGUUAAAUACCACAACUUCAUCAAUUUCACACAAUUCCACACUUUUGGAAUUAUUAACCAUAAUCAUCAAUCACUCAAUUUCUCAAUUUAAACAUACAAUUAGCACAAACCGACCGCACUGCUGCGAUCAGCGCGAAAUUCUAACGACCGGCCAUCCCGGCAAAAUUUUCGAAAUUAUUAAAUAAUUAAAAUUUAAUUCCGAAAAUUAAAUAAUUAAAUAUUAUAUUAUAACAAUAUAAAAUAAUAAAAUAAUAUUUAAAAAUUCGAAAUAAUUAUUUAAUUAAAAAUAAUUAAUUAGGGCUUAAAUUAGAUUACACUAAUUUAAACAUACAAUUAGCCCUAAUUAAACAUCCCUUAAACUAAUCAUACAACUAAUCUAAUUUACAUUAAAAUAAUCUAAUCUAACCACUUAAACCUAAUUAGACUAAUAUAAACACCCCUUAAGCAUGAUUAACUUGCUAAGCAAGGUUUAGAGGAUAAACUCACCGGUUUUGCGCGCCGGUGAGUUCACGGCGACCACGACACCAAGGCGGUCAAUAAACCCCAAAGCAGCGACACCAACGGAGGCCGGGAAGACACUGAAAACGGGCCUCGAAGUCUGGAACUUCUUGCUGUGUUCUGCUUCUGAUUUGGACUGAACUGCAGAGAAGAAACCAGCAACUUCAACGGCGAAAACGGGCUGAUCGGAGCUCUGGCGAGCGGGUGGCUGGCAACCGGCGGCUCCCGGGGGUCAAGGAAAUCUUAUUGGAGGUUGGUAUGGGUGGAGGUAGGGUAGAAAUGGGGUGAAAAUGGCUGAAAACCGCGAAACGGGCGAAAUAGGCGGAACCAGGCGAGUCCAGACGGUCCGGAGAGCGGCGGCUUCGGGCGGCCGUACGGGACAGCCGGAGAAUCUUUCCGGCGAGCGGUGAGGUGCUCCGGAACGGGCUGGAUGUCUUCUUCGCGGAGAUGGGUGGCUCGUUCGCUGAUUCAACUGGGAAGUUAACUUUUUACUCGGAUCUUUGGCGAAAGGUCGACUGGAGCAGAAACUGGAACGAGGGGAAAACAAGGAGAAAAAGAGGUCCAGCGGGCAAGAGGAAGCUUCGGGCGGCUCCCAGGCGGUGCUGUGGCUGUCGAACGGCGAGCUAAACGGCCAGAGGACGUGGGACGAAGGCGAAGCAGCGGCUGGACUCGCGGUUGCACGGGACUGGAUGCGACGAGCAAGCUAGCUGCUCCGGUGGGCUCGCGGGGCUUCGGACGGCUGCUGGUCGCUCUCCACUGGUUUCUCAAGCUUUUUCCCUUCCUCAACCAUGGAGAAAGCUGCCGCAUGAGGGAUUCAAGGAAGGAGAAGCUUCGGCUGAAGCAAGGGGCCCCCAAGAGCUCUUCUAGCUUCAACACUUGUCAAUCUCUCUCUCUCCUUGUCCCCACCAUGGCCGGCCCACCCUUCAGCCUCUUUCUCUCUGCUCUAGCUUCCCUACAAGCUAGUUAAUAGGUCCAAAACGUGGCGUGCCAAGGGGAUUUCGAAUUUUGAACAUUUGUUCACUUAAUUCACUCAAUUGCCAAUUAAUUCCAUCCAAUUGAAGCUCAAUUAAAUCAACCCAUGUGUCCUCGGCCUUCUCAUGACAUUUCCCCAUCAAAUGAUUCAACUUGCAUCCCGAAGAUUCGAUUAAAAACGGCCCUCUGACAAUCCCAAACAAAAACGGCCUUACUUUGCUUUUCCGCCAAAAAUCUCGGUUUGUAGAAAAAUCUUCUGGAGAUGAGUCGACGUUCUUAAAGUGAAUUGUGACAUGCCAGAACCUUCAAUUUCUGAAUUCGGGUUUAAAAUCACGGUUAAUUUUAAUCUAGCGCGAUUUGAGCGCGUCCUAAUCUACCAGGUAACUUUUAGGAAAUUUUCAGUGCAAUUGACCGUGGUUGAUUAUUUUCAAGCCACGACAUAAAUCUUCGACACAUUAGCGACUUCCGAUUGUCAUGAAAAUCUCAAGGUUUUCAAAUACGGACACAGGGUACCAAAAACGACAGAAUAAUCAGUUCAGUGCCGGUCGACGAGGAUAUUGAAAUCAGGUGGAAUCACCCACACUCUAAUUACAUAUCUCAGUCGAAUCGACCUAUUACUAAUCUCUGUUCAAUUCUGACAGUUUCGUAAUGAUCCUUGCAGAUUUAUACGGUCGAGCAGUCGGUUCAUGGUCAGAUUCUUAAGCCUAUUGCAUUUAAAUUCCUUAACGGCUUCACCUGAUAGACUAGUUAUCUCGUGAGUGAUCAGCUCGGAGAAUUGAACUAUAAGCGCGUCGAUGAAAAGUCCGUCUCAUUUAAUUGAAAACAGAAUCAGAAAUUUGGGAUGUCACAAUUAUAAUAAUAAAUGUGAGUCAAAAAUUUCAUUUUGUAAAUUUAAAUCCCAAAAUUUGUAACUCCAACAUAUGUGGGUCCUUUUGUUAAUUUUGUCAGAUAAUAACAAGUAGGCUUUUUCUAUCCACGGGGCAUUUUCUGUCUACUAAAACCUAAUAGGACUAACGAGAAGACUAAAGUGGAUGAAUACGAUAAGUUGAGGGCUCAGAUGCACGAAAUGAAAGUUUUGAGACCCAAAUGUACCGUCACGACAUAUUGACUUACAAAUUCAUCAUGCUAACAAAACUUAUGAUCGAUCAUUCCAUAUACUUGACUUUGGAAAUAUGCUUGCUACGUUUGCACAUAUAAUCUUGGGACAAAUAUAAUAACUGCAAAAAUCCAACGAAUCAAUCCAUGACACCUCAGGUCGGACAUGAGUAUCGCGAUAUUGGACAAAGCAUUCAGAGCCUCGUGAAACUUGCAAUCUUACAAGAUGAAAAAGGAAGCCUGGUAGGAGUAGAUGUACAAUUAGAUCCAAUCUAUAUUUUGGGACUUCGGAAUCUAUAGAGGAGGUGGGACCCCUAAAUUCCAACACACCUCGUACAAAGAAGAUUUUGAAUGAGCCAUCAAGCUACAUAUAAACAAUUUACGUAUAGGUAUAUUGGUUUAUAUGAUAAAUCUACUGUUCAUCAGAAAUGUCUUUGAUCUCAGUUUCUAAACAAGUUUGUAUUAAGGAUUCUCAAGCGGGACCGCUAGACUAAUUCACAAGUAUGCCCACGGUUAGCCUUAAUAUAGGAGUUGGCCAAACACAUCUCUGAUCCAAUAAAAUCAAUUGGACUCCGCGUGAUCAAACAGUCAAACACAAAAGUUUUGGGAAAUCUCGAUCUGUUUGCCCUGCCGCUCCCAACUUAUGCACCUAGUAAGGUACUUCAUUACAUAAUGACCAAGAGUACCUUGUCCACCAAGUGACAAAACUUAUGGGUAAUUACCGCUCUAUAUUGAUGACAUAGAAGACGAUCUCCAAAAUAAAAUCAAAAAAGGAAACUAUUUUUAAGGAAAAAAGGAAUUUACAGCUCUUGCCCCAAAAAAUCAUCGUUGGAGAUAUGAUGUAACGCCCCGAUCCUCAGGCACGCACACAUCCGUCUCACUUGGUCGGUUUUAUAAUGCGAUAUCCCAGGACAAUGUAUCACCGACCCUUUCUUAUUUAAGCACAUGCGGAAGCAGUUAAAAUCCCCAGACAAUAAAACGAUGGGAUAGAAAAGCAGGGUCAUAUUUUUCAUAUUGAAAUUUAUAACCAAACUUUUGUACAUGACAUCCACUAAAGAACUUCAUAACUAUUCACAUCAAUUGGAGUUCACAAAAGAAGAUGAAAUAUCAAUCCCUUCAGGUCAUACUCAAAAUCUCUCUCCGUAUUAUCUUCUUCUUCCAAAAGUCCUUCUACUCAGGUUUCACAUCCGAGUUCUCCUUCUCAGAUUCCUCCUCAGCUCCUCAACGGGGUCCUGAAAUGUUUUUCCCCAAACUGGGAUGAGACUACGUCUCAGCGAGUUCUACCCCACUAAGCCCAAUUAGUAAACUAUUAUACUAUAGGCUGCCUAUACACGCAUAGGGCAGAAGACGUACCUUGGCCUCAUAUCCCACCUGCAAGUUAGUACAAUUCAUAAUAGGCACUCAAGCAAUCAGAUCACUUAUCGAAGCAUCGAUCAAAUCGACCUAGUCGAUUAUAUGCCAGGAAGACCAUUCAUGAUCAUCUCCAUUCAAUCAUUCAAUUCACAACAUCCAACCAAGGCAAUGAAUCACAUCAAGUCACACUCAGAUCGAAUAAUCGAUCAAUCGACCUAGUCGAUUACAAGUCAAUCAGACCAUCUCAUGGUCAUUUCCAAUCAAUCUGCCCAUUCACAACAUCAGAUCAAGCAAUGAUCAAUCGACCUAGUCGAUUACAUAUCAACAAGACCACUUCCGGUCAUUUCAACUAUUCCAAUUCAAUUCCCAAUUAUGAAUCACGGUCCUUAGGACACAACUUAAUUAUAGGUGGUAAUCAUGGCCCCACCAAGCAAUUUUCUUAGAUUUAGUAGCAUUACGGCCCCACUCAGCAAUAUCAUAUGUAGUGGCAUCACGGCCCCACUCGGCAAUGUCAUAUGUAGUGGCAUCACGGCCCCACUCGGCAAUGCUAUAUGUAGUGGCAUCACGGCCCCACUCGGCAUGUAGUGGCAUCACGGCCCCACUCGGCAAUGCUAUAUGUAGUGGUAUCACGGCCCCACUCGGCAUGUAGUGGCAUCACGGCCCCACUCGGCAUGUAGUGGCAUCACGGCCCCACUCGGCAAUAUCAUAUGUAGUGGUAUCACGGCCCCACUCGGCAUGUAGUGGCAUCACGGCCCCACUCGGCAAUAUCAUAUGUAGUGGUAUCACGGCCCCACCCGGCAACUUUUUCAAUAUAUUGGCAUUAUCAACCGAUGCCCGGUUAUUCUUCAAGUAAUAACCAAAGAUUAUUCAAUUUAGGAAUAAAUCCUAAAAUCACUAAUAAAUCAAUUUCUCACAAAUUAAGCCUCGAAUAAAUAAACGAACCACACCAUGACAAUCAGCAUGAAAUUCCGGUCAUCGGCCAUCUCAAACUUAAUUUCCGAAAAAUAAAUAAAUAAUUAAUUAAUUUCUAGAAUUAAAUAAUUAAUAUUAAAAACUCAAUUUAGCCCAAAAUAAAGCCCGAUUAAAUAAACGGACUUCACCACGGUCAUCAGCAUAAUUUUCUGGUCACGGGUCAUCCCAGUUGAAUUUUCAGGAAAUAAAUAAUUAUUUAAUUAAUUUCGAAAAUUAAUUAAUAUUAAAAAUUCAAUUUAGCUUAAAAUAAAUUCCGAUCAAAUAAACGGACUUCGCCACGAUCAUCAGCAUAAUAUUCCGGUUCCAGAUCAUCUCCCUCAAAUUUUCGGAAAAUAAAUAAUUAUUUAAUUUAAUUCCGAUAAUUAAUAUUUAAAUGCCAAAAAUCCCACUUAGGCCCGAAUCACCAAAUUGAAGCUCAAUUAGGAGUCCGAAAAUUCCCGAGAUGCCUUCAAUAAAUAGUAGACCACGUCUACUUGCUAAUUACGCAAUCAAUUUAUCUAAAUCGCAUCACAAUUGACUAAUAAUUGCUAAUUAAUUCUAAUCUAACAACCUAAACAUAAUUAAUUAAAACUAAACCAACCUAAAGCAUAAUUAAUCAACUAAUCCGGGAUUAGUGAGAUUACUCACCAAAUCGCGCGCAAAUCGGAUCAAUCCGACGGCGGCGACGCGAGGAACAAUUCUUCCCAAAGCGCGGCUCGGGUUCGGGGCCGGGAAACGGCCCAAAACGGCCUUGAACAGUGCUGGAAACCCAUUUUCUGACUUCUCUGAUCGCUGCUGGAAGGGGCGGAUCCGGGGCUGAUUCGAGCUAGCCAAGGCCGGUGGAGGGCGAGGGGACUCCGACGGGUCGAAGUGGCGGCGCACGGUGGCCGGAGGUGGCCGAACCGUGGCCUGUGAUGGCCAAAACGAAGCUGAAUAGAGGCGGAACAGGGGUUGGGUCGCACAGCGAGGACGGUAGGUGCGAUCGUGAGGCGGCGGUGCGCGCGGCGUCGCGCGGGCGGCGGUGCGGCAGCUCCGGUGCGGCGGCGUCCAGGCAGCUGGUCGCGGUUCCUUCCGGCGACGCUGGACGCUGCUUUACUUUCUGCUGUCCUCUGGUUUGCACCAGUAAGAGGAGGGAGAGAGAGGCGGAAGAGAGGGCGUGCGGUGAGGUGCGGCCAACCGCGGAGCAGAGGCGGCGGCUCCGGCUUCGGUGGGCGACGACGGCAGCUGCUUCUGCUUCUCUGGUCUUCCGCUCCCAUGGAGGUUUGGAGAAAAGGAAGAAGAAGAUAGGGAUGGAUCCGUUGACGGAGGAGAGAGGGGAGGAAGAAAAAUUCAAUUUCCCCUCGUCCUCUCACACACUCUCUCUCUCUCUUAGGUCAUCACACACUUGGCCCACCAUGACAUCAUGUGAUGUCACCUUCCACUCACAAUUUCUUGUCAAUUCUACCCCUUCUAGAAGCCUUUAGAUAGGCCAAAAUGUGGGGUAUGUGUGGCAUACGAAUUUGCUAGGUUUUCUUUCCAAUUGGGCCUUAAUUCCUCUUGAAUUAAAUCAAAUUGACCCCCAUUAAUCCAUGCAACACCUCAUCAUUCUAAUUGGUAUUUUUCCUUACCAAUAUAACCCACUUGCAUUCCAACUUCACAAUCCCUGGCUUCAACUGAACGAAAAUGGCUCUAUUUAUCCAGUCGAAUUAAAACCCGAAAAUCUGGAUGUCACAUAUGAGGCGUCCUGCAAUGCCAAUUAACUACAAAGGCAAUGAUAACCAGUCAAUCAAAUGAAUUCAAUUAGCUAUUGAAAAGUUCAACAAAAGGAAAUGAACUUAUGUCGUAAGGGACAUCUUAAAGGUAUAUGCUUUUUAAUUCUCGCUAUGUAGCAUUAACUAGACUGUUCAAAACUCAGAUGUGCAAUUGGUUGAAGGUUUAUUUUAGGGGGAAGAGAGGGAUUGGAUUUGGUAGAUACGAGUCUUACCUCUCUGGCCUUCUUUGAAUGGAAAGGCACUUCAUUCAAAUCCACCUCCAAUUUUCUCUUAAUCUUCUUCUACGGCAAUAUCGCCUUUCCUUGUCUCGCAUCUUCUGAGAAGGUGCCCAAAGUUAUCUUGGUUUCCUUUUGUUUAAUUCUAUCUGAUCUGCAAUAGUUUAUCAGGAUUCUUUUAGCACCAGAUGAUGGUGAUGAUAAUGAUUUUUUUUUUUUGGUCGAAAGCAGAUAUAUAUUAUAUAGCUAACCAAGAGUUCCACCGUUUGCCAUACGGUCAGUACAGAUAAUAUCCAAAAGAGGUGAUGAUAAUGAUUGAUUACAGCUACUUUUAUACAACACAAGGGAGCUUUUCCUUUCCAUCCAUUCCUUUGUUUGCCGUUUUCGAUGCGGAGCUCCACAUGUAAUCUUGGCAUACAAUUAAAUACGCUCAGAUUGGAGAGAUGGAGCGGCUGGGAUUUUGGUCCCAGAAUCAGGUCAACAUGGUAAGGAUCGAAAGCCUUUUUGCAUAAAGAUAUUAUGGGCAAUGAGUCAACCCUCACUCCCCACCUUUCUUAUAGAUCCAUGACAUCUUUACUAAUUAGGGCAACGUUGUUGUAAUUAUAGGUGCAAUAAUUUUGAAGAAACGCCCAAAAAAAAAAAAAUCGCUAGGCCUCCACGGAACGAAGAGUUAUUUUCUUGCGUCAGCUGAGCGGAUGUGGAGUGCGUGCUAAUUACACACGGGUGUAAUUUGGUGAUUAGUUGGUAAGGAGAUGGUGUGUGAUUUUAACUUUCGACAGGAGGGCAAUUUUGGAAAAAAUAGAGCGACAAAAUGAUGUUUUGGUGAAAACAAAGAGGUGCAAAUGCUGCGAUAUUCAAACCCAGGACCACGAGCGAUAAAGAUUGAAUGGCAAUGAACUUAUUUUGCCGUUUGGAGAUAGAUCUUCAUACACCCAUCAAAAGGGUGUUUCAAGUUUGUUUUGGAACGAGUCGAAAAUGGUCCGGCCCAAAUAAACUCAUUUUAAUCCAUUUUAAUCCAUUUUACAUACAAUAUGUAUAUAGUGACUCAUAUCUGGCAUGUUCCGCAUUGCUAAAACAUCUCUUUAUUUGACCUAAAUCUAGGAAAAUUCACAUCCAAAAUCGAGGUGGGUCGGGUCAUAAACCCAUUUAAUACUUCAUCAUUUAUUAUAUUCGUUUACAGUCUAUUUUGAUGGGUUUAGAUACUCAAGAGGGAUAAAAAGACAAAAACACGCCCGGAUUGGAUCCGGACUCAGCACUGCAUUCGCAGCAGCGAUUGCAACGGGCAAAUGGCCCCUUUCCUCGCCCGACCCACGAUCCAUCCCCCACAUUUCUCGUCCGUGGCACGUGGCUGGCAGGUGCAGAGACAGAGAGAGAUUCGAAAGCUUCCGGUUUUCAUGUGACCCCACCUCGAACGCCCACAUCCGCCAGCUUCAGCGCUUGGAGUUUAAAGGAAAAAACGACGACGCGGCACGAACCGUUCGACCUUGGCAGUUCUUGGCAGAGGGGAAUGCCGUUUCACUCUUCCAUCCCCCGUUUUUAAAUUUUUCAUCUUUUCUUAAUUUCCUUUUUUUCUUUUUCUCGAAUAUGGUUAAAGGCCAAAUCCCCAUUUUCCCCCCUCCUCCCCUUUUCUGGAUUUUCAUACAUUCUUUUUUCUCCUCCGCUUGGGAUUUUUAUGCAGGACGAAAUUUCCAGCUUUUUUUUUUUUUUUAUAGCUAAUUUAAUGAAAGAGAUCUUGAAAAGGGGAAGUCCAGCCGUGUAUAUCCGGGUACCCUUCUUUGUUUCCAUUUUCAGUUAUUGGCAAUAAAAUUAUUUUUGAAUAGUGGAGAACCUCAAUUUUUGCAAAAAAUGAGAAUGAAUCACUCGAGAUAGAUCAGAUGUGUUGUAUAAAAAAAAAGUAAUGCAAAUGCUUUGGCCACUCACUAGGAUUUUGACUUAUGUUUUAUCUGGUUCAUGACGUUAAAAGGUUAUUUUCGGGGAUUUUUCUGAAAUUAGAUUAUCGUCAAAAAAGAAGUACAAGUAAAUUAUAAGACCGGAUCAAUAGAAUUUAUGCAAAGUCUUCUUUUUUUGGGUCUAAAAAUUUAAAUUACAGCUGCCCCCUGUGGUGGAGGACUGUGCGGAAGACGCGCCUGUCCGAACCGGUGAGGUCAAAAGUUGCCAUCCCCUUGCCUCAGUUCCCAUCCUACCAAAAAUUCACAAAACUCGCAUCUUUCGUCUUCCUCCUCAAGAGCCUCUCUCUCUCUCUCUCUCUCUCUCUCUCUGUGAAAAAUGCUUUCACCACCAUUCGCUCUGAAAAUGUAGAACAGGCACAGCAGUUUAUCUUCUCCAUCGAGUAUCGAGCGAGCGUCGACCAUCAUGGGGAAAAGAAGUGGCAAAACCCUAAUCUCCCACACCCUAGCAGUUUAUCACGAUUCUUUUAGCAUCGGAUGAUGAUGAUAAUUGAUUACAGUUACUUUUAUACAACGAGAGUGAGCUUUUCUUUUCCAUCCUUUCUUUUGUUUGUUGUUUUGAAUGCGGACUUAAAUAUGCUCAGAUUGGAGAGAUGAAACAGCUAGGAUUUUGGUUUGAGAAUCAUGUCAACAUGGUAAGGAUCGAAAGGUUUUUGGCGUAAACAAAUUUAGGAACCCUAGCAGUUUCUACUAUUGGGCUGUGAAUAGGUCUGCUGCCUAAAUCAAUAGAAAAUCUCUCUGGCGGAGUUGUGGCUGAGCAACUAAAAGAAUUGGAACUGACUCCUCUGUUUUAGGCGCCAACAUCUUUGUCUGCCUCAUUUUCUCUUGAUCCUCCUAUAAACAGAUGAUACGAACGGCAUAAGCUACCAUUUAGUCGCAUAUAUUUGCUAACACGUCGCACUUGGAAGAAAAUUCACAUAUAGGAGUAAAGAAGAAAGACACUACUCUACAUUCUCAUGAAAAGCAAAACUGCAGAUACUUUUACCACUAUGAGGUCUCCAAAUUCAUAAAUUACAUCACUCAAGGCUUAUACAUUAUUAUACUAUCAAUGUCUAAUCUAUUCUAUAAAGCAAACAAUCAAUUUAAUUUCUUUGCGACUUGGGAAUCACCAAUUCCUCCAUCCAAUGAAGAAACAUAAAAGCCAUAUUAAAUAGCAAUUACCCAUUAAAAAAAAAGUCAAAGUUAUAGGCGGAAUAAGCGAAGAUAAUAUAAUAAUCACUUUGAAGGAAGAGUCAUGUGGCGGGCAGGUAAAACACAAAACAAAACAAAACAAAAAAAAUGGCGUUCUCCCUUUUCACCAAGCACUGCAUAUUCUUUUUCAGUUCAUGGAAAAGGAAGUUCCUGGAAGAACGUAGAAAUAAUCAUACCUUGUGUCUGCUAUAAAGUGCCCUUCGCUUCUCUUUGGCCCUACAAAUUGCCAUAAAAUCAUUUGGCCACAACUCUGCAAGCUGUACCAAGUCUCCAAAAAGUCAAGACAUUACACUGACAAAAGCCUCGUGAUAUACGAUCUAGUGGAAUAGGAUUUGAUUCUGCAAGCGGUUCAGUAUGAACGAAGAAAUUUUGAACAAAAAAUUAGUGGAUGCUAGUAAAAACCAAUUGAGGUGAUAAAUAAAUAGAGAUCGUAUAAAACCAUUUGCUAUGUAGAGAUGGCAGGCUCCACGGAAACAUUCUUUAUUUUAAUAUGCUGAUGCCUACAUACCUCACAACCUCAAUUCCCCCCGUAUCUUCUUCUUUUCAAGUAGGAAAGAAUACCCUUUAGUUGUUUUACAUCUCAGUGAUCCCGAGGUCCGAACGAGGACAAAGACCAAAAGAUGAUGAAUAAAUAGAGAUCAUAUAAAAUAACAAGUCAAGCCAACCAAUUCAGUGGUUUCUCCACGUUUCAUUAUGCAUGCUAUCACGAUUAUCAUCAAAAUGUUUACUUGAACGACUUCACAGAGACCCAAAGUUGACAACUGCAGCCAUUUCAAAAAGCAGGUUGCACUGUCCACCCUUUCAAUUAUUUGUUAAUUCAGAACAAGGGGAAAGGCAGGUUUGGUGCUUGCAUAAUUUCAUAUAAUUGCAUAAAUAAAUCAUAAACUAACACGUGUGGAACCCACAUCAGGAAAACCAUCACCAUGUUUGACCACUAUAUGAACAUGUGCUUGCAAUCAUGACCAUAAAAUAUAUUAAAUAUUAGCACCGUAAAUGCAGUUGAUCCCACAUCCAACUAUUAUUUCCUGCAAACUGUGGCAAUAUACACAAUCGUGAUGGUUUUGUCAAUACUUCACGAAGAGGAACUGUUAAAACAAGAUUGCAACAUGUCUAUAGCAGCUAGAGAGCAAUACAAAUAGUAAUUUUUAGUUUUGGGGCUAGUGGUACCUCAGCAUAUAAUUUUCUGACUUGUGGACCGAUGUCCGACCCUGAAAGCAUGAGAUCUAAUAAAAAAUCACAUUUAAAAGUAGCUUUCUAAAGCACGUUUCAACUUUAAAAAAAAAGAAGCACGUUUCAACUUGAAAAAGGCAGUACAAAAAAUGUAGACGAAAUAUGUACUUCAACGAAAAGAUUAUAGAGAUCACCAAUAAAUCUUAUUGACACCCAAAUUUUUAUCUAAGUUUUAAAUGUCCACUCAUUUUCCAAAAAUACAAAAUUCUAUAAAAUGAUAAAAGGCCAAAAAUAAAAUAUACUUAACAUAAAGAAAAUAGUAAUAAUGGAAGUAUAAAGAUCCAAAAAAAUUAUAUAAAAAAAAAGAAAUGAAAGAAAAUAAGUGGAAUGAAGAGGAAAUAAAUAAAUAAAUAAAAGAGUAAAAUGAUUAAGUCGAACGGGCCGGCCCCACUCCUUUAACAAAUGGUCGGCAGCUCCUUCUUUCCGUUGGCCCAUCCGUUGAACUAUUUUUUCCAGCCCAUUUCUUUCAUCCCUUUUGUUUCCUUCAUGGCCCAUUAGAGUUGUAAAAAAGAGAGAGGAGCCCAGCCCAUGGCCCCUUCUCUUCUCUAAGUGGGCGCUCUCCAGAGAGAGAGAGAGAGAGAGAGAGAGAGAGAUGGUAGAAGGACGUGCUGUGACCAAAAAAGGGAACGUCCGUGAGCGAGGGUGAGGAGCGACGAGCAAGUGACGUGAGCGUGCCCAAGCCUUCUAAUAGGUGAGCUGUCGCGUGAGAGAGAGAGAGAGAGAGAGAGAGAGGGGCGUAGCAGAAAAAAGAUUCGGCUGAGAGGAGCGCGGCUGGUUUGGCAGAGAGAAAGGGGGGGGGGGGGAGACUAAUGGGGGGGGUAAGGACAUCCGCGGUCAAACACUUGUCUUUGGGAACUCUGUUGCUUGGCUUUGUUUAAAACGGAGCCGAAACGAUAGCUGGGUAUAAAAUAAAAUAUAUAUAUAUAUAUAUAAUCUUAAUAUAGAUUAAUCUAGAAUAUGUAUAUUUUUUAUAUAUGUGUUGAUGCCUCAAUUUUAAUUAGGUUUAUUAAUUAAGUUUUUAUUUUGUCUUUUUCGAAAUAAUAAACAAAUAACAAAAACAACAAAAAAAUCAAUAAAAACAAAAAGAAAAGCAAAAGCCCAGCCCCUCUCCUCUUUUCUUUUCCUUUGCGCAGGUCCGCGAGGCCCAUCCGCAACCUAACCCGGCCCGGCCCCCUCUUUCUCCUUUGUCUUCUUCCUCCCAUCUUCUUCUUCCUUCCUCCUUCUUCCGCCUCUGCAAGACACGCGCGGCAACGAAGACGCGCUCAAGCACAACCUACAACAGAGAGAGGAGCGUAGGCCGGUGGCUGAGAGGACGCAACAUUGAAGGCGAGCAUGCCUCCGUGGAAGGGGGAAGAUUUGACGCCGGUUUAGCCGCACCCAGGGCCGGUCGGCGUGCGAGGGCCGACAGCCGAACCUCCGUCGACCGGCCUCCUCCUCGCCUAUAAAUAGAGGAGCACCUCCGUCAAUGAAAACAAGAGCGAGCUCCGAGAUCUUCCCACUGAGAGACUUCGGGGGAGGAAUUGAAGAGCGAGCGAGAGAGAAAUCGGGCCGUGAGCUCGGCCGACCUCCCACUGAGAGACUUCGGGGGAGGCCGCCGGCGAGCGAGUCCGAAGAGGUCAGAUCCGGCCGGUGGAGGCUUGGAUCUGGCCAGAGUGAGAGAGAAGCGAAGUCGGAGGAGGUGCAGGGGUUCUGGAUUCGCGAAGAGGGGCGGAAGAAGGUCCCACCCCCUGACGCUGCUACUUUGCCGAAACCAAGCCACCGCCGUCGUUGUGACCCAGCACCAGCCACGAACCACGAGAUCCCGACGCUAGUUGCUGCUGCUAUCUCCCCCGCGAGCCGCUUCUGCUAUGAAGUUUGAAGAACCAACGCGAAAUCGAAGUCGCCGUAGCGAAGUUUCCCCGGUCGUGCUGAUCCAUUGUCGCCGCCAUCGUUCGCCGCCGCACCACGCCUUCUCUGCAAACAGGUAACAGCGGGUCUCACUCGCGCCGUCACCGUCGAAACCCUAACCACUGUCCGUCCGUGUCCCGGCCGCCGAGUCACCGCCGGGUGACGUCGCUUCCCUAGUGGAGUCGUCAGCAGCCGCUCGUCGUCGCCCUAGUCGUCGUCGCUGUGGAAGACCGUCGUCGCUGCCGUCGCCGACGCAAGCCGCCGCCUCAGUUCCUCCAUAGGCGUCGCGAGUAGAGAGAGGUGGGAGAGAGAGAGAGCCGCGAAUCGGAUGGAAUCGGGUCGAGCACAUGACCCGAUUCCCCUAGGGUUUUAGUCACGCGGGCUGGGAAGGGCCCAAUUUUGUCUGGGUCUCGGGUCGACGACUUGGGUCGGACCCAACCCGAUUCGUUUUUUAAAUUAUUAUAAUAUAAAAUAAUAUUUUAAAAAAAUAAAAAAAAAUUAUUUUCCAGAAAAAUACAAAAAAAUUCCAAAAAAUGCUUUUUAUGUCAAAAAAAUAAGAAAAAGACCCAAGAAAAUGUUUUUCCUCCACAAAUGAAUGGAAAAUCCCUCAAAAAUUCAAAAAGCCUAAGGGUUUAAACAAGAUUAGGUACCGAAAGGGCAUUAGUGAUUAACUAGUGUAAUCAAGUCCCUGAUUCUAAUUUCUUUGGUUGCGCAGGAGUGAGUAUUUCUCCCGAUACUUCGCUUGGGUUUCUAAUCAACCCACUCCAAAUCGAUUAGUGGCGACUCCAUUUUAAAAAUUGAUUUACAGGUUAAAAAAACUUGGACCAUUAAGUCGUGAAUUAGUGGACUUGGGAAAGUCCGGGCAUAAUUAAUUUCAGCCGAGCCAUUAGCCUCCUUUAGGCGCUCGCCCCUGAUCGGGCACCGAAAAAAAAAGAGGCCGCGACAGCUUGGCGACUCCGAUGGGGACUUUGAGGACUUAGGCCAUUUUAUCUUUGUUUAAAUGCUUUGCUGACUUGGAUUUUUUUCUUUUGUGUAGGGUAAUAGCUUAAAGUUUUUUUUAUUUAUUCUGUGAAAAUAAAAUGUUUUGUGAUGAUAAACUGCUGUGCAUUCUUAAAUGUUUUAGCACUACACAUGGCACACACAACCCGGCUGCCGGACCUGGGCUGCCAUAGGAUUUCUAGGAUGGUGUGAAGAAAGAUACGACCUCGAACGCGAGACUACGAUGUAGAGGUUGCCUUUCUUUGUCCGAAUUUCUUAGCCGAGGUUAGGAGGGUAUGCUGCUAACGCGAGACUGCGACGAGCGGAUAUCCUUUUAAUCUCACCAAGCCUUCUCAGUUAGAAAUCGAGCCGCACGUCCCAUGCGCAUGUUUAUGUGAUUGCCAUCAAUUUUCUUGUGUGAAGUAGGUUUUUAUUUCGUGUACUUUGCAAUUUACUUACCUUCCUGUAUAUAUUGAGUGGUCCAUGAUUAGUGUAGGAUUUAAUAUCGCGGUCAUCUAAAUUUGAAAGUGAUUGUUAUAAAGUUUUUUUUUUUAAGUUUAAAAAAAAAUUUGCAAAAAAUUACUUUCAGUUGAUGUUUUUAUUCUCAAGCAUGUUACAAAAUUUUUUUCCGCAAGAAUUUUCAUUUGCCUCAAAAAAGGGGAUAGAAACCUUUUUCAAAAUUUGUUGCAACUCAUGCUUUCUUCGCCUUUCAAAUUGAAUAUCUUUUUAGCUCAUGUUAACAUGUCACGUGCCCUUUUUCAAUCCAUGUUUAUGAAAUCCUCUACCUUUUCAUGAAUAAACAAAACUAGUAGGAUUAGGUUGUCAUCAUGGACUGACUCCCUAUUUACGCCUUGUAUUCACACACACUUGUUUACUCAUGACUAGGUAAUCACGGAACGUCAACGUUCGCCGAUCCAGACUCGUUCAAAAGCAAGAGCAAGAAUGGCCGAAGAAAAUAUACCAAGCCGUAUUGCGGUCAUGGAAAGUGAAAUGAAGCAAGUCUUCAAUGUGCUUCAACAACUUUCAAAGCAGAUAGACUCCAUCCAGGGCAAACUCACUCCCGCCCCGGCCUUAAUCAAGGUAUUGUUGCCACAAUCAUCUACUAGGGGUGAUCAAGGUGGAGAUACCGACGAUAACAUGCCCGAAUUGGAGGAUAAUCCGCACCCAACCAUGAUCGAGAAAGCUAGGCCAGACAGUUUGUCUAAAACUGAGCAUGACAAACGCCUCGAAAAGCUUGAGGAGAAGCUGAAACAACUGCAAGGCCUCCAAGAUCCUACUUUGACGAACCUCUCCAUUUAUUCCAAUGUCAAAAUGCCGGAAAAAUUCAAAAUGCCUGAGUUUGAGAAGUACGAUGGCACGACUUGCCCUAGGGCUCAUUUGCAAAUGUACUUGGUUAAUGACCCAAUAUGUCACGCCCCGAUCCUCGGACGCGCGCACAUCCUUAUACUUGGUCAAUUUUCGAAUGCGAUAUCCCAGGACUAUGUAUCGCCGACCCUUUCCAUUUAUUAAGCACAUGCGGAAGCAAUUAUAAAUCUCCAGACAAUAAAAACAAUGGGAUAGGAAAGUAGGCCAUAUUUUUCAUAUUGAAGUUCAUAACCACACUUUCAUUAACAUCACAACUCAUAGUAUAUUUACAAUACUAUUCACAACAUACUUGUCUCACACCUAUCUAUACUAAGACAGGGUUUACAAAAGGGAUGGGAUCUCAGUCCACAUCCCGGUUAUAUUCAAGAUCCCUCUCUGGAUCAUCUUCUUCUUCAAAAGUCUUUCUCCCCUUCAAGUUCCCCUUCCUUAGCUUCUCCUCAGGGUCCUGAAAUGGUUAUUCAAUAACCAAUGAGACCACAUCUCAGCGAGUCCUACCCCCUAAGACUCGAUUAGAAAGCCAAUACACUAUAGACUACCUAAACACGGCACGAGUUGGAGGACUUACCUUGGCCUCAGAUUCCAUUUGCAUAUUAGUACAGUUCAAUAGGCAUUCAAACAAUCACAUCACCGAUCGAAGCAUCGAUCGAAUCGACCUAGUCGAUUUCGUAUCAGUCGGAACCUCUCAAGAACUAGUGGCUUUACGGUCCCACCCGACCCUCUCAAGAACUAGUGGCUUUACGGUCCCACCCGACCCUCUCAAGAACUAGUGGCUUUACGGUCCCACCCGACCCUCUCCAGAUUCAAUUUAGGAAUAAAUCUUAAAUUCACUCAUAAAUUACUUUAGCACCAAAUAAAGCUCAAAUAAAUAAACGGACUGCACCACAACAAUCAGCACGAAAUUCCGGUCACCGGCCAUCCCGGUUGAAUUUCCGGAAAAAUAAAUAAUUAAAUAAUUAAUUUCGAAAAUUAAAUAAAUAAUUAUAAAAAUCCAAUUUAGGCUCAAAAUGCCGAAUUGGAUACCGAGACAAGCCCGAAAAAUUACCGAGACUCGUUCCAUAAAUAACAUGGCAUGUCUACUUGCUAAUGUCUAUUUCUAACCACCUAACAUGCAUUAUUAAGUCUCUAAUUUAAUUGAUCUAAACUAAUCUAACCACCUAAUUGCAUUUAAUUAAAUCUAACCAACCCCUAAGCAUAUUUAGCAAACUAAGAAAGCUUUAGUGAGUAAAACUCACUUGACAAAAGCGGAGACCGAAUCACCGCGACGGCAACGCGACGGCGGCCGAAAUUGGACUUUCGACAACACCGGCGGACUUGGCCCGGGCCUUAAGCUUGGCCCAACAAAUCUCAGCCCAACUGAGAUUUGUUCUUGCUUUUGGGUCAGACCCAAGUUGGGUUGGGCCUGCUGAAAUGGGCUUGAAGACUGCAGGAGAUGGGCCUCAAUAAAAUUCUGCUGAAUUGGGCCUCAAAUUACUGGGCUGCAACUUGAAUUAAAUUGGCUGAAGAACUGCUGGACUGAUGGGCUCAAAGACUGCAAGCUUGGGCCGACUGUUCUACGGGUGAAGAAGAGGAAUCACGCGGACAGGGGAUGGACUUUCGGUUGCUCAUGCGGCUGAAGACCGUGGACUCACGGCUUCGAUGAUGCUGUUGCUUCGCUGGGGUUCUGGGAUUCCUUCGGUGGAAUUCGCUGGCCGCAUAUGGAGUUGCGGACGUGAGAUCAGGGUCUUCGGUGGAUGCAAUGUUGACCGAAGAAGGGCAGGUGGCAGCGGCUUGUGAACCGAUGGAGAAGAAUCGGUUGAGCUCCGCAGGUGAUGGAUGCGCGCGGCUUCAGCUUUGCUGGCCGCGAGAGAGAGAAGACACGAAGAUGGGUGGUCUUCGUUGAUGGAGUCAACACCAAGGCUUCGUUGACGGUCGAGUAGAUGGGACGUGGCAAUAGCUGCAAGAAGAAAUCGUGGCAGAGAUGGAGAGAGCUGCUGCGGGGUCUUCGGUCAACAAACCGAAGCUUGUUGCUGGAGAAACUCAGCAAAUGGGACUUCAACGUGGCAGCUUGAAGCCAGGGGAUGAAACGUUCGGUGGACAGGAUGGUGGCCGACCGGUUGGGGUGUUGGCACCAGGAGCUGCAGCAGAGGAAUCGGUGGAACGGCCGCAAGAGAGAGAGGCUUUGGUGAAACGGCGCUCGCUUCUUCUUUGCUUGACUCUCGGUCUUCAAGCAGCGGUAAAGAAGGGUAGGAAGGAAGCUGUCGCAUGGAAUGGGAAUGAUGGAAGGGAAGAGAAGCAACUCACGGCAGCUUGGGGAAGAGGAUGAGGAAGAGGUGGGGCCUUGGCUUGAUAUUUUGUAAGAAUCUCCUCCAAGAAUCACUCUUGGCCAAGUAAAAAUACUUGGCUAUCACCAAACCAUCCAAAUGACUCCCAUAACCUCUCAAGUAGUCCAAUAUUGCUAGGGUGAGGGGAUGAUACGAAUUUCACCAUUUGAACUUCAAUUUCUCCAAUAAAUUCCCAAAUUGAGGUCCAAUUUCGAUGUAGAAAAUCCCAAAUGAUUUUCUAUAAAUCCCCGACACACAACGGCUUAGUCUAAAAGUCCAAUUUCCCAUUAAUUUAGCCAAUCUGAACUUUUGCCAAUUUCCGCGACGUCCGAACCUAAUUUCCGUAACAUUUCCCGGAUCUCCGAAAAAUCUUCUGAGAUUGAGUUGAUGCUCCUAAAAUUUAUUGUGACAUGGCCAAAACUUCAAUUUCUGAAAUCGGACUUGAAUUGGCGGUUAAUUUUCAUUCGGCGCGUUUUUAGCGUGACCUAGACUAUCGGGUAGUUUUCAGAACUUUUUAAGGCAAAUGACCCGUGGUCGAUUUUCUUCGAGCCACUAUGAACCCACUCGACUCAAUGGCGACUCUUGAUUGUCGUGAAAAUAUCGAGGAUUCAAUUACGGACACAGGGUACCAAAACAAUAAGAAAAUCAGUCUAGUGUUGGCCGACGAGAAUUUUCUAAUUCAGUGGUGUCACCCACGAUUAGUCACAUAUCUCUAUUGAUCCAGUCUAUCUCUGAUUUCAAAUCGAAUUUUAACUAUGCCGUAGUGACCUCUAAAGAUGGACACGGUCAAGAAGCCGAUUCCUGAUCGAGUUCUCAAGUCUAUUGCCGUAAAAUUUCCUUAAUAAUUUCUCCAGAUAGUUGUCGCGACCCAAUUUUUUUUCAGAGUGUGAACCACCUAGGGUUUGGCUAAUGGAUUGUUAAGCCUAGACUUAACGCGGGCUCUCCCAAGCCCAUACCAAUUCGCGACUUAGGUUUGAAUUCUUAACAUGCAAAUUGAUUUUAUUUAGGAGUCGCCACUAAUCAGUUUAUGGUAGGUCGAUUAGACACCUAAGUAAAAUAAUGGGAGAAUUACUUUACUCCUACGAACCAGAGACUAAGGGUGCGGGGACUUGAUUACACUAGAUUUCUCUAAUGCCCUUUCGGUACCAUUCUUUUAAUUUCAAAAUUGUAUUUUUUGCAGGCAGCUUGAAUUGAUUUUAAAUUCUAACAUGUGAGGUGAUAAUGCAGGUGUGCAAAUCAUCAAUUUAACACUCAAGAAAGCAAAUGAAUAAAUUGCAGGACUUACCUUAUAGCAACGAAAGCAUCUGCGUUGUUAGUUUAGAAUUCACAUCAGCAGUCCUAGAUAUGAUUUCUAAUUAACACGCAAUUUUUGUUUUGUUUCANNNNNNNNNNNNNNNNNNNNNNNNNNNNNNNNNNNNNNNNNNNNNNNNNNNNNNNNNNNNNNNNNNNNNNNNNNNNNNNNNNNNNNNNNNNNNNNNNNNNUGCAAUGCAUGCCACUAAUUUAACAUGAAAUGAUAUGACAUGGCAACAUGUCCUAAACCAUAUGAAUAAAAAAUUUUAUGAUCUCUUAAUGAGCAUGCAAUUGUUAAAUAUGCAAUCUAAAUUAACAAAAAUGACUUAAUUCUAAUGACGUGCAAUGCAAUGCAAUGACGUACAAAAUUAUUUAAUCUAAAAUGACAUGCGACAUUGCAAUUUAAUAUGCGAGCUAUAUGUCACGCGACAUUUAUUAAAUGGUCUAAUCUGAUGACGGUCAAUUUCUAAUCAGAAAUAAACUUAACAAUAAUCACUAAAUGACGUGCAUUUCAUGGACCUAAUUCUAUAUGACAUGGGCAUUUUUAUUUUCCUAACAAAACAUGCAAUUUAUCUAGGACAGAUUAUCUACCUAUAAUUGAUAAACAUGCAACCCUAACAUGCAAUGACGUGCAAAGAAUGCAUUAAUUCAACAUGAUAUAUGCAUGAUGAUUUUUUUUGUGUUUUUUUUUUAUUAAUUUCGAAAUUAAAAUUUUCACAUGCAAUUCAAAUAAUGAUAAAAACUAACAUCCUAAAUGAAUGUGCUUUUUCUUUUGGUUUUCUUUUCCAUGAUUUAAAAUAAAAUUCUUAUUUUAAAUAUAAAAGAUAAUAACCAAACCUAAUCUUAAUUCAACAUUUUUUGGAUUUUUUUAUUUAAAACUCGAGAUAAGAUUGCAAUUUUAACCCUAAAUUAGCAAAUCUAAUCCUAACUCAAAUAUUUUUUUGGAUUUUUCUUUUAUGAAAAUAAAACUGACUCAACCAACAGCGAAUCAAAUAAGAUAAGAUUGAUAUCUAAAAAUUGACGAACCAUAUCUCGCGCAUGAGAUCGGGUUGGCCAAUUUUAAAUUAAAUCGCAAAUCAAAUCUCGGGCUUGAGAUUAGAUUGUCGAUUUUUAUAAGGGAUUGCGAGUCGGAUUUCGGGCGCGAAAAUCGAACUGUCAAUCCCUAGCUUGAGGGGAACUUUCAUAUUGGGAUCUCAAUCAUAUAUUUAAGAAUAAUCCUACUAAAGGAAAAGGUAAACAAGUGAGAAUAACAUUAAAAAAUAAAAUGAAGUAAAAAGAAAAGAACUACCUAAAUAAUUUUCUUUUUUUCUUUUGUUAUACGCGGCUGGUGGUGGGUCACCGAGAGACAGCCGUUCAGAGGUCCCGGCAGGGGGAUCACCGGCGAGGGAGAGCUCCGGCGAGGCAAGGCAGGUGGGCGUUUGGCGCGGAGCAGCGAGGAUUGACGCUGGCAAGGGACUUCGGCGAAGCAGGGCACCGGCGAGGGAGGCGUCACAGGGUGCGGGGCCUGCUGUCGGGCACCGAGGAGAUGCGAGCAACAGCGAUGUGGGCUCUGGCGGCGUUGGGUCGCGGCAGGAACAACGGCACGGCGGCGGCUAAGCGUCGGGUCUCAGCGCGGUUCGGCAGCAGCGUCGGCGGGCGCUCGGGCGGAAUAAACGCGAGCGGAGCAGGGGAGCUCCGGUUUCGUCGGAUGUCGGCUGGAAACGAAAUCGGAUCAGGAGCGAUCGGCACCUAGGUUGCCGUGGGGGAGACUUCGGCUACGAGGACGCCGAGGUGGAGACGCAAGCAGGGACCGACGGUGGGCGCGGCGGGCUACAUGUGGCGAGGGAGGCUCAGCUAGCGCCGGUCACGACAGGAGCAGGGAACGCCGAGUGCUGGGUCGCGAGCAGAUCUCAAGCGCAGGCGUCGAGGAGCGGACGGAGCGGCGAGACCGGCGGCGAACGGAACAGCGAGGUGGAGGAGGACGUCGGGCUUCGCGGAGCGGAACAGAGGGUGAGCAGCGAGCUUGGGGAGAUGAUGAAUAGUGAGGGUCAAAUCACCUCUGCUUUUUACUUUUCUCCUCUUUUUCUCUCUCUCUCUCUCUCUCUCUCUCUCUCUCUCUCUCUCUCUCUCUCUCUCUCUCUCUACUUUUUCUUUUUUUCUGCAGUUUUUCCCUUUUUCUGCUCUUUUCCCUUUCGCAGAAGCUAAACCUCUCUUGACCUUUUUUCUGUUUUUUUUUCAAAAAAGCCCCCUCACAGGUCCUCGUACACGGUUGCUUUUAUAGGAGGUAAGAGAUAAGCUUCCGAUUUCCCCUUCAAAUCUACAUCCGCGAUACAUUUUCACCAACCGAUCACUAUUGAUAAAAAUUUAAGAUUAUGAUAAAUAUUUUCUCGAAAUCCAAAUCUCGCAAAGAUAAAUCGCAAUAUCGCAAUAUUUUUUCAUAAAAUUCAUCCCAUACUGAUAAGGAUUCAAGAUUAAGAUGCGAUUUUUUUUUCUAAAUCCAAAUCUUUCAAGGCCAAAUCGCAAUAUUUUUUAACCAUCUGCCCUAUCUAAAAAAGAUUCAUAUCUCGGAAAAAUUUUAAAAUAUUAUAUUCCCAUGAGAUAAUUUUUAAUUAUUAAAAAACGCGGGCUUGGGCCAACCUCCUCGCUUCGUGGGCCUGAUCCAUCUAAUUCGAACUCAUCCACCACCGGUCCAAUAGAUAAAAUGCAAAUUAAAAUAAAAUGCACCUAAAUCUAUAUGCUAUGCAAUCAAUAUAUAUAUAUUGAUAAAAUUAAACCCUAAUUUCUUAAUGCAAUAAAUGACUAAAUGGGUAGCCAAAAUUUAGGUGUCAACAGCUGCCCCUCUUUGAAAGUGAGCUCGAAGAGGUUGCCUUCAAAGACAAAUUGAGACCUAAAUUUUGACUAUGCAUAUGCAUUGAAUGAUUUUUUGUUGGAAAAUGAAUUCCAUUUUUUAAUGCAAAUUAUAUGAUGCAUGAAAAUACUAAUGCAAAUGAUAGAUGAACCUACCUGAAAUAACUUACCUUCGAGGAGAAUAGAGUAAUUCGAGGUAGUGGGUGUUACUUGUCCAGGACCCGUACCAUUCUACGGUCGCCUAGAAUAGUAACAUGACUUUGUGAAGAUGCUGCUUUCCCAGGACCCGUACCAUUCUACGGUCGCCCAGUAUGGCAGAAAGGAGCUGCUUUCUCAGGACCCGUACCAUUCUACGGUCGCCCAAUACGGCAGAAAUGUUUUGUAAUGAACUGCUUUCCCAGGACCCGUACCAUUCUACGGUCGCCCAGUACGGCAGAAAUGUUUUGUAAGGAACUGCUUUCCCAGGACCCGUACCAUUCUACGGUCGCCUAGUACAGCAGAAAUGUUUUGUCUAGGACCCGUACCAUUCUACGGUCGCCUAAACGGGGAUUCAUUUUCCAGGACUCGUAUCAUUUUACGGUCGCCUGAAUAGGGAAAUAGGUUUUGUCUAGGACCCGUUCUAUUCUACGGUCACCUAAACGGGGAUUUACCUUCCAGGACUCGUACCAUUCUACGGUCGCCUGAAUAGGGAAAUAGGUUUUGUCUAGGACCCGUACCAUUCUACGGUCGCCUAAACGGGGUUUUGCUUGGCUAGGACCCGAACCAUUCUUCGGUCGCCCAACCUUGCAACAGAGAUCAACUGACCAGGACCCGAACCGUUCUUCGGUCGCCUUAAUCAGAUCGAGUCUUAGAGGAAAAACUUUGGGGGACAACUCAGUCGAGUGUCGGUGUUUUCAAAAAGGACCCUGGGCUAUGACAGCACACCAGGUCGAUAUAAAGGGACAGCACGCCGAGUCGAUAAAAAGACUCUGGGCUACAAAAGCACACCGGGUCAAUAUAAAUGGACAUCGGGCUACGAAAGCACGCCGAGUCGAUAAAGAGGGACUCUGGGCUACGAAAGCACGCCAGGUCAAUAUAAAGGGACAGCUUGAUUGAGUCAAGUGUCGAGAAUGGGUAGAGAUACACUUACCUGAUGAUAUCUCUGAUUCUUUGGGAUAUGUCUUCUAGAACUUAAAUAUCCUAUGGAGGCCUUUCACCUCCUAAUAUCAUGAAACAUUCUUAAAGGAACUUGAAUUACCUGUCAGACAUGAUUUAGAGCAAAAACUGAUAUGCAUUCAUCAAAGAGAUAGACAAUCUAAGCUACUCUAGAAUGCACAUUUCAAAAUUCAGUGAGGUUUUUAUCAACUCAAUCAGGGUUUAUGCAUAAUGACAUUUGUAUUACCCAAAUUUCCACUGGAGAGAAUUAUCAUUCAAGACAAUCUUCACUCACGACAUGGAUUUCUUAAAAAUACUAAAUGAGAGACUUUCGGUUAGAAAGGACUUUCACUCACUCUCAUUUAGAAUGGCUAUUUUAUGAGAAUCACUCAAUUUUAUCAUAUCGACAUGGGUCCGAGUAUUCUCGCAAGCGGUACGAUCUUACCAAUCUGAGAGGUCUUUAAUAGGGACCAUAAUGUGGCUUGGUCAACGGCUUAACAAAAGGACUCUUUGAGUCAAGGCUAUUGAAAGAACAACUCUUUAAUCAUCUCCGGGUUUACAAGUCAAGAACCCUGCAAAAUGAGAAAGAAAUAAUCUUGCUCGCACUUCUUCGAGCGAUGCUUAAAACAUGUGAACCUCUAUGUUAACUCAAGUGCCCUAAUCUGAAGAGACUUUAUAAGGGACGUAACAUAGGUUAGGUUCAUGGGUUGAGAAAUGAAAGGAUCAUCAGGCUCAAAAUGUGUGUAAAUGGUGAGAGUUGGUGAUCAUCUUGGCAUUGCCACCAGUUUUCUUUUUCAUCAUCGGGGAUUGUCUUCAUGAAAUGCCCUAUUGAUUGUAAAAACUCAACUUUUGAGUUCUUUGAGUAUUGCUCCAUUGGAGAUACAAUCUUUUUACAACAGAUAGUCUUUAUCUUGACUCUCUUUUUCAUCUAUGGGCAUCAUCUACCUUGCUUUUAUCAAGCACACUGUUUUUUCAUGCCCCUAGUUCUUGUUCAUUUUUUCUUCACUUUUUUUCAUGGGCAUUGGCCUUGCUUUUACCAGGCACACUGCUUUUUCAUGACCUUUAAUUCUAUUUUGAUUUCUAUGCAUGUGUCAAGCAAUUACACUUUGAAUGACACUCGAACUUUUCAAAAGUCUUCAUCUGCCUUUUGCCUUGCCCCAAUGUGGGGGAUGAUCACCAACUGGGUUUAAAGAAAUGAAAUUGCAGGCUCAAAUGGGCUAUGCAAAGGAUAUAAGUGUAUAUGAUAGAGAAAGAAAUGCUCUUCAUCAUCCUAAGGCACUUAAAUUAACACAUGAAUUCAAUGUAAUAGCAUGACUAGAAGAUUGAUGCAAGUGAGAGCAAGAAAUUUCUUUUCAUUUUCCUCACCUCAUGAUGCCAUUUGAUCUCUUAGUUGCCCCGAUGUGGGGUGAUUCUUGACAGGGGUGAUUUGAAAAGAAUAUCCAUAAGUGUAUGGGCUCAAAAGGGUUAAGCAACGGAUCACCUGUAGUGUUUGGGAUAGAGAUAUGAAUUGCCUCUCAUCAUUUCGGUUGCCGUACCUUUUGCGAGAGAACUCUUUACCUUAUGAAUACGAACCUUCCUACACUCAUCUCACAAGUGUAUGAAUAUGGGACUGUGUAUAGGAUAGGACUUACCUUAUAGCAACGAAAGCAUCUGCGUUGUUAGUUUAGAAUUCACAUCAGCAGUCCUAGAUAUGAUUUCUAAUUAACACGCAGAUGCUUUCGUUGCUAUAAGGUAAGUCCUGCAAUUUAUUCAUUUGCUUUCUUGAGUGUUAAAUUGAUGGUUUGCGCACCUGCAUUAUCACCUCACAUGUUAGAAUUUAAAAUCAAUUCAAGCUGCCUGCAAAAAAUACAAUUUUGAAAUUAAAAGAAUGGUACCGAAAGGGCAUUAGAGAAAUCUAGUGUAAUCAAGUCCCCGUACCCUUAGUCUCUGGUUCGUAGGAGUAAAGUAAUUCUCCCAUUAUUUUACUUAGGUGUCUAAUCGACCUACCAUAAACUGAUUAGUGGCGACUCCUAAAUAAAAUCAAUUUGCAUGUUAAGAAUUCAAACCUAAGUCGCGAAUUGGUAUGGGCUUGGGAGAGCCCGCGUUAAGUCUAGGCUUAACAAUCCAUUAGCCAAACCCUAGGUGGUUCACACUCUGAAAAAAAAUUGGGUCGCGACAGCUUGGCGACUCCGCUGGGGACUUGAGUUGAAAUUCUUAGUGGACUUAGGCCAAUUUUCUUUUUUGAAAAAAUGCUUUUGUUUGGCAGCGAGGAUUCCAGGUACGUCCCUAACAUUUAGGUGUUAAAUGUUCUUGUAGGAUGGGAGGUAUAAGGGGAAGUGUUUGUUAACCUUUGUUUUGCAGGAAGGUGUAGGAAUGUAUGGUUUAUUUUCAUGAACGAAGUGUUGCUUGAUAUAAACUGUCGUGCAUGCCUUGCAUCUAGCACUACACUAUUGCACACACAGCCUGCCGCCGGACCUGGGCCGCACAGGAUCUUUUAGGAUGGUGUUGAGAUGGAUACCACUCCAACCGCAUGCUCGUGGUACGAGUCGCCCAUCUCAAUCCCGAAUUUUCUUUCAUGGUGUCAAGAGUACCCACCUCGGUCUGCAUGCUCGCGACCCGGGUCGGCUCUUUGACCAAGCCGGAGUCAUGAGGACCCGACAUAGUCCACAAGCCCGUGGCUAGUCUGAUCAUCCUUGUGGCUCCACCUUGAUAAGCCUUAUAGAUUAGAAAUCGAGCCACUUACCAUGCGCAUGUCUAUGUGAUUGCCAUUGAUUUUUCUUGGUAAAGUAAGUUUUCUAUCCCUAUACCGUGCAAUUUAUUUUGUCAUGCUUUUGGUCUGUCCAUGACAAUUUAGGAUAGUCAUUCCUUUCAAGAAUGAAAUGAGGAAAUUGCCAUGCAAUAAAUCAUUUGGAAAAUAAAAAAAAACUUUGAAGAAUUUGUUUUCAAUUCAUGUCUAGAAAAUUUGAUCUUACUAGGAUGUCUAUUUUUCUAGCUCUCUUUAGGAAAUUCCCUCAUUGUAAGAGCUCUUCAUAAAAAAUGAUGAAAAAAAGUUGAUAGAUCAUUGUCAUGGGUUGAUUCUUUAUUUGCACCUUAUACUUAUAUAUUUUCAUUCAUUUGGAUUAGGUGAUUAUGAAGCGAUCUCGCUCACCCAUCCGUACACGGUCGAGAGCUAAAAUGGCGGAUCGAAAUGAGGUGCUGGACCGUAUCAUUGACAAUAUGAACAAGCAAAUUGCACACCACCAAAGUCAAAUCAAUGAAUUGUUUGCUACUGUGACUUUUCUCAUCAAGCAAAAAGGCUGCGAUGACAUAGGUACUCCAUCUUCAAUAAGAAUCUGCGACUCGAAGAAGAGAGCCAAGAGAACUUUUGAAUCGUCUCAUUUUCCCGAGGUAGCUGAAUUUGAUGCCACCAUGAAGAGACUAGUGACAUAUCUAGAAGGAAGAAUCUCUGACUUGAAGGGUUCACAUCACACGAGCAAGGAGGGUGAAGAACUCAAGCAUACAUGAUUCAUGGUCCUAAGUAGUUCACUUUCCUUGUUUAAUUAAGGGCAUGCUCGGUUACACCUCCCCUGCAUGGGAAUUCUUAUUGCUUUUUAGGAAUUCUUUUCGCUUUCUAGGAAUCAUUUUCGAUGUUUUCUCUUUUUAGAGGGUAGGAAUCACAAUUUUCAUUCCAAUAAUGUAAUUCAUUUGAUUCAAUUCAAUGAAAUUACAAUUUUAUUUCAAAUUUUGAGGACAUGAUGGGGUACCCCAAACCAGUCCAAUGACGAUAUCCAACCAUGAAAAAGAAAAAUAUCAUCCACGGAGAAAUCUUGAGGGUUGGACUUUUUCAUGCUUCCUCCCAAAAAGCAAUACACUAUUGCACACACAGCCUGCCUAAAUAAUGCAAAAAUGUAUUUUUUGAUGGUUUGCGCACCUGCAUUAUCCAUCUCAACACCAUCCUAAAAAUCAAUGGUAUCCAUCUCAACACUCAUCUCAACAAUAGUCUAGUUAUCUCGAGAGUGAUCGGCUCUGAGAAUAACCCUAUAGACGCGUCAAUGAAAUGCCCGAUUUAUUCAGUAGAAGACAGGGUUGAAAAUUUGGGAUGUCACACAAUACGUUAAUAAUGCACCAUUAAUGAUCCAGUUGUUCCAAUCAAGUCUAAUAGGCCCUGCCCUGAGGUGGUACAUUACAAAGAACAUGAAUCUCCUCGAAGCAUGGAGCGAGGUGAGUGAGGCAUUCCUCAAGCAGUAUAAGUUCAUAAUGGACAUUACCCCUUCUCGUGAGGACCUUGAGCGAAUCGAAAAGAAAAAGCAUGAAUCGUUCAAAGAAUAUACUAUCCGGUGGAGGAAUAUGGCCACCCAAAUCAGUCUUGAACCAACCGAUUUUGAGCUGAGAAAGAUGUUUAUCAAAACCCUCCCUUACGAGUACCGCAAUCGAAUGGUAACCACGAUCGCCGAAUCAUUUAAUCAACUCAUUCCAGUAGGGGAGCAAAUCGAGAUAGGCUUGAGGGAUGGUUGGUUCACUGAACUUGCAUCCACGGGCAGGUUCAACAUGAAGAAAGAUAAAGAACCCCUGGUAGAUGUCAAUGUGACCUAUAAUCAUUCUCCGACAAUUCAGACAAGUGCAAGACAGCAACAGACCAUCAGCCAUCAGCCAUCCCAACGUUACAGUAACAAGAGACAAUUUACUCCUCUUCCUGAAUCUCCGUCACAAGUACUGGCAAUCCUCCGGAAGAAGAACCUCCUUUCGAUUGAGCCAAAGCGACCCAAUGAUGAAAGUUUUUCCAACUAUGACUCGUCAAAGAUAUGCGACUAUCACAUGGAAGAAGUGGGGCAUUCGACUGAUGAGUGCUUUGCCCUCAAGAGUCGAACACAGAACCUGUUAGAUACUAAAGCUUUCUCAUUCCAGAGCAAUUCGCUCCCUGAUCACACCGACAAAGUAAAUGCGGUAUUCAGUUCUGAAGACAGUCAGAGCAAAAAUGUCGAAGCACAUACUGCUGACAUUCAUCAAGGGCUGGUGAAAGCCGGGUAUUAUUCAGGCAAUGAAGUGCCACCCUUAGCAAUAGAGAAAGAAGGGCCAGAUGACAUGACCACCAUGUUUGGAGGCCUUUUCAUGGACACCAUCAAUGAAGGACCGUAAGGGGAAAUGGGUGCAGGCCCGCUCGAGUAGAACCCUUUUUAAUUUCCUUUCGUAUUCCCCUACGUGGGAACUUGUACCUCUUUCUUAAGUCUAGCUUGUUUUUAUUUUCAACAUCAGUUCCGCUUGAGGAACUAACUUUUGAAAACACUUUUCCAAAAUGUAAAUCCACCUAUUAAAUAAAGUUGAAAAUAUUUUGAGAGCAUGAGGCGGUAUCCCAAACCUGCCCAGUGAUGCUAUCCAACCAUGAAAAGAAAAUAUCAUCCAAGGAGAAUACUGAGGGCUGGGCUUCCUCAUGCUUUUUCUCCCCCGAAUACAUAUUUUGAAAACAAAAAACACUUCAUCACCAAAAUCUUUCAAAAAAGAUGAUAAAUUUAAUCUUGUUUGUCUUUCUGACUCACUCACUUCAUGUCUCAGAAUAUCAUCCCCUUUGACUUAGUGUGACCAAGGGACAUUUGAACCUGGCACAUCAUGUGAACUCGCCAAGUUCAAAAGCACUAUUCCAAGAAAGCAGGGGCAAACAGAAAAGAUCCCGUUUCAAAAGGGUAAGUCCUAUUCCAUGAACAUAAUGUCGAAAAUGACGUCCUCUCUCUCUUCUAUCUACAGAAGACAAAGGAUGAGACGUAAUAGGCACAGGCAUACUAUUGAACUUGAAGCAUGCAUAAUAUGAUAGCUUAAGGCAGGAUGCUGUGGUUUCAUCAAUGAGAUUUCCAGCUUUGACAAGCCAAGAAGCACAAGAAAUGGAUCUUUUCUCUUUCUUUGAAUUGGCUACUGUCAACAGGGAGAAAAUCCAAACAGUUGAAACGAUCUCUAACCCCUAUUCAGACGAUGGCUUGGGGCUUAAAAACCUCACUUCAUGCUCCAGAUGCAUGCUCUCCCAAGAAGUAAUUGCCAUCAAAGAAUUGAAGAUUUUGAUUGUCCAUAUCAGAUUCCAUAGAAGCUUGAGGUACAUGACUUUGCCCAAUGGCCAUAUAGUCAAAGACAGAAGAAAAAUUCCAAAGAAGGAAGGCGUUGAAGAUAAAUCGACAACCAUCAAUCAUGCAUACAUGGUCAUGAGUGAGGAAGGCCAAUCGAAAGAAAUGUCAAACUGUGUCAAGACGAAAAGGCUGUCAUCGACAUUCAAAUAUCCCUAGGAGAUAGCAAAUACAAACUUUGGAGAAGAGUAAUUUGGUAUUGUUUCCAAUACUCCCCACUCUUUGAAUUCGCUUUUGACGUAUUUUCCCUAUUGACAGGAAACAUUGGGAAUCAAAAACCAAACUUGAUGGUCAAUAUUGGCCAAGUGAGGUUCAUGAGAAUGACCCGUAUCGAAUUCACCUGACUCUAUGUAAAGAAGGACAUGUCAUCCAUGUGACAUCCCAAUUUUCCAAUUCUGGUUUCAAUUAAAUAAGUCGGGCAUUUCAUCGUCGCGUCUAUAGCUUUCUUCUCUGAGUUGGCCACUCACGAGAUAACUAGUCUAUCAGGUGAAGCCGUUAAGGAAUCUAAACGCAAUAGACUUGAGAAUUCGACCAGGAAACGACUGCUCGACCGUACUAAUCUGCAGAGUCAUUACAGCACAAACCGAUUAGAGACCGGAGAUAGGUCGAUUCAACAGAACCAUGUAAUUCAGUGUGGGUGAUUCCACCUAAUUGCACAAUUCUUGUUGAUCGGCACUAGACCGAUUUCUCUAUCGUCUUGGUACCCUGUGUCCGUAUUUGAAAUCUCGAGAUUUCUACGACAAUCGAGAGUUGCCAAUGUGUCGAAGAUGCUUGUGGCUUGAAAAUAAUCAACCACAGGUCAAUUGCACAGAAAAUUCCUAAAAGCUACCCGGUAGAUUAGGACGUGCUAAAGUCGCGCCAGAUUGAAUUUAACCGAGAAAUUGAACCCGAUUACAGAAAUUGGAAGUUCUGUCAAGUCACAAUUCAUUUUAGGAAUGUCGACUCGUCUCCAGAAGAUUUUUCUAGAAACCGAGAUUUUUGGCAGAAAAGCAAAGUAAGGCCAUUUUUUUGUUCGGAAUUGUCAGAAGGUCAUUUUUGAUUGAAUCUUCGGGAUGCAAGUUGGAUCAUUUGAUGGGAAAAAGUCAUGAGACGGACAAGGAUACCUUGAUGGAUUUAAUUGGGCUUCAAUUGGAUGUGUUUGGUUGAGAAUUGGAUGAAAUUGAUUGAGAUUGAAGAGGGAAAUGUAACAAAUUCGUAUGCCAUGGGGGGAGAACUAUUUUGCACCUAUUGGCAAGGUUGUGGAGGAAGCUUGAGGAGAGAGAGUGGCUGAGGUCAUGUGAUGUCAUGGUGGGGGCAAAGCCAAUGAGAGAAUGGCAAGUGUUGAGCUCUAAAGAGCCCAAGGAGACCCCCCUUGCUCAGCAGCCUUCUUCUCCCUUAAUUUGUGGCUUUCUCCAUUGUUGUUGAAGGAGAGAAGCUCAGCAAAAACCAGAGGAACCGAGCAGCACCAGCCCCUCCAUCGUCGCACGCCCGGAAGGCCAUCGUCGGCCGUUUUCCUCCCCUGUUUUCUCCUCGUUCCAGUUUCUGCUCCAGCCGACCUUUCGCCAAAGAUCCGAGUAAAAAGUUAACUUCCCGGUUGAAUCAGCAAACGCUCCACCCACGUCCGUGACGAGGACAUCCAUUCCGUUCCGGAGAAUCCCGCCGAUCGUCGGAACGAUUCUCCGACUGUCCCGAAAUCCUGAGAGAAUCUACCGCUCGCCGGACCGUCUGGUUCCUCCCUGCUCCGCCUGUUCUGCGUUUUCUUGCUGUUUCGCCCCUUUCCGACCCUUCCUUUGCCCAUCCCAACCUCCUAUAAGAUCCCCAAGACCCCCGGGAGCCGCCGGUUGCCAACCACCCGCUUGCCAGAGCUCCGAUCGGCCCGUUUUCGCCGUUGAAGUUGCUGGUUUCUUCUCUGCAGUUCAGCCCAGAUCAGAAGCAGAAGACAGCAAGGUUUUGGAGACUUCGUGGCCCGUUUUCAGUGUCUUCCCGGCCUCCAUUGGUGUCGCCGCUUUGGGGCUUAUCAACCGCCUUGGUGUCGUGGUCGCCGUGAACUCACCGGCCCGCAAAACCGGUGAGUUUAUCCUCUAAUUCUUGCUUAGUGAGUUAAUGAUACUUAAGGGGUGUUUAGAUUAGUCUAAUUAGGUUUAGGUGGUUAGAUUAGAUUAUUUUAAUGUAAAUUAGAUUAGUUGUAUGAUUAGCUUAAUGGAUGUUUAAUUUAGGGCUAAUUGUAUGAUUAAAUUAGUGUAAUCUUGUUUAAGCCCUAAUUAAUUAUUUUUAAUUAAUUAUUUAUUUCGAAUUUAUAAUUAUUAUUUUAUUAAAUUAUAUUAUUAUAAUAUAAUAUUUAAUUAUUUAAUUUUCGGAAUUAAAUUUAAUUAUUUAAUAAUUUCGAAAAUUAUGCCGGGAUGGCCGGUCGUUAGAAUUUCGCGCUGAUCGCAGCAAUGCGAUCGGUUUGUGUUAAUUGUAUGUUUAAAUUGAGAAAUUGAGUGAUUGAUGAUUAUGGUUAAUAAUUCCAAAAGUGUGGAAUUGUGUGAAAUUGAUGAAGUUUUGGUAUUUAACUUGAAAAUACCCGGUGUUGGCUUUUAGCACCGUAAUUGGUUUGUAUGACCAGUUUGAAUCGAUUGGAUUGAUUGACUGAUUGAAUUAAGGUAUGAGUUGGUUUAUUUUUGAAUUAUCAGCUUGUGAGAGCAAUGAUUGUUUAUCAGCUUGUGAGAGCAACGAUCCAUAUAUCAGCUUGUGCGAGCUAUCAUCUAUGUAUGUAUCAGCUUGUGCGAGGUACCAUCUAUAUCAGCUUGUGAGAGCAUUGCAUCCAUUUCAGCUUGUGCGAGCCGUAAUUGUAUUGAUGGAUGAAUAGAUGGUAUGGUUUAAUAGAUGAUAUGAAUUGAUAGAUGUGUGGAUCGUAUGAUAUCAAUUGGAUUGACUGAAUUGAUAGACCGAUGGGUAUGUCGGUAGUUUCAGCUUGUGCGAGCAUUGUUUGAAUAUGAAUUGUACUGACGUGUAGGAAAGGGACUGAGGCGAGGUAAGCCCUCUAUCCUAUUUGUGUGGCUAGAGCGCCCUGAGGCGUAUUUUCUUCCUAAUUGAGUUUUAGAUCGUAGGACUCGCUGAGACAUAGUCUCAUCCCGGUUGUGGGAUAAUAUUUCAGGUCCCUAGAUGACAGUCGUGGAGGACCGGAAGUCCUGGAGUUCGGAAGGUGGAGGCUGAAGAAUCGGUGAACGUGUCUGACAAGUUGGUCAUAGGACAGUUCCCUAGUUGUUGAGCCUAUCUAUUUUGUAGACAAUCCGGUGUUGUAUAUAAACCUAUGUGUUUAUAAGAAAGCUUGUUUGGUUGUGAUUGAUUGCCUGCUUUUCUAUUCCAAGUUAAAUGUUGUCAGGGGAUUUGUUUCGCUUCCGCAUGCAUAAUAAAAAUGAAUGGGUCGGCGACGUGUCCUGGGAAGUCGCAUUUGUAUCGACCAAAGUGGGAUGUUCGCGCGCUUGGAGGAUCGGGGCGUGACAAUCCAAGAGCCAAUUCUGAGAAUAAUUGACUUAACAAAGCAAGGGAUAUAAGACUUCGUGUCCCCAUCUCACUUCAGGUUCACCCAAUCGUCUGCAAACCAAUGAAAGGUAAAGUUGUAUCGAUUCAAGUUAUUCGACUCUUGAAAGAGUUCAUGACCAACACAUUCCCUCUUGUUUGUUGCAGGAUCACCUGACUGUCAAAAGCAAGGAUAACAAAUCAAUGAGAAGCAUGUCUUGUUGUAGGAUCACUUGACUGUCAAAAACAAGGAUAACAAAUCAAUGAGAGGCAUGACAAACUCUCCUAAACGAAAUGGCGUCCUGAGUAAUCGCCAAAGCAAAUGACAGAAAAUCUUCAGACCUCAACUCACAUUUGAUUUUGGCCAGACUAAUUGAUCUACUUGUACAUCUUCUCUUCUGCAGGGGCAAAAGCAGAGAUGCCCGAUCAGAUUCCCAACCCCGACUGAUCAUUCAUGUGUCAUAUCCCUAAUCAAUAAGGACAACCAUCGACACCCAUUUGCAAAUAACCCUUUUGAUGUUCAAAAUUUAACAUAUUUGGAAACACCAUUAUGUUAGCCCCUAAAGUUGUCAAUAGGGUCUUUUUUGAGUCAAAACCAUUCACUUGUUUUGAAGAGUCCAAACUCCAUCAUAUGCAAAAUGUUGCAUGUCGUUUCCAGAUGAAUUCUACAUGAUGAUUUUGUCUAUCUGGAUCACUGAUUCCACUGAGGACUAUUAGAAUAGACAGCUAAGUGAAGAAUACAAGAUUAAUCGAGCAUGCUAGAUAAGGCGCGUCAGAAUGAUGAAAGGCAAGCCAUAUCCUACACACAAUCCCCCCCAUCUAUACACUUGUGAGAUGAGUGCAGAAGAUUCCAUGACUGCAGGAUAAAGAGUUCUCUUGCGAAUGGUACGAUAACCAAAGCAGUGAGAGGCAUUUCAUUGCUCACCCCUUUGAGCUCCUUACACUGGCGAAGCUUCUCUCAUAUCCUCGUCAAGAACCACCCCACACUAGGGUAGAUCAGAGACAAAGCAGCAUCACAAGGUGAGAAGAGAGAUAGAAAUUUUCUUGCUCGCACUUGCAUCAAUCUUCGGGUGUCCUUAUUGCAUAUGAACACUCACGUUAAUUUAAGUGCCCUAGAAUGACGAAGAGCAAUUCUUUCUCUAUGCACUUGUAUUCAUUGUACAACCCAAUUGAGUCUGUAAUUUCACCCUCACAUGGAGGCAAAACAGAAGUUACUGCCAUUUAAGCAGCAUAGCCCAGAGCGCCUACUGAAGAUGAAGACUCAAGAGUCUAAUAACGGUGCUUCGAUUGAACUUGCCUAGGCCAGUUCCUCCAACGACAAGAAUGAAAAAAACAUGGGCAUAAAAAAGCAGUGUGCCUGGUAAAAGCAAGGUCAAUGCCCAUAAAUGAAGAAUUGGAAUAAAAAUAGGGGCAUGAAAAAGCAGUGUGCCUGGUAAAAGCAAGGCCAAUGCCCCCUAGUCAAAAAUGCAGCCAAGAAAAUGUUGUUGUUGUGGUCCAUAGAACCUCCAUUUGACAGUGGGAAGAAAGACUGGUGACAAAUGCCAAGGCAAUCACCAGCUCUCACCCUUUUACACAUGAAUCAAGCCUACAUUACAUCCCAUUGUAAAAGUCUCUUCAGACUAGGGGCACUUCAAUUAACGUAGGAUUUCAUAUGUCUAUAAGCAUCGCUCGAAGAAGUACGAGCAAGACUAUUCUAUCUCUUUUCGCAUGACUCUUGACUUGCAAACCCGGAGAUGAUCGUGCAACAUUUUCAUCCAUCGGCUUCGACCUUGACGGUCCCCUCUGAUGAGCCGCUGACGAAGACUUCAUCACAGUUUCGACAAAGACCUCUCACAUUGGUAAAGUCGUACUGUUUGCGAGAAUACUCAGACCCCUGCUGACAUGAUGACAGUGAGAAGUGUGGUCCUUAUAAAUCCUGCAUCAAUGGUCAGGAUAGCCUUUUCCAUAAGAGUGAGUGGAAAGUCCUUUCAGACUGAAAGUCCCUCAUCUGGCAUGCUCAAGACAUCUACAUUCUAAAUGGAGGUUGUCUUUCAAAAUUUUCCCCAGUGGAACUCAGAUGAUGCAAAACUGACAAAAUUAUCAUGCAUUAAUCCCAUUUGAACUCAUGAAUUUACAUCAUAUACAAUCAUGUGUGCAUAUUGUGCAAAUAGCAGACAUACUCUCAGAGAUCAGAGAUAUUGCCAAGUAAGCAUAUUUCUAUCCCCAUUUGUCUUAAAGUACCUACCACUUGCCGGGUACUCCCUCUUAUCGACACUUGACCUAUUCGAGUUGUCCCCAGAGUAUUGAUACUUGUGACUAACCAAGUAUCCCUUUAUCGUUGAAUACCUACUACUAUCUAGGUAUCCCUAUUGUCUUUGAGUAUCAACCACCGUUCGGAUACUCCCUUUCCCUGACACUCGACCUGUUCGAGUUGUCCCCAGAGUAUUGAUACUUGUGACUGACCAAGUAUCCAUUUAUCUUUGAAUACGUAAUGUUGUCUAAGUAUCUCCAUAUCAUCAAGUACCCACCACCGUUCAGGUACUCCCUUUUCAUGACAAUCAACUCACUUGAGUUGUUCCCAAAUAAUAGUAGUUGUUCAAGCAUUCCACUGCUUUGUGUGCCUGUGCCUGCCCAGGUAUGUUUUCUUACAUUUGGACCAGCCUGAGUGGUCCCAGAUCGUAUCAUCAAAUACUUGUAUUCAUCCAAGUAUUCCAGUACUUUGUACACCUGCGACUACCCAUGUGUUCCAACCCUUUUGAGUGCCUGUGGCCAUCCAGGUAAGCCUUGUGCUACACUCAAGUUUAUGUUGCCAGGAGGUGGGAGACCUUCACGAAUAUGCGAGGCACGCCCUCGAUAUUCCCAAUUACCAGGAGGUGAGAGACCUUCAUGAAUAUCCAAGGUAUGUCCUCGAUAUUCCAACUACCAGCAGGUGAGAGACCUUCACGUAUAUGCAAGACCCAUCGUUGAUAUUCCCACACGAAUAUCUCAGGUACGUCCUUGAUAUUCCAUGUACCAAGAGUUUGUACCUGUGAUCGUCCAGGUACCCCUUCGAUACUUGUGAUCAUCCAGGUAUCCCCCAAGAGUUUGUACCUGUGAUCGUCCAGGUACCCCUUCGAUACUUUUGAUCGUCCAGGUAUCCCCCAAGAGUUUGUACCUGUGAUCGUCCAGGUACCCCUUCGAUACUUGCAAACGUCCAGGUAUCCUCCAAGAGUUUGCACUUGUGAUCAUCCAAGUACCCGUCCAUUGCCUAUGAUCAGCCAAAUGCCCCUUUUUGAUGCCGGCAAAGGCCCAAAUAUCCUUCAGGUUAGUACUUGUGAAUAUCUAGGUACUCAUUGAUAUGCCUGUGAAUGUCCAGGUAUCUUCCAGAAUCGAUGCCCUGAGAAAGGUCGGGUUCCAACUGGUGUCUUCAACAAAAGUCAGACACCCAACAAAUCGAUGCCUUGAGAAAGGUCGGCGCAUCCUCCCGAGAAAGGUCGGGUUCCAACUGGUGUCUUCGACAGAAGUUGGACACCCCAUAAAUCGAUGCCUUGAGAAAGGUCGGCGCAUCCUCUCGAGAAAGGUCGGGUUCCAACUGGUGUCUUUGACAGAAGUCAGACACCCCAUAAAUCGAUGCCCUGAGAAAGGUCGGCGCAUCCUCCCGAGAAAGGUCGGGUUCCAACUGGUGUCUUCAACAAAAGUCAGACACCCAACAAAUCGAUGCCCUGAGAAAGGUCGGCGCAUCCUCUCGAGAAAGGUCGGGUUCCAACUGGUGUCUUCGACAGAAGUCAGACACCCCACAAAUCGAUGCCCUGAGAAAGGUCAGCGCAUCCUCCCGAGAAAGGUCGGGCUCCAACUGGUGUCUUUGACAGAAGUCAGACACCCCACAAAUCGAUGCCCUGAGAAAAGUCGGCGCAUCCUCCCGAGAAAGGUCGGGUUCCAACUGGUGUCUUCAACAGAAGUCAGACACCCCACAAAUCGAUGCCCUAAGAAAGGUCGGCGCAUCCUCCCAAGAAAGGCCGGGUUCCAACUGGUGUCUUCGACAGAAGUCAGACACCCCACAAAUCGAUGCCCUGAGAAAGGUCGACACAUCCUCCCAAGAAAGGUCAAGUUCCAACUGGUGUCUUCGACAGAAGUCAGACACCCCCACAAAUCGAUGCCCUAAGAAAAGUCGGCGCAUCCUCCCGAGAAAGGUCGGGUUCCAACUGGUGUCUUCGACAGAAGUCAGACACCCCACAAAUCGAUGCCUUGAGAAAGGUUGGCGCAUCCUCCCGAGAAUGGUCGGGUUCCUACCGGUGUCUUUGAUAGAAGUUAGACACCCCAACAAAUACGAUGCCCUGAGAAAGGUCGGCACAUCUCCCGAGAAAGGUCGGGUACCAAUUGGUGUCCUCGAUACAGAUCAAGCACCCACAAAUAGAUGCCCUAAGAAAGGUCGGCGCAUCUCCUGUCACGGCGACCGAAGAAUGGUUCGAGUGCGAGACAAACCACUGAUUGCUCCAACAGGCGACCGAAGAAUGGUUCGGGUCCUGGAAGAGCAAUUUCCCGUCAAGGCGACCGAAGAAAGGUUCGAGUCCUAGACAAACUAUCGAUUACUUUAACAGGCGACCGAAGAAUGGUUCGGGUCCUGGAGAAACAAUUUUCCGUUAAGGCGACCGAAGAAAGGUUUGGGUCCUAGACAAAUCAUUGAUUGUUUUAACAGGCGACCGAAGAAUGGCUCGGGUCUUGGAGAAGCAAUUUCCCGUCAAGGCGACCGAAGAAAGGUUCGGGUCCUAGACAAAUCAUUGAUUGUUUUAACAGGCGACCGGAGAAUAGUUCGAGCCUAGGAAAAGCAACCUCCUCAUAUCACCAGGUAAGAUGACGCCUUGAUACUUGCCAAACUCGGGGUUCACACCCUAUCUCACUCAUUCCCGGUAAGUAACUACAGGUAUCUUCUUAUCUGUCUUAGUAUAUGUAAAGUUAUAUUGCUCUUUUUCCGCAUAGAAUAAUAGGUCCCAAAUAAAAUAUAAUCUGCUACGCAUGCAUAAAAUUUAGGCAUCAGUCUGUCUUUGAAUGCAACCUCUGCGAGCUCACCUUCAAAGAGGGGCAGCUGUUGACGCCUCAAUUUUAAUUUGGUUUAUUAAUUAAGUUUUUAUUUUGUCUUUUUCGAAAUAAUAAACAAAUAACAAAAACAACAAAAAAAUCAAUAAAAACAAAAAGAAAAGCAAAAGCCCAGCCCCUCUCCUCUUUUCUUUUCCUUUGCGCAGGUCCGCGAGGCCCAUCCGCAACCUAACCCUGCCUGGCCCCCUCUUUCUCCUUUGUCUUCUUCCUCCCUUCUUCUUCUUCCUUCCUCCUUCUUCCGCCUCUGCAAGACACGCGCGGCAACGAAGACGCGCUCAAGCACAACCUACAACAGAGAGAGGAGCGUAGGCCGGUGGCUGAGAGGACGCAACAUUGAAGGCGAGCAUGCCUCCGUGGAAGGGGGAAGAUUUGACGCCGGUUCAGCCACACCUAGGGCCGGUCGGCGUGCGAGGGCCGACGGCCGAACCUCCGUCGACCGGCCUCCUCCUCGCCUAUAAAUAGAGGAGCGCCUCCGUCAACGAAAACAAGAGCGAGCUCCGAGAUCUUCCCACUGAGAGACUUCAGGGGAGGAAUCGAAGAGCGAGCGAGUAGAGAAAUCGGGCCGCGAGCUCGACCGACCUCCCACUGAGAGACUUCGGGGGAGGCCGCCGGCGAGCGAGUCCGAAGAGGUCAGAUCCGGCCGGUGGACGCUCGGAUCUGGCCGGAGUGAGAGAGAAGCGAAGUCGGAGGAGGUGCAGGGGUUCUGGAUUCGUGAAGACCGUCGUCGCUGCCGUCGCCGACGCAAGCCGCCGCCUCAGUUCCUCCAUAGGCGUCGCGAGUAGAGAGAGGUGGGAGAGAGAGAGAGCCGCGAACCGGAUGGAAUCGGGUCGGGCACAUGACCCGAUUCCCCUAGGGUUUUAGUCACGCAGGCUGGGAAGGGCCCAAUUUUGUUGUGGGCCUGGGCCCUUUCACCAAAAAAAAAAAAAAAAAAUCCUGGCCGGGCCCGCAUUGCAGGCCUGUCUGGGUCUUGGGUCGACGACUCAGGUCGGACCCAACCCGGGGAUCCGACCCGAUUCGUUUUUAUAUUAUUAUAAUAUAAAAUAAUAUUUAAAAAAAAUAAAAAAUAUUUUAUUUUCCAGAAAAUAAAAAAAAAUAAAAAAUCUCCAUAUUUUCCCAAAAAAGCCAAAAAAGUCAGAAAAAGCCAAAAAAUGAUUUAUAUUUCCAUAAAAAUAUAAAAAAAAUCCAAAAAAUGCUUUUUAUGUCAAAAAAAAAGAAGAAAAAGACCCAAGAAAAUGUUUUUCCUCCACAAAUGAAUGGAAAAUCCCUCAAAAAUCCAAAAAGCCUCAUGGUUUAAACAAGAUUAGGUACCGAAAGGGCAUUAGUGAUUAACUAGUGUAAUCAAGUCCCCGCUCCUAAUUUCUCUGGUUGCGUAGGAGUGAGUAUUUCUCCCGAUACUUCGCUUGGGUUUCUAAUCAACCCACUCCAAAUUGAUUAGUGGCGACUCCAUUUUAAAAAUUGAUUUACAGGUUAAAAAAACUUGGACCAUUAAGUCGUGAAUUGGUGGACUUGGGAGAGUCCGGGCAUAAUUAAUUUCAGUCGAGCCAUUAGCCUCCUUUAGGCGCUCGCCCCUGAUCGGGCAUCGAAGAAAAAAGAGGUCGCGACAAUAUGUAUCGAUAUAUGUAAAUAUGUAAUGUACAUAGCAUCCCAUUUAAUUUGUUUUGAUUCCAAUCAAUGUAAAACAAUAGAAAGGCAAUUCUUAAUAGUACGCUUCAAAUUCCUAUAUUUCUAAUUAUUUUCAAUAUGAAUAUCUGUAUCUAUCAAAAAAAUCAAAUCCAUGGGCGACGGGGGUAUGGAAUAUAGUAUAUUAAAACAGGAAAAAUUAAUUAAUUUUCUUUUAGCAUUAUGAAAAAGUAAUUAAUUGAGGAGUUAACAGAUGAUCCAAUAAGUUCUUUGAAAAUUUCUUUAGAUUUUGAAAAGGAAUAAAAUCUUGUUUUCCCUCAUCCACGAGCAUGCACGGUUUGAACUAGCCGUCCCUUUUGCCGAGUUUGAGCAUCACUUGCUGUUCUCUUUUGAGUCAGGACACGAGCUAGAGUUUAGAACAGGUCAAUGACCUCUCUUUAGUCCGUGCUCAUCGGACGCUCAAUAUAAUGCCUUAGUGUUGUUCUAAAGAUGAGACCGGGGUUUUAUUUGCUUCUGUGAAAGCAUGUCGAAGAUCUGUUUAAAUAAGUCUUCAUCGACUUAAAAUGUCUUUUGUUUGGUGCGGGAUGAAUGCGACACCAAGGUGUAGGUUCAUCAACAUGCUAUAUUACUUUUAGUUAGACACCUGAAAUCUAUUCGACGAAAUGUUUUGAAAAAAUAUGUAAGAAAUAGCUGCUGUUUCUGUUCGAAUCUGAAGGUGCUAGUCGUUAACUUGGUUUCCAUGAAUAAUGAGAUCACUACGUUGCAUUUUGUUUGAUAUAUGUUGUGUCUCCUUCAUUGAACGGGAUGAGUUGACGGUGUGAUGGAAGACGUCAGAAAGUGAGCUCGUUUUAUUUCGGUGGUGGUCCAUGCUGGUCGGAACGGAUGAUUGGCGGGGUGCGGUGGUGUAAGCUCCGGCACCCGAGGAGGAUGUUGUGAUGCCUGGGUGUAUGAGUUCGAAAAAUGAAAGAGAAGAAGUUGCAGAGUGAAAGCUUCGGAGGAAGAAGAUGACCAUAAGAAAAGGACAAAACAGGGGGAAAGACAAAAAGAGAAAAGAAAAAAUAAUAAAUGAAACAUUUAAAAUUGGGUUUUUUGCGGACGCGGGUCGGAUCCAAGUUGUCGGUUGUGUCAACGGUCCGGAUUUAAUUAUCUCGUCCGAACCCAUUUUCCCAAAUAUAAUAAUAUCAAUUAUUAAAAAGUUAAACCACCCGUGGUGGCGACGUGGUUGGUUAAGCACUUGUUCCUAUUCACGAGAGGUCUAGUGUUCGACUCCCUACGUCGUCUGCCUUGUUGGAAAGGAAUUCACGACUUACCCAGUAGGCAAGGGUGGUGGUGACUCUACCUGCUCCAGGGUUUACCUCGUUGGGUUGCCGGUUUACAAGGGUUCCUUGGAUUACAAAAAAAAAAAAAUUAUUAAAAAAUUAAAAAAAUAUUUUUAAAAUGUAAAGUUAAAGAAAAAUUAAUAUUAAUAAUGAUAUUAAAAAUUAUAAUAAUAUAAAAUGCUAAAAAUCGAAACAUGAUCAAGUAUUGUUUUCUCCACUUGAGCUCAGGCUCAAGUCAACUCAAUCCUCACAUAACUAGGAGUCAGUAGGCUUAGCAAUAAAACUUGGCAGUAAAAUCACGUAAGCUAGUCAUCCAGUAGUUACUUCAUGUGAAGGACAAAAAAUGCUAAGCAUACACCACGGUUAUACAAAGAGAAAAAGGCAAAGAAAGAAAGUUGUGGCAUACCAUUUUGAGUAGAACAAAUUCCUCCAUAAUCUUCAAAGCUCAAAACCAAGAGUCAGUCGAAGAAUCGAUGACAACCAAAUGAGAAGGGGAAAUGGACGAGAUCUGCAUGGCAAUAUGACUGCCAAACUAAUAAACACUACAUCAAAAUAAGGCACGUAAUUAUCGUCCCUUCAAUAGAACAAGGAACCUCUACAACACAAUUUAAGUACUAAAUUGGCUAAAAAUAAAAUAAAAUUGCCAAUAUUUCACAGUUUUAUGAUGUGCAAGAAUAGUCCGAUUUCUCUGGAAAUAGGAAGCCAUGUAGAGAAGACCCCAAAAUUACACAAAAGGUGAUAGUGCGAUGUCAGUAAUCAAUCUGAUCAAUGCUUUUUCUUGUCACAUAAAUGUCCAAAGCGAGAUAUAUGCAUGAAUUAUCAAAUUCUAUAACAAAGGGCCAAAUCACUGAAUUGUUCUUUCAACUAAACUAGUCCAAUCAAUUUAUGGUGGCUUCCCUUCAAACUUUACAAACCAAAGCAAGACAGCUAUGACUACAUAGACAUUCUAUCUAUUCCUCUAUGAUCGACCCAUUUCUGACUUCCUUCCAACAUCACCAACAAAUUCAGCAGACCAAGCAUUUUGUAAAUGACUUACGCAUUUGUCAACACUUAUCAACUGAAAAAGAAUGUCUCUGGUUACGAAUUGACAGUCUCAUGAGGCAAUAGCUCAAUUUCUUGAGUGAAGUAAUCCCAACAAAGCAAAGGAAGAUUUGAGCUGUUAUCAUUUCGAUCAAUCAAACAUAUUUUCUCAACAAAAUUGACAAUUUAUUCCUUAGAUUUGAUGAGGUUUCUAUGUUAUGUUAGGAAGGGAGGGAAAGAGAGAUGAACUAACCUUUUUCAUAGUAACUAGAAGAGAAGAGCGAAGUAGCACAAGGAGAAGCUCUAAAUAUAAGAAAUUGUGAAAAAGAGUACUUUUUCUGCAACAUAUACACAAUCUUAGUUAAUAGUAAAGUCCUUUUGUAUAUAUUGAACUGAUCAUAACAUUCUUUAUAUUUUGUAAAGUUUUGCAGCCAAUGUGUCAAUAGUUUUCUUUACUUGUGAUAACUUUUCUCAAGCAAAACAAAUUUGACGGAUUAUGUUUUUGCCCUCUCUAUUUAGCUAUCCACUUUUAAUGUAAGACCGAUCUCAUAAAAGAGAACUUUGACUUAUGAAGUUUCCAUGACAAUCAUAAUGUUUUGUGCACAAUAGAAUAAUAGUAAAGUAUUGUUGGAAACGCUAAUUUUUCAAUUUUUUUUUAAAAUCGUUCCAUUGAAAUAUGAAUAUUAACGUAUAUAAAGGUAAAAUCGUAAAUUAAAGAAAAUGUAUUACUUUGUCAAUUUUUUUGUUUUGCAGAUAAACAGCAACAGAAAAGAAAUUUGAGAUACGCAUCGUAAAUCUAAAACUUUUAGUACGACAUGGAAGCUCGUGUUUGCAAGGGGAGCCUUCACACCAAACGAACCCAAGGUUGUCAAAUGACUCAAAUGAAACCAAAAAAAAGUCGUUGGGCGGGUCGAAAAUAGAACUUAAACAAACUUCAGGGGCGAAAACGGAAUUGUCAAAAAAAGAAUUGAAAAAUAUGGCUCCAAAUCUCUUCGAGCGUGCAUGUUUGUGUUCUAUUUUUUUGUUCAUGAACAGAUUUUCUGUUUUUUUGUUCCCGGGAACAAAAAAAGAACAGAAACGCAUUUAUUUACGUUUUUGUUCAAAAUCUGUUUUUUUGUUCCCGGAACAAAAUUAGAACAUAAAUAAGAAACAAAAAAAGUUAUUUUUUUGUUCCAGAAACACUUUUAAAGAAACACUUUUUUCUCUCUCAUUUUUUUCUUCUCUUUUUUUUUUCUUUUUUUUUCUUUGACCGGUCGCCGGAGCGUUGCCGGCCCCUGGCGAGGCUCGGCCUCGCCUUAGCUGGGCGAGAUCGGGCUAGCCCAGCCAAGGCGAGGUCGAGCCUCGCCGACGCGGGAAGAGGCUCGGCGAGCUCGGGCUUGCCCAGAUCCGACGAGGACGAGCCUCGCCCAACCACGGCGAGGCUUGGCCUGGCCAGGGGCUGGCGAGCCUCGUCGUGGCUGGGUGAGGCCGCCGGCCCUCGUCGGCUGGUCGCCGGCCAUGGCCGAGGCCGGCGACCGGCCAAAAGAAGAAAAGAAAAAAAAAAGAAAGAAAGGAAAAAUAAAAUAAAAAUUUUAAAAAAAUUGAAAGAAACAAAAAAAGAAUAUAAAUUUACCAAACGUGUAAACAAACGCACCAUCCAUUCUCUGGCGUACAAAAUUGGAAAACGAAAAACAUCAUUCCCGCUAUCGCUGGGAAGGUUCUGGAACAAGAGCACUUCGAGCUCACUUGAAUAUCCGAUUCGAGACUAGAGAUCGAUUUGAUUCCGACUCAGGCAUCAUCAAUUGAUCGAAUCGCUUGAACAGGUUGAGGUUUCAUGGGAGGGAGCGGGGCUCGGAAGUAGAGAAAGCUCGGUUGCUGAGCUCGGCUCUCGAGAUCGGAUUCGACGAACAGUCCGCCAACAAGUGCUCGGGCCAUCUCGUUUCGCGCUCUACGGUGACUUGAAUCGUUAUUUCGUUGUGUGUUCUUAUGCUAAUUAGCGUUUGCGGAGACUAUGGAGGUGGCUCUCGUCCCCCACGAUGAUGAUGAUGAUGGCUGUGGAAUCAUCUUGCUUUAGGUUUGAAUGCAUCGGAGCGGGUUUAGUGAAGUAGCAGUCCUUUUGACGAGCUAAAUGUCCGGCACUGGUCCAGCUUGAUGCGCUUAGGUUACUUCGGAUGGACCGCGGUUUUUUCUUGAUUAUUGGCCCAAAUUGCGUGAUAUCUGGUCAUCGAAUGAAUGACUUUAAUCGCUUGGGUUGCGGGGAUAGUUUGUGCAUUUGAUUGAACGUGCAUUCCUACUUAAGGAGAUUCAUUGCAGUUAGUCUAGAUUCUAAUGAUGGCUUUGGAAUAACGGUCUACUUUGGAUUUGAAUGGGACCGGAGUGUAGGUCAUUGAGCGUUAGUCUUAUCCCCUGUUUCUUUGUGGGUUUGGCGGAGUAGUCCUAUUGACAAGUGAACUGUCUGGCUUAUAUCACUGCAAAUUACUUGUGGUGUCUUGCAGCAAUAUCAAUAUCAUGUCUCUUUGAACUAAGUGCAAAUUACGUAUUGGAAAUUGUAUUUAUUUGAUCUCUUGUUUGCUAUGGAUCUAGCAAAAUCAUCUCUUUAUUCUUUUGCUUUUCUCAAGGUGAUGAAGGUCGAGAGUCGAUCACCGUGGAGCGCUGUGGUGAUGACAUCCUAGCAGAACUUGCUGAAACCAUGCAAGAUUCUUACUAUUGGGAUGAUUUGCAAGCUGCAGAAUCAGAAGCUCGUGGAGUUUUGACCAAUAUGUUUGGCCAAGAUAACUGUAAUGAUGGUGAAUGCAAUUUUAUACACGAUGUCAAUAUUAUAGAAGAUUCUCCACUAUGUGUGAAAAAUCAAAUUUUCCUUGAGGUGAGGAUUCCUCUACUGACAGUGAAGACAAAGAUGAUGUAUUGGGCAGUAAAACGGGAAGGAAAUCCUCAUGUGUAUUCCUGGCCAAAGCAGUACUCUACAUCGACUCAAAUUCUGGGCAGACAAUCUUUAGAAUCCAUGGUAUGCUUCUCCCAUGGACAUAGACAAUACUGCCAAACCACUUAAAUUAGCGUGUGACUGUACUUUUCUCUUAUAAUUUAUUCUCUGCUUGAUCAUUUCCAAUUUGCUUGUGAUUCUGUACACAGCAAAAGACCUACACAAUGUUCAUGUCCAAAAGCAUUUAGUAAAUUGCUUAUGGGGUCUCUCAUCCAAUCAAAUGUCCAACAGACGGUCAUAACUUUUGCCACUCACUUCCACACUCUUCAAGAUCCAAAAUUACAUAUUAGAACUCUUUGGUCAAUAAAGAAGUUGAUUUCAGUUUUGGAUGAUGUACAAAUACAUAUAUUUCUCAAAUUCUAUGGGAGUACAGCAGAUCAUCAAAGUGUGGAACAUCAAAGUGUGGAACUUAGCAAUCCAGCAUCUUUGAUAGGAAUGUUUUGUGUAGAUGAAGGCUUGUGAUUUCUUUGAGCACAUUUUUCAUUUUCCCUGAUGAUCCAUGUCAGAAACUAUUACGGUACGAAGAGGCUUAUUUAUGUUGAAGGACUGUAAGAGCAUUGUCACUCAAGGCUCAAUAUCAUUAGUUUCGAAUAAAAGACAUUGCUCUCCGAUUUUGACAUCCAAACAAGGGACUCUGAAUUAUGCGGAAUUCCAAGGCUUGGAUGACAUAGAAUUGGCAAAUGUUGUCAUAUUCAGAAACGAGGCAUUUCGACCAAUGUUGCAUCAGGCUUGUAAAGCUUCUGUGGCCAAGCAAGUUUGCUUUAUCCUCAUGCCCACUGGAGGUGGUAAAAGUUUAUGUUACCAGGUUAGUGAAUGUUAACAUUGUCUCAACUGGGUGAUGAUCGUAUGUAGUAGAAGUGUGUGGAGACAAUGUUAGAGUAUAAGCCCUGUGCACUUUGCUCAGUGGUUCCACCAAUUAAUGUUUAAGGGUAGACCUCUGUGUCAACAUUUAAGCUUUAUUUAACAUGAUCUUCUCAUCUGCUUUGUUUAGCAUUUUUAAGAAGGUUGUGAACUUAAGGAAGGAAAUGUUUUUCAAAUGAAAAUUAAGGUAUAGGAAGUGAUUCAGGUACAUAAGCAUGGGUUCCAAUGUAUGGCAUUGGACAAAAGUAGAAAAGAAGGAAAUACGGUACAUUCUUGUUCUGCCUUCGCACUUCUCUAUCCGGUCUGUAAUCUUUAGGAAUUGAAGUUUGCACUACACUUAUGGGACCUUCUAAUCACUUACAUGAAAAUUCAUCUUGUUUAUGCAUGUUACGUGUUGUUGUUGUCAGUCAUAAUUCAUGUCCAAUUCAAAAGGGUUAUUAAGUCAAAGAGAAAUGAGUUUUUAAAGUACUUCCACCAUAUGGGUUCUAGAUUUUUAUAUGUCCUUUGCAGUUAUUUAUUUUUUAUUUUUUGGUAAGGUCCUUUGCAGUUAUUUGCUAUGCCAUUAUCUCAACAAAGGGUGAUGAUCUAUGACUUCUUUUUCCCAUAAUUGGUUUGAACUUAAUGUCCUUUAAUAUAAAUGUAUCUUGGUUGCAAGCAAAAUUAAUGAUAACUGAAUUAAGGAGGAAGAUAUAAAUCUGGAUUUAUUUAGUUGAAUUCCUUAGAAGUGUUUUCUGUUUAGUCUUGAAGUAGUUGAUAUAUGUACUGAAAGUAGUUAUAAAACAAGUAGUGACAACUGGUCCCNNNNNNNNNNNNNNNNNNNNNNNNNNNNNNNNNNNNNNNNNNNNNNNNNNNNNNNNNNNNNNNNNNNNNNNNNNNNNNNNNNNNNNNNNNNNNNNNNNNNNNNNNNNNNNNNNNNNNNNNNNNNNNNNNNNNNNNNNNNNNNNNNNNNNNNNNNNNNNNNNNNNNNNNNNNNNNNNNNNNNNNNNNNNNNNNNNNNNNNNNNNNNNNNNNNNNNNNNNNNNNNNNNNNNNNNNNNNNNNNNNNNNNNNNNNNNNNNNNNNNNNNNNNNNNNNNNNNNNNNNNNNNNNNNNNNNNNNNNNNNNNNNNNNNNNNNNNNNNNNNNNNNNNNNNNNNNNNNNNNNNNNNNNNNNNNNNAACAUCGUGCAAGCUAUGCAUGUGACUCCUGAAAGGAUCGGGGGAAAAAUAUCAUUUCUCGAGAUAUUGAAAUGCUUGCACAGAAAGGUAUUGUUUCUGAUGCACUGUAACUUUUUUCCAAAAAGGUUCUUUAUAAUUUUUUAUAUUCGAUAUAUUUUAUUGCAAGCACAACUAGCUGGUUUUGUUGUUGAUGAGGGACAUUGCAUGAGGUAUGCAUAAUCUUUGGCAUGCCUUGUACAUGAAGAAAAAUCAUGCUAGAGUUACUUCAAAAAGAAUAAUCGUUUGUGAUGUUGCCACUGCAAAACUAUUGUCCUUAUUCCAGAUAAAUAUAAGCAACUUUCCUUUUAUAUAAGCUAACUUAAAAUCUUUUUCCAAACUUUUUUGCAUUUUCUGUGUUUCUAGCCUUAUAAAUUGUUAGUGUUGCCCUAGACCUUUUGAAGCCCCUGUGAAGUUCUAAUAUAACACAAUGGAAUGUUCCUUGUUUGAGCUUUGGAAAAGAUCUAGGUUCUGUCGUUUGGGAAAAUUUAGUGGCACAUCAUUCAUUAUAUUGAGUAAGAGGACUCAACUUAAAUAAGCUGCAAUGGAAAUGACUUCCUAAAGUAAUUGGAAGUGGCAUAAGCUUGGACAAGGAUGCCAUCUGCUGUCUAUGUUUGGCAUGAUACUCCAUCUCUUCAGCUGGUUCCUAUGUAUCUAUUUAUUCUACUAAUGGUUACACUAUAUACUGACAACUUGAGAAAGGCAAAGGUCCACUCACGUGAUCAUUGAUUGUGUUCCUUACAAGGUAUUAACUGGAUUUGCUUGGCCAGUUUAAUCUCAUGAAAGGAAGAUGCCAUCUUCUAUCUAUGUUUGGCAUAAUACUCAGUCUUUUAAGCUCGUUCUUGUGUAUCUAUUUAUUCUAUUAAUGGUUAUACUAUACACUGACAACGUGAGAAAGGCAAGGGUCCACCACAUGAUCAUUGAUUGUGUUUCUUAAAAGGUAUUCACUGGAUUUGCUCUGCCAAUUUAAUCUCAUGAAAGGAACAUGCUGCUAAUUUGAGCUUUUAUUGUACAUUUGCCUGAUUGACAACAAGAGCUCAUUGGUUGUCACUUUCGUGGUUGUCAUGAAAGGAACGUACUGCUGGUUUGAGCUUUUAUAUAUGCUAACUUAAGCUCUUUUUCCAAACUUCUCUGCAUUUUUUGUGUUUCUAGCCUAAUUUAAUUGUCCAUGUUACACUAGACCUUCUGAAGCUCAGAACCCUAUAAAGUUUCUAUAUAACAGAAUGCAAUGUUCCUUGUUCAAUGGAAAGAUUUAGGUUCCGUCGUUUGGGAACACUUAGUGGCACAUCUUUCAUUAUAUUGAGUAAAGAGCGCACAAUUUAAAUAAGCUCCAGUGGAAAUUACUUCCCAGAGUAAUUGGAAUCGGCAUAAGCUUGGAUAAGGAUCCAAUCUCCUAUCUAUGUUUGGCAUGAUACUUAGUCUCUUAAGCUGGUUCUUGUGUCCCCGUUUAUUCUAUUAACGCUUAUACUUUAUGGUAACAACUUGAGAAAGGCAAAGGUUCAACCAUGUGAUCAUUGAUUGUGUUUCUUACAAGGUCUUAACUGGAUUUGCUCUGCCAGUUGAUCUCAUGAAAGGAACAUGCUGCUGGUUUGAGCUUUUCUUGUACAUUUGACUGAUUAACAAGUAAAACUCAUUGAUUGUCACUUUUGUGGUUGUCAUUAUUAGUCAAGGAGGACACGAUUUUCAUCUAGAUUAUAGGGUACUGGGAUGUCUCAAGCAGAACUUUCUGUAUGUCCUAGUGAUGGCCUUAACUACAACCGCCACUCAGUCAGUUCGUGAGUACUAAACUCACAUAUUAACCUCCUGAUUAUGUUGAAAUAAUCUGUUAAUUCUGACUGAAUUAUACAUCCAUCGCAGGAUAUCCUAAAAGCUCUUGGGGUACCCCAUGUUCUGAUAUAUUAGAUCUAGUCUGUCAAAGCUUGGGGACCUAAGGUUUGACAGACUAGAUCUAAAAUACAAGGUCAUAGCUAAGACCUAGGAACCACUGAAGCAACUUGGAGGGCUGCUAAAAAAUUGUUUUCCUAAUGUUUGUGGCAUAGUAUAUUACUUUUCGUUAAUGUCGCAAAAUACUUGAAUGAGAAGCGCCAUAUAAAAAUGGUGUACUAUCAUGCUGGAUUAGUAGCUUGUCACUGUUCAAAAGAAAUGGCAUACUGGAGAGGUCCAGAUUGUAUGUGCUACCGUUGCCUCUGGGAUGGGAAUAGACAAAUUGUAAGUCGAAAUGGACUCUGGCCUUUGCCUAUUUCUUACGUUUAGAAGUCGAUAAACGUGGUAAAAAGACCCAGAGAAGCAGAGAAGAGGAGGGUGGCCAGAUACAAGCUUUAUUUGGUCGAGGGCAAGUUCAAGGCUUCUUUCAAACAAGGGUUCCGGUGGUUGAAGCGCAAAUUGCUCGAGCUUUAUGCGUCGAUUUUUAAUAUGUAGAAAUUACAGAAUAUCAUGCUCAUUGUCAUCAAGAGAGAAAAGGAUGAAAUUGGUCGGGAGGAAACAAAGAGUUUCCAAAGAGGUUUGUUUUGUUUAUUGGCUAAUCAUCUUAAUAUGUAUCUAAUGGUAAUUAAGUAUUCGGAAGAGUGCCACAAUGUUCGAUCUUUCCAGUAUAAUGUUUGUUCAAAUCCUUGUUUCUUUCAUCGAUCUCUAGCAUUCGAAACAUAGGGAAAUGAGACGACUUGUAUGUGAUAUUCACAUAUAUUUAUAUUUAUCAAAAGUUAUUUUUCCCCGAAUUUCCUUACCUUCCGAUUUACUGCAACAUGAUUCUGCAUGCAUGCAUGCUUUCUCGUGCGAAGUAAAAAUUGUCUGACCUUCUAAUUUCUCUUCUCAGCAACACGAUGUUGAUUGCAAAAUAAGAUGACUGCUUUCAUUUGUAGGAUUUGACGUUUACACGAAAGUAGAUUUCGUUGUUAAGAACUUUUUUUUUUUGAUCAAAUGUUCUUUUAAGUCUCUGUUUUGGGGUUCAUUAACGCUGUAAUUCCUCAAUUUGUCUAUUUCUUUUUCUUUGCAUCAUAUGAUUUUAUCAUAUGGCAAACUACCAAAUCUAUACAUUCUAACAUGCAGCUAGCAGUGUUAAGGGCUUCUAUACUUCCAUUCUGAUUCAAGGAUUCAUAUUUCAAGUACUGUCUUGUCGAGUUUGAGUUACGAAUGUGGAGGAAAUCAAAGAGCUCGAAGCGAANNNNNNNNNNNNNNNNNNNNNNNNNNNNNNNNNNNNNNNNNNNNNNNNNNNNNNNNNNNNNNNNNNNNNNNNNNNNNNNNNNNNNNNNNNNNNNNNNNNNNNNNNNNNNNNNNNNNNNNNNNNNNNNNNNNNNNNNNNNNNNNNNNNNNNNNNNNNNNNNNNNNNNNNNNNNNNNNNNNNNNNNNNNNNNNNNNNNNNNNNNNNNNNNNNNNNNNNNNNNNNCCAACUUCAAUCGAUUCGGCUGAUGGGGCUGUGAAUGAUGUUCCAUAAGUAGUCAAACACAAAGCUAUUGCCCUUUGGAUUAAUUGCCUAGACACCGAUUAAGCAGCUAAGUAAAUAAAGUGUAGAGCUGAUGCAUUGACUUUACUCGCGACUUUUCUCGUGUAAUGUUCAACCAAUAUUCUGAAGUUAAAUUAUUUCAUAUUAAGGAUUUUUAACUAGUAUUUCAACACGACCCGCAUUACAUGUGUUAGUACUUAUAGAUUCAAAUGCGGCUUAACAAGCUACUUGGCCUUGUCUUGAGCUCUGGAAAAAUUGAGUCAAAGUUCAAGGGGAUAACAAGCAAAUCAAACCAUGAGUACCUUGCAAGUAGCUUUCAACUACUAAAAUUCCACUACUGUAGUUUAGUACAGGGUACAGGAAUAUCUGAGAGUGGCCUCCAAGAAAUUGCUUCGAUUGAAACUUGAAUGUGUGAACGGUGACCGCAAUUUGGUGGAGUGUCGUCUCAUUAUAAACCAAUUAGAUGACCCUUAGAAGUUUUUUGUUCAAAGACAAUGAGUAAAUUUUGGGAAGGGCUCUUUUCACCCUUCCAAAAAUUUUGUCCACGUUUUAUCAUUAGUCUUCAACUGCAGCCAAUGCAAGAGAAAAAUAGGUUUCAGGUGUGAAAAUAUAUACGGUUGGGUCUCUUCAGCUUUUAGAUUCAUGCUUAAAUAAAUCAAGUUUGAGAUUAUACAAUAAAAGUGAUUGCAAAAUGCGGACAUAUGAAUUUUCUGAGGUAACACCAGACCAGAGAGAUGAUUUUACACAAUUGAACACCUUUCUCGUGUGUUCGAAAUUCAACCAAAUGAGAAACUACUGUCUUCUUGUAAACCUUUUCGCUGAAACUCUUGGCUGCAAUUGACAGAUUUUUUGCUGAUUCCAUUGCAUUCGAUUUUUCUAGUCGCAAAAUUGUAGCCUGAAGUGGACAUCUAACUGGUAAUCUCCUUGACCAAUCUCAUUUUAUGCUUAACUUGCACAAAUAAAACCACCUGCGCGUGCAGUCUUCCUGCAAGCGAUUUGUGCUUGCAAAGGACAAAUAACCCACAUGAGAAGAGGCUGCUUCAUAUCCAGAAUCCUUUGAAGAGUAUUGACAACACGGAGAACAUGAUAAACGCCACUAGGUUCAGAAUACAUUUUCAUAAUGACAUAGCUCAUUCCUGCUCGCAUAUCCAACAUGUGGUGUUUCGGGGACUUUCUCCAAGUUCCAUGAAAUGCAGCUUGAAUCUACACGAUGAGCAUAGGACUGACUCAUUAUCAAUAAAUAAAGAAAUGCGAGAUUGCAGCAUCACAAUUUACCCCAUGAAAGAUAAGGUACAAAUGUGAAAACAUCAUUUACACCAAUCGUUGUUCAACCACAGUGAACAUAGACUUGAUUAGCUAGCAGAUGAAAACGGAAAAAAAUAGGCUUAAAAGAAGUAAACAAUUUGCAACAACACUUUCCCCGUUUGUGUUCAGGAACAAAAUUAAUGUUAAUAAAAUUAUGCUGAAAAUGUGAAAUGCCUAAACUACAUAACAGAAAGACGUACUUGUUACUUGAUCAUUGGCAAUAUCCAAUCAGCAAAAUCAGCAACUCGGGAUAGAUUGUGAGGGGGUCAGUUUCAACUUCACUAAUUCAAUAUUGCAAACAUGAGAACUGAGCUUAUCAAAUCAGAAACCUAUAUGACAACAUUCAAAGGAUAAACUGAUAGAAAUGGAGGAGCUUAGUGCAUACCUACCUUUGCAUAGCCUCAUCAAGUUCAGGAGUGAUGUCCCUAGAAUGCAACCACACCAAACAACUCUGCAUCAGGAUAACAUACACAAAAAUGACCAGCUACUCAUUUGAUUAACAAAGAGAUAGAACCUAACGAGCAUACAAACAACAGAUUCAAUUUAAAAAACAACAUUUACUAUCAUUCAGGUACAUGCUGUUGAGACCAGAUCAAGUGCUUUGGAUCUUCACAAGCAUCAAAACUUCCUCAGAACAUUUUGCUUGGCCCACGAUGUCACGCCCCAACCCUCAGGCAUGCACACAUCCCUUACUUAUGGUCGAUUUUAAAAUGCGAUAUCCCAGGACUAUGUAUCGCCAACCCUUUCAAUUAUAUAUGCACAUGCGGAAGCAGUUAUAAAUCCCCAGACAAUAAAGCAAUGGGAUAGAAAAGCAUGCCAUACAUUUUUCUUACUGAAAAUUCACAACUACAUCUUUUUACAUGCAAACAAAGUCUGACAAGACAGGAUAGGAUUUCGGUCCUCAUCCGGGUCGUACUCGAUGUCAUACUCGGGGUCCUCCUCCACGUACUCCUCUUUGGGUUCCUCAACAGGGAUCUCCUCAUCAGAUUCAUGCUCCUUAGGCUCCUCAUCCAGGUCCUGAAAUGGGUAUUCAAUAACCACUGAGACCACGUGUCAGCAAGUUCUACUUCCUAAGACUCGAUUAGUAAACUAAUACACCUUAGGGCUGCCUAUGCACAACAUGAAUUAGAAGACUUACCUUAGCCUCAGAUUCCACCUGCAUAUUAGUACAGAUCGAAUAGGCACACAAGCAAUCACAUCACAGAUCGAAGCAUCGAUUUAAUCGACUUAGUCGAUUUCACAACAGGAAGACCACUCACGAUCAUCUCCCUUCAAUCAUUCAAUUCACAACAUCAAAUCAAGGCAAUGCAUCACAUCAAAACACACUCAGAUCGAAUCAUCGAUCAAUCGACCUAGUCGAUUACAAGCCAGACGGAUCAUUUCUAGGUCCUUCAUCCAACACCAAGCAAUUCCUUAGAUUUAGUGGCUUUACGGUCCCACCUGACCCUCUCAAGAACUAGUGGCUUUUCGGUCCCACCCGACCCUCUCGAGAACUAGUGGCUUUACGGUCCCACCCGACCCUCUCGAGAACUAGUGGCUUUUCGGUCCCACCCGACCCUCUCGAGAACUAAUGGCUUUACGGUCCCACCCGACCCUCUCGAGAACUAGUGGCUUUACGGUCCCACCCGACCCUCUCAAGAUGCCAUACUAUGUCACCGAGCCACGUGCAUUCUCCAGGAAGACAUACCGAGUCUCCGAGCCACGUGCAUUCUCUAAGGCUACCUUUUCGCCAAGAUGACAUAUCUAAUCACCGAGCCACGUGUCUUUCCCAAGUAACAUUCCAAUUCACUGGGCCACAUGCAUCCUCAAGGUGAUUUACCAACUCACUUUCGAUACUAACAACCGAUAUCUGACCAAUUCUCAAUAACAAGGCCAAAAUUGCAUUAUUUAAUAACAUACUUAGAAAUGCACCAUUAAAUCAAUUCGACACGAAUUAAAGCUCAAAUAAAUAAACGGACUGCUCCACGACAAUCAGUACGAAAUUCCAGUCACUGGCCAUCCCAGUUGAAUUUCCGGAAAAUAAAUAAUUAAAUAAUUAAUUUCGAAAAUUAAAUAAAUAAAUACAAUAAAUUCAAUUUAGCACAAUAUAAAGCUCAAUUAAAUAAAUGGACUGCGCCACGAUCAUCAGCAUAAAAUCCCGGUAACUAGCCAUCCCAGUUGAAUUUCCGAGAAAUAAAUAUUAAAUAAUUAAUUUCGAAAAUUAAUAUUUAAUUCCUAAAAAUACCACCUAGGCCCGAAUUGCUUAAUUAACACCCGAUAAGGGACGGGAAAAAUCCCAAGAAGCAUCCAAUAAAUACUACAUGCAAUUCUCUAUCUAAUUACACUAAUUACAUCACUAAUAUACAAAGCAAUUAACUAAUAAUCCCUAAUCCAUUCUAAUCUAACAACCUAAUUACACUUAAUUAACACUAAUCAACCGUUAAGUAUAAUUAGCACACCAAGAAGGCAUUAGUGAGUAAAACUCACACAAAACGACGGGCUCGACGCGAGGAUCAACUUUCCUCAAAGCGGGCCGAGCAUCCGGGCUCGGGAAGGCGGCCAAAACGGGCCAAAACCUCACUGCAAACCCAUUUCUACAAUCCUCUGAUCGCUGCUGGUCGGGGCAGAUUUGGGGCCGGUUGAGGCGGCCAAGGGCGGCUGAGGGCGAGGCGGAGCUCCGGCGAGGCUGACGGUGGCCGGAGGAGGUCAGGCGGUGGCCGGAGGCGGCUGAUCGGGACUUAACAGAGGCGGAACAGGGGUUGGGUCGCAUAGCGGGGACGGGAGGCGCGAGCGUGAGGCGGUGGAGCGCGCGGCGUUGCGCGGGCGGCGGUGCGGCAACUCCGGUGCGACGGCGUCCAAGCAGCUGGUCGCGGCUCCUUCCGACGACGCUGGAAGCUGCUUCUGCUUCUGCUAUUCGAUUCUGUUCGAACCAGAGGAGGAGAGGGGGCGGAGAUGCGCAGAUGGCAGCACGGCGGUGGGCUCGGGUUCGCGAGCAGCUCCGAUGCUUGUGGGCGUGCGACAACUUCAGGCGACAUACGACGCUACUGGUUGUCUCGGCGUCCUCCCAGAUCUGCGGGGCGUCGAGCAACCACCGAAGAAGAAGAAGAAGUAAUCGACGGUAGUAGAAGGGGGAAGAGGAAGGCGGAGGGCGGAGCAACGGCGAGAGCGAGGCAAAGCGGCGGCGGCGACUCCAGCUUCAGCUGCUGGCUGCAACGGCGAGCUGCUUCUGCUUCGCUGGUCUUUGGCUUCCAUGGUGUUGAGCAGCCGAAGAGGAAGAUGGGGGGGUGUUUUGGUCGACGGAGGAGAGAGGAGGAAGAAGAAAUCAAUUUCCCCUCUUCCUCUCACACACUCUCUCUCUUAGGUCAUCACACAUGGGCUACCAUGACAUCAUGUGAUGUCACCUUCCACUCACAAUUUCUUGUCAAUUCUACCCCUUCUAGAAGCCUUUAGAUAGGCCAAAAUGUGGGGGCAUGUGUGGCAUACGAAUUUGCUAGGUUUUCUUUCCAAUUGGGCCUUAAUUCCUCUUGAAUUAAACCAUUAAUUUAUGCAACACCUCAUCAUUCCAAUUGGUAUUUUUCCUUACCAAUGUAGCCCCACUUGCAUCCCAAUUUCACAAUCAUUGGCUUCAACCGAACAAAAGCGGCCCUAUUAUCCAGUCGAAUUUAGAAUUCGAAAAUCAGGAUGUCACACACGAGCCUCUUCAAGUUUGGCAUCUCAGCUGUUGCCGAUGCUUUCUCUGCAAAAUUGGUCUCAGGUAUGGAAUUUGAAGUUCCUCAGCUAAGUGAGCCACACCCAUUUCAGUCAUGUGAUAAAAUAAUUCCAUGACAACAAUAUGAUCAAAUGGGAUGUAAACUAAUCAGCAAAUUAUUGUGCUCCUCACCCCAGCUUGUUUCACAGAUGGGCAAAAAAUUGUCCAGUUAUGCAAAAGGUCAUCAAUACAGCUGAUUGAAUUUAUGUCCCAAAGUAAGCCUUGAUCAUUACAUAGACCAACCAAACCUGUAAUAGAAGCAACACCGGUUUACCUUGCUUGAUAAUAUUUCAAGACAACAUUUUGAUUACCGGUAAUUUUAAGAAAGGCAUACAUUCAUAUAUGACAGACUAGCCAAAACUACUUUAACAUUUCUUAAUCACCAACCAAAAAUACACCGAUUCUCGUUCAAGAAAAAGACCCUAUAUAAACUCCAUCCACACUAGAGACUCGGACAAACCUUUGAUCGAGAAUCUGCAUAAAACAACUCACUACUCCACUCCAGAACCCAGUACUU
rnacentral:lncRNA from 1 species